ACGGCCCGGUGGUGGACGCCGCCGGCGAUGUAGUCGAUUUCCUCAACGGCGGUGCGCCGCUGAUGCAGCGUGCGCGGGAAAGAACAGAGGAGCCCGCCUGUUCCUCUUUCUCACGGAAGUCCCUUUCUCACCUGCUUUGUCUCAUCUCGUCAAAACUGCUAAGUGUUGGUUCACUUGGGGCAAUCAAUGACGUUGGAUGGAAAAGCAACGGUGGAUGGGAGGGCGCAUGUUACGCCGUGACUGCCAAGAGGCAUGUCACCUGAUCCCAGUCCUUAUACUACGUAUGUAAAAUCCCUGCCAGAUUGCGAGGGAAUUCCAUUCGUGCAUGCAGGCAGGCAGACUUAUUUCAGCUUGGUACUACCUUGGUUCAAAAUAACUGAAGUUCUGGGUUUGUUCCAAGCCAAACUAGUUUAAGUUCGGCCAUGUGUAUAGAAAAAUGUAUUAUCAUGUGCAAUACCCCGUCAAAUAAGUCUGUUGAGAAUCCUCUGUGAAAUACUUGUGCUAUGUGUAUUUGAUGAUGCUGUUGUUGUUGUUGUUGCUCUUUGCGCAUGUUUCUUUAGACCUGGUAAUAGAAAAAUCAAGAAAAAUAAAAUUAGGAGGGACCCAAAACUUGAGUUAUUUGAACAAGGCAUUAAUGCGCAGUGCAACGCGAUCGCAUCGCAGGGUUACGACGAUCCGUUACCCCCUCCCGUCAGGUGCCUUCUGUUAAUAUCGACAGAGAUUCAGAUUCAAAAUCAAAACCUUACUAAUGUUAUGGUUCCAAAACAGCAGCUAUCUUGUCAAAAUCUGAGAUCGUCUUGCAUAUUCACACACACUCAUUCACGUAUGGCCGAGUCUGGAGCAGAUGGGAUGAGCCCCAUGGCACCUGCACUGCAUUGCAGACUCAAGCAUUCAUUCAUGCAUGCAUGCAUGCAUGCACCUUUCCCAGCGCCGAGAUUAGAGACCGUUCAGCGGCAGUACGUACGUACGCAUGCAUGCAUGCAUCGUCCAGAAAAUCAGCCUCGAGCCAUGUUUUAAUCAAGCUUAUUAUGCGUGGAGCUCGAGCCGUGUGGCAGUGGGUAACAGAGGUUUGUGAUGCCACUGACCAAGCUUUCUUCCAAGGACAGACACAGAGACACACACCGACACACGGCCAGCCAUCGGUCGCGACCAAGGAAAAGAGGCGAUGGUGGCCAGGGGUUUUAGUUCCAGGUCAUAAACCGAGACAACGAAAUUGGAACUAAAAGUCUUUACCUUAUAAUUUCAGUUGGCUACAACCUGCAAUUAAAGUCCCUUUACAUGACUAUUUUUUAUACCCAAAACUGAUAUACUUUGGACGAUAUACCCAAGAAAUGAUACACUAUUUUUUAUACACGCAUAUUCUUUUGAGACAUACAUGUGAAUUAUACUGGAGAUAUACCCAAAAAUGUAUNNNNNNNNNNNNNNNNNNNNNNNNNNNNNNNNNNNNNNNNNNNNNNNNNNNNNNNNNNNNNNNNNNNNNNNNNNNNNNNNNNNNNNNNNNNNNNNNNNNNCCACUGUGCUGGAAAGAAACUCCUCAGCAACUUAUAGAUCCUGUGUACACUCAUGAACACAUUAGAUACUUAACCUAUAAGUCUUCAAACCACCAAAAUCACUAAAGGGGCACUAGAUGCACUUACAAUAAUACACAUAUACAUAACAUUGAGACCAAAAGAGUUAGAGUUAACAAUGAUAGCGCCAUGUUUUUAUGGCACUGCCACUUAGGUCAUAUUGGUGUAAAGCGCAUGAAGAAACUCCAUACCGAUGGACUUUUGGAGUCACUUGACUUUGAUUCACUUGACACGUGCGAACCAUGCCUCAUAUUCAGAGAGACUCCCCCUGAAGAUGUGCAUAUCUUGAGGAUUUUGUUUUCACAACAAAUGCACAUUGAUGAUUUAUAUCAUGGAGAUCUCCCCCUCAGUCUUGUAAAUCAUGCAUACAUACGACAUAUAGUAUGAAGAAAUUGAGGAUGCAUGAUGACAAAUGGUAUCUGAUGAAUUCCAGCAUGCGUGCAUUAAAAUUUUGAGGAAUAAGCAUGCGAAGAAAAACGUUCAAAAGCGUUAGAGUACCAUCGGGCUUAAGUUACAACUCAUUACAUAAACACUUCAGAAGAGCCAAGAGUUUGUAACUUAAAUAUAGUUCAUAAGUCCCAAAAUAUCCCGCGUGAAGACUAACUCUCAAGUUUCUCCCCCUUUGUCAUCAAGUGACAAAAAGGGACAAACUGAGGAGUAACGCCCGUGAAGACUUUCACUCCUUGGCGGUUGAUGAAGACGCGUGAGGAUUCUUGGGAGCAGUCUUCUUCCUUGGACCGGUGGCAGUGUCUUGUUGUUCUUCAUUAGAUUCAGCAGUGCGGCAUGAAGAAAAAGAACUGUCCUCAAGUUCUGGAACUGGAAUUGGCCUGAAUUUCUUCUUGGGUGGCCACGACCAGUCAAAGUCUUGCACAAACUCCAAUUCUUCAAGUUCUGCCAGAGUCUUCAGAUGAGAAAGUGUGGCCCAGGUGCGAUCCAAAAUCUCAUGAAGAUAAUGAUGGUUAAGCUUCACAUCAUUCUACGUUUCAUUGAGGGUUUUCACAACGGCGCCGAACUGGCGUUUGACCCACUUGUGAUUCCGAUCCACCUUCUGGUGAAGACUGAUGAGAAGCUCUCUGGUAUUCAGCACACGAGGAGCAACAGGACUUGGAGGAUGAGUCUCAGUGUCAUCCCAUGAAUAAUAUGCUUCGGGCUCUCUGAACUAGCCACCAAGGGGCCUACAGCCUUCAUCAAUGAUAGACUUGCCUUUUCCUUCAACAGGCUCGAAAGUCUUCUUGUUGACCCUGAUAGGAGGCAUAUAACCAACAUGACUGUUGAAAUCAGCGUGAUAGUUGAUGCCUGACCUUGUUCUGAUGAAUCUCAUGAUCCAUGGAGCAUAUAUCUUGUGGUCAAAAGGACACAUUGCAUUGUCGGCCAAAGUCCUCAAGAAGAAACCAUGGAUGUUGACAGGGAUACCAUGGAUGAUGUUGAAGAGGAUAUUCUUCAUGAUGCCUACGACAUCUUCAUUAUCAUCAUGGCCCUUGAUCGGCGCAAGAACGCUGCAGAGGAUUCUAUAAACUGUCCUUGGUUCAUAUUUGAGCUCAUGGAUGAGGAAGGUUGUUCUUGGUGGUUUCCCCUUAGCCAAAGGCUUCAUGAGGACUUCCAUCAUCUUGUUAGGCAGCUCACGCUCAUCACAAAGCUUCACGGCCUGCUCUGAGGGAAUUGACACCGGUAGUUCACGCAGUAGGUCAAUGGCAGGAGCCUUGUAUUAUGUUGUUUGCGUCAUCCAGUCAAACACCCAUGUGUUGAUGUCUGUGGGAUCUCCUGAUAUGUGAAGAGUUGCAUAAAAUUGAAGAAUGAGCUCACUGUUCCAAUCACAGAUAUCUGAGCACAUUGGGAGGAGUCCAGCUUCAUGAAGGACGUUGAGGACUGGAGCGAGACAUGGUAUUUCUUCAAGCUCAACAUGAGGAAUAUGCCUGUGCUGGAAAAUCUUGUUUCUUCCACAUAGCACAGAGGCAUAGUAAUUGAGUUGUGUCCUUGUCCAAAACUUCAGAUGCCUGAUGCGAGGCUUUUCAUAGGGAUUUUCUCCGAUGAAGAACAUGCGUUCUUCAAAGAAGGACUCCUUUUGAAACUUUGGCCGCUUGGAGAACGGCUGACGCUGCAUGGGCUGAAGGUUUUGCUGUUGGACCUGAGGGGAGACAACAAUUGCAGACUCUGGGUUAAGGACGACGAAGGCAUUGUCUGGAUCUGGUGCAUUUUCCUCAGCAUGGUCCUCAGGGUGAGGAAUUUCAUCAGCUUGAGCUUCAGGCUGAGGAGCAUUCUCUUGUUGCGCUUCAGGCUGAGGAAUAUGGUAUGGUUGCGCUUUAGGCUGAGGAAUGGGGUCUGGUUGAGCUUCAGGCUGAGGAAUGUCGUCAACUGGAGCAUCCUGUUGAGGGUUUUGCUCCGGAGGAGGAAUGGGUUCAUCCUGAGCCUCAGCUUGAGGAUCUUGCUCAGGAGGAGGAGUUGGGUCAGCCUGAUCCUGAGGUUGAGGAUUUUGCUCAGGACUAUGACUUUCAUCAGCAUGAGGAUUUUCACUUUGUUCUUCCUCAGCUUGCUUGGUGAUGGAGCCAGAUUCAUCAGCUGGUGCACCUGAUCCUUGUGCAGUUUCUUCAUGAGGAACGGAAGGCUGAGGACUGUCGUCAAUGUGAAUCUCCUCGUCAGUAUGUUCCUCAGAUUCAGCAUCCUUCAUUUCCUCAUCUGGCCCUUACUCCUGAUCUUCGCUUGCGAAGGUAACCAUUUGGUAAGAAGGAGCGCUGUUAAGAGGCACAUGAUCCAGUGGAGCAUUUUCUUCAAGUGCUUUGAGGCGCUUGGCCUCAGUGUAUUGUUCUGCUGAAGAGGUUUUUCUCUUCUUGGCUUCCUUUUCAGCAGCCCUUGUCUUUUUCACGUCUGAUGCAGACGAAGUCAUCUUCUUCACCUUUGAAGCUUUUGGUGAAGGUGUUUUCUCAGCAGAGACAUUUUCAUCAGCUGGCUUUGAGGAACUAGCUGGAGCAGAGUCAUCAGCUCGCUUUGAAGCAGCAGCUUGGACAGAUUCAUCAGCUGGCUUUGAAGCAGCAGCUGGAGCAGAGUCAGUCUCACCAGCUGUAGAAGAUUCAUCAGCUGGAUUUUCCGUGGUGAUUUCCUCAAUUGCCGGUUCAUCCACACGGCUUCCUUGAGGGAUUUCCUCAGCAUGAGCAGUUUCAUCAGCUGGUUCUUCAAUCAGAGGCUGAGGAGUUGGUACUGGAGGGGCAGCUUUCUUGUUGUAGUUGUUAAGAGCGUCAGUAGCCAGUUUGAUGAAAGUGCUUUUGAGACUUUGACGGUCAGAAAGCUUGGAGUACUUAUCUGUCAAAGUCUUCAGCUCUACCUGUGUUGACACAAGGUCAUCAGGCGUCAGGUUGAGGAGAUUCUGUCUGAGUUUCUCCUUCUUGAGCUUAGCAACCUUGGCUUGUUUGGCUUGCUGCUCCUUCCACUUGGCCUCGUUGAUGAAUGUGGCCACCAUGUGGCUGAUGCCUGGGGGAAGUUUCAAAUCAUCAAGUGGAGUGUUGGGGUCCUCAUACCAGAUAUUGAUAUAGUCGAGGAGGACUUUUGGGUCCAUGGCCAGAGGAAUGGAGCUGCCAGAAGCUUGAGAUACCCUCUCUUGCUUGUUUCUGAUCAUUGCUUGCAGAGUGUCAUCAUCAAAUUCAUCACUACCUUCUGAUGCAGAAGGGACCGUGAUGAUUUUUCUUGGGCUGGGUCUUGUUCCUCUCCCAGCAGUCACCUUAGUCUUCAGAGGAGUUGGUGAAGACUUUGUCUCCGAGCUUGUUGCAGAUGGGAGUGAGGAGCUGGAGGCAGCGGGCAGUGGCUUCACUACCGGCUUCUGUUCAGGCUUUGAAGCUUGUGGUGGUGCUGAGGAUUUUGGUGCUGAGGGUUUUGGCGCUGAUGGUUUUGGUGCUGAUGCUGGAGCUGUUUUCUCUUGAGGCUUUGAAGCCUUUGGUUUUGGUGGCACCGACUUUUGUUGAGGAAUUGCUGUACCAGAAGUCUCAGGAGCAGAGGAAGUAGCGGCAGUUGAAGUAGCAACAGAUGAUUCGUUGAACUUCCUCACAGCAGCCUCUGCCUGCUUCUUGAGCUUUGACAAGUGUUUUGCCUUUUUAUCAGGAUAAUCAUCAAGUGUUUUGAGGCUUGAGGGAUCUGCUGCUUGAUAAUCCUCAAGUGGAGCCCGUUUGCCAGGAGGCUUCAGAGCAAAUUUCUUCGCAUAUUUGGGAGUGACGAAUCUGUAGUCCUUCCACUCCUUAGCCCAGCGGCGUUCUAUCUUCUGAAACCGAAUCUUUCUCUUGGGCAUAGUUUCAUUUUCAUCAGGAGUGCAGUAAUCCAGGUAUAUAUCCUCAGGGAUAUCUGCGGCAGUAUUCUGUACAAGUUUCUUGCCUCCCUUUUGCUUCCUGUCAUCCUCCAUUUUCUUCAGCUGAGGAUUUUGCUGAUGAGAUUGAACUCUUGAGGAUUCUGAUGAGACUUGAAGAUUUUCUUCAAGAAACGCUGCAAAUGAGUUAAUUUGAUGAGAACCGAGAGAUUCAUCAGCUGACAUGUGUGUACCUGUGAAUAGAGUAUAGUUGCGAGGAAUUUGGAGAGGUCAUAUGCGUUCUCAGAUUUGAGGAAAAUGAAAAGAAAUUGACAGUUGAGGAAUUUGACCAGUGGUUGAGGAAUUUGUCUAAGCAUAUUGUUCUUGGGUUCCAGAGUUGUACAGAUCUGAAAAUUUGCACAACUGAGAAAUCUCGUGACAAUCUUAGAUGCUUAGUGAAGUUCAUCAAUAGUUUGGUGAUAGGCAGUGUCCGAGGAAAAGAAACAGAUGGAUUCUUGAGGAAAAACAGAUUUCACAUCUCACAAGUAAAAUAGUAGAUCAAACUUCCGAUAAAAAUAGGGUUUUUAUUUACCCUAUAUGGCGCGCACGAAGAACAGAGAAGAGUAGCACGAGAAGCUCUUUCGGUGCGUGUCCAAUGCGCCCUAACUCGGCAGCAGAGGACGUCUACGGCGGCGGCGGACGAGGAUGGUCCGACUCCGGCGUGGUUUCGGCGACGGAAAAGUCGAGGCAGUGAAGCUCUUCUUGGUCGGCGUCGAGACUUCCAGCGGUGGCGCUAGGGUUCGGAGCUUUGCUGUAGCAGGAGGGCGAUGGAACGAAGAAGAUUUUACCGAGGGAGAUGGGGACAUAUUUAUAGCCAUUUGGUAACUGUUGGCGCGAAAAUAUCGUACCAAAUAGCCCCUGCCUCUACGACUCGGCAGGACACGUGUAGCUCACGAGAGAAGUGGUGGAGAUCGUGGAGAUCGUGGUUAUCCGAACAAGGAAAGUGGGGUUUAGUUACUGUGCAUCAGAAAAGACAUUUUUAAAGAUUUGAUGAUUUUGUUACAAAAUCAUCAGCUGACAAGGACGUAGUGAGGAUUUUGAACAAAGUUUCAAGUAGAACGCAUAUGAAGAAUUGAAUAGACUGGAUGAGAAUAGCAUAGAGGGAAAGUAGGGUCUGAUCACAUUCACUUAGAUGACAAAUCAAAUUGAAGAAAUAUCUAUAAGUGAAUGUUGUUGAGGACUUGAAAUCACAGUCUAUCUAGGUAAACAAAAAUCAUCAAGUGUUUUCGAAGAUUUGAAUAACUUGAGGAUUUUGCGAUAAAUCGUCACUACGAUGAAUUUUAGUUUUGAGGAAAAACGAUUUUGAAGAACAACUGUUUUGAAGAAAAUCAAAAUUUGAAGAAUUGAAUCUNNNNNNNNNNNNNNNNNNNNNNNNNNNNNNNNNNNNNNNNNNNNNNNNNNNNNNNNNNNNNNNNNNNNNNCAAAAUUUGAAGAAUUGAAUCUUUGAAGAAAUUCAGCUUGAGGAAUUUCACAUUGGGCGGUGGCGUGACCCACCGUAUAAGAAUGUUGAUUACAGACGCCGCGUACAAUUGUCGUAGGACCCUGAGAAUCAAUUUCUUCGUUGAUUUCUUCACACUCAGAGUGAUAUUCUUCAUUAGUUGAAAAAAAUCGAUUCAUCGUGUGUUGCACAUCUAAGUCAUCAAUUUUGCAUAAGUGUUAGGAUGUGUGCAUGUUUUUACAAAACUUUUGAAGAUUCUAAGAUAUUUAGCUCACACCGCAACUUGCAAAACCUUUUCUCAUCCAAGGGCUUAGUGAAUAUAUCUACCAGUUGAUCAUCAGUCUUCACAUGGUCGAUGAGGAUAUUGCCCUUGAGAACAUGAUCCUGAAGAAAAUGAUGACGAAUCUGGAUGUGCUUGGUCUUCGAGUGCUGCACUAGAUUGUAUGCAAUCUUGAUUGCACUCUCAUUGUCGCAGUAGAGAGGCACAUUCUUCAUGUUGAUGCCGUAGUCCUUGAGGGUUUGCUUCAUCCAUAGCAAUUGAGCACGGCAUGAGCCAUCAGAAUUGUACUCAGCUUCGGCAGUGGAGAGUGAUACGUACUUCUGCUUCUUUGAGGACCAGCAAACUAGUGAUCUUCCGAGGAAAUGUCAUGUGCCAGAGGUUGACUUGCGAUCCACACGGUCACCAGCAUAGUCAGAAUCAGAAUACCCUACCAGAUGAAUAUUUGAGCCCUUGGGGUACCAUAAUCCUAGUGUUGGUGUGUGAGCUAAGUAUCGAAGAAUAUGCUUCACAGCCUUAUGGUGUGAUUCCUUCGGUUUUGCUUGAAAACAUGCACACAUGCAAACACUAAGCAUUAUAUCUGGCCUAGAUGCACAUAAAUACAAUAAAGAGCCAAUCAUAGAGCGAUAUACCUGCUGAUCGAAUUCUUUACCAUUUUCGUCAGUGUAGAGGUGGUCGUUGGUAGGCAUUGGAGUCUUGGAACCUUUGCAUUCAUGCAUGUCGAAUUUCCUCAGAACAUCCUUGAGGUAUUUCUCCUAUGAUAUGAAGAUUCCAUUGCGUUGUUGACGAAUUUGAAGACUUAAGAAGAAUUUCAGCUCCCCCAUCAUAGACAUCUGAUAUUCUUCACUCAUCAUGUAAGCAAAUUCAUCACUGUAUCGUUUGUCAGUACAACCAAAUAUAAUGUCAUCCACAUAUAUCUGGCACACAAAUAGCUCAUUAUCAUAGGAUUUAGUGAAAAGAGUUGGAUCGAGUGAACCAGGUUUGAAGCCUUUCUUCAUGAGGAAUUCCUUCAAUGUAUCAUACCAUGCCCGAGGGGCUUGCUUGAGACCAUAGAGCGCCUUUUUGAGUCUGAAGGCUUUGUGUGGAUUCUUUGGAUCCUCAAAACCUGGGGGCUAAGCAACAUAUACUUCUUCCUCAAGCUUACCAUUGAGGAAUGCACUUUUCACAUCCAUUUGAUAUAAGAUGAUGUUAUGAUGAUUAACAUAAGAAAGUAGUAUUCGAAUAGCUUCAAGUCUAGAAACAGGUGCAAAAGUUUCAUCGAAAUCUAUUCCUUCAUCCUGGGUGUAGCCUUGGGCUACAAGUCGUGCCUUAUUCCUCACCACUUGACCAUCCUCAUCUUGCUUGUUUCGGAUAAUCCACUUGGUUCCGAUGAUAUUGUGCUUGCGAGGAUCUGGUCGUUUGACUAGCUCCCAUACGUCAUUCAGCUUGAAUUGAAGAAGUUCGUCUUGCAUCACUUGGAUCCACUCCGGUUCCAGGAAAGCCUCAGCAACUUUUGAGGGUUCUGUGAUAGAUAAAAAGGAGAAAUGCCCAAAAAAGUUAACUAAGUGUGAAGCUUUUGAGAGAGUGAGAGGACCUAGCAUGUUGAUGUCAUUGAGGAUUUUGUCAAGUUCCACUUCAUUUGCAAUCCUCGGAUGAGCUGGUUGAGGAUUUCGUCCGGGCUGAGGAAUUGGUUCUGGAGCAAUUUCCUCAGGAGCACCUUCUUGAUUUUCAUCAGUGAUGGGGAUGAUUUCUUCAUCAAUUUCCUCAAUGGGAACAAUGUCUUCAGUAGGUUUUAGCUUUAUUGCUUCGUCAGGAGACAGCUUAUCUAGAUCAGAAGGCAAUUGCUCUCUUUGCGAGCCAUUAGUUUCAUCGAACCGCACAUCUAAAGUCUCAACAACUUUGUUGUGACAGUUGUUGAAGACUCUGUAGGUGUGCGAGUCCUUUCCAUAACUGAGCAUAAAACCCUCAUGUGCCAUAGGUGCAAAUUUUGAGCUAUGGUGAGGAUCUCUAAUCCAACAUUUUGCACCGAAGACUUUGAAAUAACUUACAUUGGGUUUCUUGUCAGUGAGGAGUUCAUAUGAGGUUUUCUUUAGGAAUUUGUGAAGUUAUACCCUGUUGAUGAUAUGGCAUGCAAUGUUGAUUGCUUCAAGCCAAAAGCGACGAGGAGUCUGAUAUUCUUCAAGCAUGGUUCUUGCCAUCUCAACCAGAGUCAUGUUCUUCCUUUCGAUGACACCAUUCUGUUGAGCAGUAUAAGGAGCAGAUAAUUCGUGAGUAAUACCAAGUUCAUCAAGAUAAUCAUCAAGACCAGUGUUUUUGAACUCUGUUCCAUUAUCACUCCUGAUAUGUUUGAUCUUGAUGCCGAAGUUCGUCGAGGCCUUGAAGAAAAUCGUUUGAAGAUUUCCCGCACUUCAGUUUUAUAUAAGAUGAUAUGCACCCAUGUAUAUCUGGAAUAAUCAUCAACUAUGACGAAGCCAUAAAAAGAUGCUGCAUUUUUUAGUGUGGCAUAGUGAGUAGGUCCAAAUAGAUCCAUGUGAAGCAAUUCGAAUGGACGAGUAGUGGUCAUGAUAGUUUUCGAGGGAUGCUUGAAUCUGGUCAUUUUCCCAGAUUCACAUGCACAGCAGAGAUGAUCCUUGAGGAAUUUGACUGAUUCGAUGCUGAUGACAUGCUUCUUCUUCGCGAGCGUGUGCAAAUUCCUCAUGCCUGCAUGACCGAGUCUUCGAUGCCACAGCCACCCUUCUGAGGUUUUUGCUAGUAAGAAAGUGGUUGGUUGAGGACCUGUAGAGAAAUCAACAAUGUACAAAUCCCCUCUUUUGACACCUUCGAAGACUUUGGAUUUGUCAGAUUCCAUGAUCACAACACAUCUAUAUCUACCAAAGAUAACAAUCAUAUCAAGAUCACAAAGCAUUGAGACCGACAUGAGGUUAAAUCCAAGGGGUUCAACAAGCAUCACUUUGUCCAUAUGCCUAUCCUUGGAAAUAGCCACUUUGCCAAGUCCCAAUACCUUGCUUUUACCUUUGUCAGCAUAUGUGAUUUGCUUCAGAGGUGAUGGAAUUAGUGGCAUAUUCAUCAGCAAGCUUUUAUCACCAGUCAUGUGAUGUGUGCAGCCACUAUCAAGAACCCACUCAGUACUCUUGGGUUUGUCAUCCUGUAGAUGAAUUAGUACAUCUUACCAUCUCAUAUGCUUCAGAUUUGAAUAAUAUGAUAUCAAUUUCAUCAGAUAGGAAUUUCAUCAUAACAUAAUUAUAAGGAUGUGUGAAAUAUUUCUAUUUCAUCAAUAUUAGCUUGCAUCCUAUCAAGCAUUUCCUCAGGUCUCCAGCAAAUUCUUUAGAUGAUGAUUUUCAUCUGGAGACCUGACCUGCAGAAGUGAUUAGUUCAAUUUCUUCACCACUCAUAUCUAAAGGGGUGGUAAAGCAUUCAUCAUCCUGCGAGCACCAUAUGAGAAAGGGGGCAUUGAAGCUAAUGCACUUCUCUUAGCAGUAGGGGGGUUAAAGUACUCAUAUGAAUAUGCAGAGAACUGGUUUGAGGAUUUAUAAACAUAAUGACUUGUAGAGUAACGCUCAUAUUCAUAUUCCUUGUAGUUUCCCUGCAUGUUAGAAGCAUUAGCACGGGUACGAGCAUAAUUUUGACCAUUUGAGGAUUUUGGUCCUCUUGAAGACUUUAGUCCUCCUAAGGAAUUUGAUCUCGGGUUCAAAUUCUUCAUCGGUGAUGUCAUGAGGACAUUCACCUAAAGAUUUUCAAGACAACUUUUGGAAACCCAGAUUUUCCUCAAGGGAGGGCCAUUCCUGUAGUUAGUUCCAACAUAUCGAGAAAAUACUUCACCAGAUUGAUUUUUGAAUAGAUUAUAGUUGGAGUCAAAUGACUCAUCUGAGGAAUAGGAUAAUUCACAUGAAAAGCCAGUUAGAUUGGAUGGAUCAAAAGGAGGCCCAGUAGAAGCAACCCAUGAGGUUUUGGGAUACUGCUCAGGUUUCCAAUAAGAUCCAUCAGCAUUCAAUUUCCUCUCAAAGGCAAUUCCUUCUUUCCUCGGGUUCCUGUUCAAGAUCUGCUUUUUGAGCACAUCACAAAAGGUUUGAUGUCCUUUGAGGCUUUUGUAUAUGCCUGUCACAUACAAUUUCUUCAGCCCUGCAUUUUCAUCAGCGACAUUUGUGUUUUCCUCAAGUGAGGAAUUUGACACUACAGGAGCAGUUGAAGAAUUUGUAGCAAUUGAAGCAUUUGAUGAUUCUGGUGAAGAAUUAGCAGUUUCACGUUCAAUGCAUUUAAGACAUGGAGGAAUGAAUUCAGCUUGAGCAGCGCUGUUCUGUUGAGCUAGUAAUGAAUCAUUUUCCAUUCGAAGAUCAUCAUGAGAAAUCCUCAACUUCUCUAGAUCAAGCUUCCUUUGAAGAAAUUCAUAGGAAAGUUUCUCAUGAUCAGCGAGGAGUGUAACAUGAUGAUCUUAAAGAUUAUCAAAUUUAGACUGAAGACUUUUCAUGUCAUGAGUGAGGAUUUGGGUAAGAUUCAUUUCAUCAUUUAACAGAUCAUCGCUUCUAUCUAGCAGUUUCUGAAGUUUUCCAGGGCAGUUCGUUGUUUGGUGGCAAUGAUAGCAAGUUUACUGUAACUGGGUUUUUUUUAUAAUCAUCAGGUUUAUAGUCACUUGAAUCAGAGGAGGAAGCAUCAUUCGGUACCUUUGAACCUUUUGCCAUGAAGCAAUACGUUGGAGCGAAGUCAUCAACAUAGUCAUCAGUGUGGAUGGUGUUACCAUCUUCUUCAAGGUUGAAGAUUGACUUGCUGACGAAAGUGGUUGCAAGUGCAAGACUAGCCUGUCCGGAUUCUGAGUCUUCAUCAGAACCUUCCUCUUCAUCACAUUCCUCCGAUUCUGCCUCGGAAUCCAUUUCCUUGCCAAUAAGUGCCCGAGCCUUUCUGAAACUGGUCUUCUUGUGCGAUGAGGACUUUGAAGAUGAGGAUUUUGAAGAUUUCUUUUUCUUCUUCGAGUCAUCAGAAUUGUCAUCCUUGUAUUUCUUCUUCUUUGAUUCCUUUUCCCAACGGGGACAAUCAGCAAUGUAGUGACCUAAUUUCUUGCAUUUGUGGCAGGGUCUUUUCUUUCUUUUCUUGUAGUCCUCAGAUGAAGAUUCUGAUUUCCUCAUAUCUCUUCUUGAAGAUUUACCGAACUGACCACGUCGUGUAAACCUGUGGAAUUUCCUCACGAGCAUUGCAAGCUCCUGUCCAAAUUCUUCAGGAUCACUAAUGCUAUCAUCCGAGUCUUCUUCUUCAGAUGAGGAAAUUGCUCUAGCCUUCAGUGCGCGUGGUCUAGAGUAGCUUGGUCCAUAUAGAUCUCUCUUUUCUUCUUGCUGGAAUUCAUGAGUAUUGAGUCUUUCGAGUAUAUUAGCUGGAUCAAGCAUCUUGUAGUCUGUUCUUUCUUGAAUCAUCAAAACUAAAGUAUCAAAUGAAGAAUCCAAAGAUCUUAGCAGUUUCUUCACAACUUCGUGAUCAGUAAUGUCUCGAGCUCCCAGUGCUUGCAGUUCAUUUAAUAUGACAGUGAGGCGAUCAAAGGUAUCUUGGCAGCUUUCAUUGUCAAACCUCUUGAAGUGAUUGAAGAGAUUGCGAAGAACAUCAACACGAGAAUCACGUUGGGUUGAUACUCCUUCAUUUACUUUGGACAGUAUUUCGCAGAUAAGUUUCGCUGANNNNNNNNNNNNNNNNNNNNNNNNNNNNNNNNNNNNNNNNNNNNNNNNNNNNNNNNNNNNNNNNNNNNNNNNNNUUUCGCAGAUAAGUUUCGCUGAGCCCAAAGCACUCACUCUGCCAAACUGGCCUGGGCUCAGAUGGCCAUAGAUGAUAUUCUUCGCUUGAGAAUCAAGUUGCUUGAAUUUCUUCACAUCAGCAGCAGAGAUACUAGCAGAGAUGAUGGGGACGCCAUGUUCCACAAUAUACCAGAGAUCAUUGUCAAUAGCUUAUAGAUGCAUCUGCAUCUUGGUCUUCCAGAAGGGAAAGUUCUUUUCUUCGAAAGUAGGACAUGCUGCAGUAACCUUAAUCAUGCUUGCAGUCGACAUAACUAAAACUCCAGGUGGUUAAACCAAAAUCACACAGAACAAGGGAGUACCUUGAUCUGAUACCAAUUGAAAGUGUGUCAUAUCGACUAGAGGGGGGGGGGGGGUGANNNNNNNNNNNNNNNNNNNNNNNNNNNNNNNNNNNNNNNNNNNNNNNNNNNNNNNNNNNNNNNNNNNNNNNNNNNNNNNNNNNNNNNNNNNUGGAGUAUGGAGAGGGGGGGGGGGGGGGGGGUGAAUAGGAGAUUUUAGAAUUUCAUCACUAAGGAAAUUCCUUUUGAGGAAAUUCGUCACUGAUGACUAACUUACAUCGGAAACAGUAAAGGAUCACGAGUGCAAAGUUUCACAACAGCAGUUUUUCAGGAUGAAGAAUGUGAAAACAGAUUGCACAGUAAGCAGGUACGCAGAAAACAAAUGAAGAUUAACUUGCGUGAAGAAUUUGGGGUUGAGGAAUUUCAGAGAAAGUCUUCAGCAAAUUCUUCAAACAGUGACAGUGAAAAUCAUCAACACAUAAUCUGAGGAAUAUAAAGAGUUGAGGAAUUAGAACCCGUUUCACAACGAAGACAAUAGUUGAUGACCCAGUUCCAACUACUGUGACAGUUGUACAUCUGGUUUGGAGUGGCUUGGUAUUGAAACCAAAAGACACACAGUCCCUACCGUAUUCUCCUUGGGCUAAGAACACACCGUCCUCGCCCAACACUCGUGGUAAGUCUUCAGGGCAGACUUCCAAACCCUCACAAACUUGGUCACCCGGCGAUCCACAAUUGACUGCUGGAUUGCUCUAUACCAUGACGCCUAACCGUCUAGAGGAUGCACAGUCCUCAAAGGUAAAAGUCUUCAGUCCCACACAGGAACAACUUCUUCAGUGAUGCUCAAUCAAUUGGUUUUCAGUUUGUGGUUUGGUGUUUGGAGUAUUUCCUCACUGAUGAAUUACUCUCUAAGACUCUGAGGAAUUUGGGUUGCUCUUAUGACAAGUGUCAGUUUCUAACGGAGCAGCCAACCAACUAAUGGUUGUGGGGGCGGCUAUUUAUAGCCUGGGAGCAUCCCAACAUGAUUUGACAUUAAUGCCCUUAACUAAUAUGACCUUGGUGUGGAUAAGACCAAUGAUGUGGCGUGGCUAUCGAAACGGUCGGGACCCUCAACUGUGAGAGCCCUCAUGUCACUCAUAUUCCUCACUUGAGGCUUUUGGUAGGAUUAGGCUUGGGUUGAGCAUCAUGAGGAAAUUCAUUCCAAUGUGUUACCUCGACCUCCUUUAACAGUACGGUGUUCCUAUUACUCAAAUGUGAAGAAAACAAAACAGAAAGAGUAAAUCUUCAUGCUUCAAAGUCUUCAGAAUGAUUUUCUUCAGGACACAUCGAAUUCCUCAAUUUCAAUAUCUUCAUGAGGAAUAUCAAUUUCAUCUNNNNNNNNNNNNNNNNNNNNNNNNNNNNNNNNNNNNNNNNNNNNNNNNNNNNNNNNNNNNNNNNNNNNNNNNNNNNNNNNNNNNNNNNNNNNNNNNNNNNUAAUGACGUGAUCCAGUUAUCAAGCAACAACACCUUGUACAUAAUCAGAAGACCCUGACUAUCCUUGAUUAACUGGCUAGCCAACUAGAGGCUUGCUAGGGACAGUGUUUUGUCUAUGGAUCCACACAUGUAUAUAAGUCUUCAUUCAAUACAAUUAUAGCAUGGAUAAUAAACGAUUAUCUUGAUACAGGAAUUAUAAUAAUAACUAUAUUUAUUAUUGCCUCUAGGGCAUAAUUCCAAUAGAUCCACCAUCGCACACAGUUUGUGUCGUUGGUAACAGAGCUUGAACUAUACUGUUUGCGAUUGGUGUAUCGCACAGAGUUUCGUCGAAGGGUCUCUGAUUGAUGUGUCAUCUUUGGACCAUCAUGUAGUAGUGAGUGUUUGCUCUUUUUUGCAUAGGCGCUGAAGAUGGGGGUUGGGUGAUACUCCUAUUGGUUCGAUAACCUUGGUUCUCAAUGAGAGAAAUAAUUGUCUAUAUUGUGUUGCAUCAUCCCCUCCUCUUCGAGAAAAAAGCGCAAUGCAUAUCACAAGUAUCACGCACCCCCGACCUAAACAACACUAGGAUUUCAAUGAGGAAUAAGAAUGCCCACAUAUCAUUACUAUGCCAUAACCAAUAUUUAGAUGAACAACAAAUUAUCACCCUUUAACUAACGAUAUUUUUACUAACCAACAAUCAUGCACUCACGCCUUUUCAUAUUACCACAUCAAUAUCAUUAACUCACAUUUUUUAUGUGCUACAUGAAGGUUUUGAUUAUGCACUCUUUGAAUACCAAUUGUUUUUGGACUAGUAUUAUAAGCCAUGAAAAUUACCGUCACUGUUUAUUAACUCUCUGUUAGAGCAUAUUUCUCCAUAUGUGGUUUUGUAAUUGAUGACAAUCCCUAUGGACUAAUGGUUGCCUUAAGUUAUAUUUGAAGGAUUUGUCCAUAGGCACUUCUUGAAGUCCAUCUAUUGGUUUCAAGGAGUUUAUAUGAUGACCAAGGUGGUAUUCAAGGUAUUAUCCAAAGAAUGGUCAUAAAGACACAAGCUUGAUCAAGACUAAGACAAAGAGUAAAUCAAGAUGAUCAAUAUACAAAGCGUACAAGAUGUACCGAGAGGGAUCAAGUGAUCCCAUGGUAUGGUAAGCAUUGUCCAUAGCGCUUUUGUGUACUAACUCAUGGUCUUCAUGAGAGUUCUAUGUGGGGUUAGGUGUGUUUCCAUGGGUUUGCGUAAAGAGGAAGAUCUCAUUCAACCUAUGAAGGAUGACAUCAAGUGGUGGUCGUCGUCAAGAUUGCGGUGUGCAAGUUCAAGCGGAGCAUCAUGAAGAUAUCAGGCUUGAAGCUUAUCGUCCAUUGUGGUGGCAAUGAACUUGUGAAGAUGUGUUGAAGAGUGGCUCACCCAUAGUUAGUAUGGGGGAGCAAACAACUAGUCUUCAUCAAACCAACACAAUCAAGAAAGGUAGUCCAUCUUGAGGAAGUCAAGAUCAUCAUCAUCUAGCUCAAGAGGACUAGGUGCAAGGUAUAGGUUUGACCUUGAUAGGCUUUUCUAUUUUAGGAUAGAUUGUCGUACUGUCAAGGGGGGCUGAUACGUCUCCGUCGUAUCUACUUUUCCGAACUUUUUUGCCCUUGUUUUGGACCCUAACUUGCAUGAUUUGAAUGGAACUAACCCGGACUAACGUUGUUUUCAGCAGAAUUGCCAUGGUGUUGUUUUUGUGCAAAAAUAAAAGUUCUCGGGAUAUCCUGAAAAUUUACGGAGAUUUUUCCUGGAAUAAAAGAAAAAUACUUGCGCAAAGAUCUACCAGAGGAGGUGGACCAGUGGGCCACAAGCCCACAGGCCGCGGCCACCCCCCCGGCCGCGUCGUGAGGGCUUGUGGGCCCCACGUGGCUCCACCGCCCCCAAACUCAGCUCUAUAUCUUCCGUCUCGCCCAGAGAAAAAAAUCAGAGAGAAGGUUUCAUCGCGUUUUGCGAUACGGAGGCGCCGCCACAUCAUGUUCUUCAUCUGGAGGGCAGAUCUGGAGUCCGUUUCGGGCUCCGUAGAGGGGAAAUCGUCGCCAUCGUCAUCAUCAACCUUUCUCCAUCGACAAUUCCAUGAUGCUCUUCAUCGUUCGUGAGUAAUCUCAUCGUAGGCUUGCUGGACGGUGAUGAGUUGGAUGAGAUCUAUCAUGUAAUCGAGUUAGUUCUUGACGGGGAUUGAUCCCUAGUAUCCACUAUGUUCUAGAUUGAUGUUGCUACUACUUGGCUAUGCUUAAUGCUUGUCACUAGGGCCCGAGUGCCAUGAUUUCAGAUCUGAACCUAUUAUGUUGUCGCCAAUAUAUGUGUGUUUUAGAUCCUAUCUUGCAAGUUGUAGUCACCUACUAUGUAUUAUGACCUGGCAACCCCGGAGUGACAAUAGCCGGAAACACUCCCGGAGAUGACCAUAGUAUGAGGAGUUCAUGUAUUCAUCGUGUGUUAAUGCGUUGGUACGGUUCUUUAUUAAAAGGAGAACCUUAAUAUCCCGUAGUUUCCAUUAGGACCCCGCUGCCNNNNNNNNNNCAUCUUGCAAGUUGUAGUCACCUACUAUGUGUUAUGACCCAGCAACCCCGGAGUGAUAAUAGCCGGAACCACUCCCGGAUAUGACCAUAGUAUGAGGAGUUCAUGUAUUCACCGCGUGUUAAUGCAUUGGUCCGGUUCUUUAUGAAAAGGAGAACCUUAAUAUCCCGUAGUUUCCAUUAGGACCCCGCUGCCACGGGAGGGAUGGGCAAUACAUGUCAUGCAAGUUCUUUUCCCUAAGCACGUAUGACUACAUACGGAAUACAUGCCUACAUUAGAUUAACGAAUGGGAGCUAGUUACUUAUCUCUCCAUGUUAUAGCUGUUACAUGAUGAAUCACAUCCAUCACACUCAUCCAUCACUGAUCCACUGCCUACGAGUCUUGUACUACUGGUCCUUGCUACGUUACUUUGUCUAGGCUUGUCCCUUGCUANNNNNNNNNNNNNNNNNNNNNNNNNNNNNNNNNNNNNNNNNNNNNNNNNNNNNNNNNNNNNNNNNNNNNNNNNNNNNNNNNNNNNNNNNNNNNNNNNNNNAUUCAUACCGUGCGGUGACCUUUCCUAGUGACAGAAGGGGCAGCAAGGCACGCAUCGUGUUGUUGCCAUCAAAGGUAACAAGAUGGGCUUUCAUCAUAGAUUUGAGAUUGUCCAUCUACAUCAUGUCAUCUUUCUUAAGGCGUUACUCUGUUCUUAUGAACUCAAUACACUAGAUGCAUGCUGGAUAGCGGUCGACGUGUGGAGUAAUAGUAGUAGAUGCAUAAAGUAUCGGUCUACUUGUUUUGGACAUGAUGCCUAUAUGUAUGAUCAUUGCCAUAGAUAACUUCAUGACUUUGCGUGGCUCUAUCAAUUGCUCGACAGUAAGUCGUUCACCCACCGUCUACUUGCUUUCAUGAGAGAAGCCACUAGUGAACACUACGGCCCCCGGGUCUAUUCACAACUAUCAUCUCCGCUUUUACUUUUACUUCGCUUUGUUUACUUUUUGCUUUCAGUUCUCACUUUGCAAACAAUCUAUAAGGGAUUGACAACCCCUUCAUAGCGUUGGGUGCAAGCUCUUUGUGUUUGUGCAGGUACUUGUGACUUGACGCGAUCCUCCCACUGGAUCGAUACCUUGGCUCUCAAACUGAGGGAAAUACUUACCGCCGCUGUGCUACAUCACCCUUUCCUCUUCAAGGGAACACCAACGCAAGGCUCCAAGGCCGCGGGGAAAUCCUUUGCAUAUUUGCCAAGGAAGUCCCUAUAGGCGUAGCCCGUAGCAGCAGAAUUCCUAGCGCCAUUGCGAGGGAAGGUCUGUUGUCGCAGUAGCACAUACAGAUAACUCAGAUGAAUUAUGUGCGAUGAGCGAAAAUAACACAAACAAAUAACAUUAUUGCAUAACCAAAUUAAACAUGAAAUACAUAAAUGACUACACACAUAACAUUGGAACACCUCAAUAAACAAUUACACACAUAAAAACAUGAUUACAUAACCUAAUUAAGCAUCCAAAUACAUAAGUGACUACACACAUAACAUUGGCGCCCACCUCAAUAAACUAUUACAUGCAUAAUAAACUAUAAGAAACGAUCAUCAAAUCAUCUUCUUAUUGCGACGCUUGCCGCCAUCACUGUGCUUGCGGCUUGAUCCCUCAUCGUCUUCAGGUAGGAGGCACUUCAUCAUGUCAAAAAUCUGCGUGAACAUCACGUAGCAUGCGUAUGCUUCCUUGGUCGUGGUCUAGAUGUGAUAUUCAUCUGGUCUCUCACCCACGCCUUGUGCCAGACAAGCUUAUUUUUGUCGCACUCGGUCUUCAUGUCUCUGUAGUAGGGGUCAAUGAUGGCCACGACGAGGUCAACAUGGGAAUCCUUGUCCUUCUUGCUUCCCCAGACCUUGUAGUGGUCGUGGAUGUCGACAAGCUUCUAGCAUGCCUAGCCUGAAGUCUUGAGCACCUUUGGAUCGUUGGUGGUGUCCACCGUAGCAAGCCUGUAGUCGUGGUUGUUGACAAACCUCGUGAAACACUCGCAAGGCUUUGUGGCCAGGCAGUAGUGAUAAAGGAGGGCGUGAUGGCGCACGCACAACUGGGCAAGACAACCUUCUCAUCAUGCCCGGCACGACCACCGGUGUACGCGAGGUCGAAGCUGACCACUUUGUACUUGUCAUCUGCAGCAAGCAAUAGCUGCAUGGUGUUGAUGGAGUUCUCCACCACGGCCGGGUCGACGGUGUACACCAUCGUGAGGUCCGUCUUACUCAAGUGGGUGUCCACAUGAUGCACGCCGAACUCCAUUAGAGUGCCGCUUAUUGUGUCGUCGAGGGUGUGCUUAUUGUGUUGUGGGGUGCGAUCGAAAGCAUGAAGAGACUAUGCUUAGUGGCCGCAUGUAUAAAUGAGAGCGAGACGUCCUGGAAAACCGACAUGUCUGGAUGGCAGUUUUUGCAGCGCGUGAUUUACUCAUGGAGCACGUAACUGCAUGGGGCGACACAUGUGGCGCAACCGCAUGCAUAUGGAGCUCCGAACAUGAUUGAGGGCAGGCCCCAACCGUUGGCAGAGCAUGCACAGAGGGGCACGAGAGCAGAGCACGCAGAGGGAUGCGAGAGUAGAGCGCCACAAGGAACAUAAGGUCGAACCAAACCAUUUUGUAAUGUCCUUGUCAAGCAAUACGUCCAUAACAUAGGAGUUCUCCACCCAGAUCGGAUGGUUGGUGUACACCACCGAGAGCUCGGUACGUGAACCUUCUGUGCGUAUCCACUACGACAUGCAUGGUGAUCUCGCACUCGUCGUCGUCAGCCACUCGGAGGGCCAUUGGAGCCCUGCAAGAUACCCUCGAUCGUGGUUGUGCUUCUUAAGGUCGAGAUAUUAACCAUCAAUUGCAUAUUAAGGUCCAAAUACUAAUCGUACAUUGCACGCUUAGGAAAAUUGUACUACCAAAAUACGAGUCUCAUACGAUGUCAUUUGAAUGAUUGUAUCAUAAAUGACAAAAGUAGUACAAAAAUUCAAAUUCUAGAAUUACAAGGCUCAAACUCGAAGAUUACAAGGUUCAAACCGAUAAUAGAAAUGAAAUUCAGCUUAUGUAGAAACUUUGUCAUGCAGCUCGAGAUGCCCGCGCUGAUCAGCUGAACAUGAACACAUGAGAGGUUCAUGCUGAUGUUACAACUAGAUUCACAACUUCAAUAUUUCCGCAAAGGGAUCCGCCAGUGACAUGUCAUGUAUGGGCUUGACAUAAGGACUUUCAAAUAGUCUAUUAGCUGAAGUUACAAAAUGAAAUCGAGCUUCUGUAGAGCCUUUUUCAUUCUGUCCUAGUCACCGAAGCUGAUCAGCAAACCAUUCUUUUUUGCGGAGUAAAUGUNNNNNNNNNNNNNNNNNNNNNNNNNNNNNNNNNNNNNNNNNNNNNNNNNNNNNNNNNNNNNNNNNNNNNNNNNNNNNNNNNNNNNNNNNNNNNNNNNNNNUAGUCAUCUUUGAGCAACGGGGUUACUCGUAGCGAUGAAACCAGUCUCUCGUAAGCGUACGAGUAAUGUCAGUCCAAGCCGCUUCAAUCCAACAAUACCGCGGAAUCAAGAAAAGACUAAGGAGGGCAGCAAAACGCACAUCACCGCCCACAAAAACUUUCGUGUUCUACUCGAGAAGACAUCUACGCAUUAACCUAACUCAUGAUGCCACUGAGGGGGAACGUCGCAUGGGAAACAAAAAAAUUCCUACGCGCACGAAGACCUAUCAUGGUGAUGUCCAUCUACGAGAGGGGAUGAGUGAUCUACGUACCCUUGUAGACGUACAGCAGAAGCGUUAGUGAACGCGGUUGAUGUAGUGGAACGUCCUCACGUCCCUCGAUCCGCCCCGCGAACAAUCCCGCGAUCAGUCCCACGAUCUAGUACCGAACGGACGGCACCUCCGCGUUCAGCACACGUACAGCUCGACGAUUAUCUCAGCCUUCUUGAUCCAGCAAGAGAGAUGGAGAGGUAGAAGAGUUCUCCGGCAGCGUGACGGUGCUCCGGAGGUUGGUGAUGACCUUGUCUCAGCAGGGCUCCGCCCGAGCUCCGCAGAAACGCGAUCUAGAGGAAAAACCGUGGAGGUAUGUGGUCGGGCUGCCGUGGAAAAGUCGUCUCAAAUCAGCCCUAAAACCUCCGUAUAUAUAGGUGGGAGAGAGGGGACCUUGCCUUGGGGCUCAAGGAUCCCCAAGGGGGUCGGCCGAGCCAAGGGGGGAAGGUCUCCCCCCCCAAACCGAGUUGGACUUGGUUUGGUGGGUGGGAGUCCUUCCUUCCCUUCCCACCUCCUCCUUUUUUUUCUUUGAUUUUUCUUCCAAUGCGCAUAGGGCCCUUUUGGGCUGUACCACCAUCCCACUAAGGGCUGGUGCACCACCCUCUAGGCCUAUGGGCUUCCCCGAGGUGGGUUGCCCCCCCGGUGAACUCCCGGAACCCAUUCGUCAUUUCCGGUACAUUCCCGGUAACUCCGAAAACCUUCCGGUAAUCAAAUGAGGNNNNNNNNNNUCUUUCUCUUUGAUUUUUCUUCCAAUGCGCAUAGGGCCCUUUUGGGCUGUCCCACCAGCCCACUAAGGGCUGGUGCACCACCCUCAAGGCCUAUGGGCUUCCCCGGGGUGGGUUGCCCCCCCCCGGUGAACUCCCGGAACCCAUUCAUCAUUUUCGGUACAUUCCCGGUAACUCCGAAAACCUUCCGGUAAUCAAAUGAGGUNNNNNNNNNNNNNNNNNNNNNNNNNNNNNNNNNNNNNNNNNNNNNNNNNNNNNNNNNNNNNNNNNNNNNNNNNNNNNNNNNNNNNNNNNNNNNNNNNNNNCAUUUCAUCUUGGUCUAGAUGUAGGCAUGGACAUAGGGGGAGUGUUGUUCUCUCAAUGAACUCUCCCUCCCCCCAUUAUGCGUAAAUCAAUCUAGUCUUUCACUUUAGCCAUUGACAAAUGGCACUUGUGCUUCAAAGACGAGCAUUGGUCAUGAACCCAAGGAUAAUUCUUCGCGGUGUCAUACCAUUGUCUCAAACAUAGGUGGCCUCGGCCACCGCCCCUCCAUCCUCUCUUGCGUAUAAAGGAGAGGAUAUACAAUGACAAGUCAGUACAUUUUCUUGGAUGUGAUUCCUUUUUACUCACUUGUCAUGUGCCCAAGUUUCCCUUUUUCCUUAGCCGUGUUGAAACAUGUACAGCGGUACUACCGCCACGGUAGCGGUACUACCGCCAGGACCCCAGCGGUACUACCGCCAGGGGUAGCGGUACUACCGCCAGGACCCCAGCGGUACUACCGCCAGGUAUGGCAGUACUACCGCCAGGAUUCAAAAUCUAACACGACCGGCUAGAAAAUUUCUAGGGUUUCAAGGGGGAGCGGUACUACCGCCUGGGGGAGCGGUACCACCGCCAGGACCCCAGCGGUACUACCGCUGCAUCUGGCGGUACUACCGCCAGGACCCCAGCGGUACUACCGCCAGGACCCCAGCGGUACUACCGCUGGCCCGUACCCCUUGGGCUAUAUAAAGGGAGGGGGAGCCCGAUUUUUGCAUCUGUUUCUUCUUCCUCGCGGCUCCUCCCUCCCCUAGCCCGAAACCCCCCUGUUUGGAUCUCACUUCGUGGAGCUCCUUCUCCGCGUUGGUGUAGAAGGGUUGCUUCAUCUCUUCUUCCUACUCCAAGAGCCAUGAAUCCCGGUAAAGCUCCUCCCUUCUUCUAUUUGGUUGUUCUUCGUGUUCUAGGGUUAGGAGCAUUGGGGAUUGGAUUCAUCCUGUUGAUCCUAUGGCUAGUUAUUGGAUGGCAUGUAGGAAAUAUUUGAGGGGGGUAUAGGUCCGAUGGUUUGUUGUUGUGAUUGCUGCCAUGCUCUAGGAUUUCAUCGUCUUAGAUCGAAUACUUGAACUCUUGGAUUAGAUCUAAAACGUGCUCUCUCUUGCCUAGGCAUUUUUGUACCUCUUGUUACUAUGUGUUCCUCAUGACAGGAGGGCUGGGGUGUACGUCUUAGUGUUCAUGUUCAGUCCUUGCCCUCGANNNNNNNNNNNNNNNNNNNNNNNNNNNNNNNNNNNNNNNNNNNNNNNNNNNNNNNNNNNNNNNNNNNNNNNNNNNNNNNNNNNNNNNNNNNNNNNNNNNNAGUUGGGAGCAAGUUUUUGUGUUUGUGCAGGAUCUUGAGAUACUCCUCCACUGGAUUGAUACCUUGGUUCUCAAAUUGAGGGAAAUACUUACCACCGCUACGCUACAUCACCCUUUCUGCUUCGAGGGAACACCAAUGCAAGGCUCUAAGGCCACGGGGGGAAAUCCUUUGCAUACUUGCCUAGGAAGUCCCUUAAGGCGUAGCCGCAGCAAAAAGAUCAAGCCAAGUAUUCUCCCGUCGACGUGCCUAUUUUUGGCACCAUUGGAAGGUCUUUUGUUGCAGUAGCAGAAGUAUUUCUGGCGCCAUUGCUGGGGAGGAGAUAUCAAGAUCUAUCCAAGUAGGUCUCACAAACUCUUCUCUUGCAUUUACUUUUGUUGCCAGUUGCCUCUCUUUUUCCUCUCCCCCACUUCACAUUUGCCGUUUUCAUUCGCCUUUCGCCUUCGCCGUUUUCUUUUGCCUUUGCCGUUCCCUUUCGCUCGUCCGCUCUUAGGUUUGUUCGUGAGAGACCUUUCCUCAUGGCCAAACCAAACUAUUUCAAAAAAUUGGAAGAGAUUGAAACUAAUGNNNNNNNNNNGAAGUAUUCUCCCGUCGACGUGCCUAUUUCUGGCACCGUUGGAAGGUCUUUUGUUGCAGUAGCAGAAGUAUUUCUGGCGCCGUUGCCGGGGAGGAGAUAUCAAGAUCUAUCCAAGUAGGUCUCACAAACUCUUCUCUUGCAUUUACUUUUGUUGCCAGUUGCCUCUCGUUUUCCUCUCCCCCACUUCACAUUUUCCGUUUUCAUUCGACUUUCGCCUUCGUCGUUUUCUUUUGCCUUUGCCGUUCCCUUUCGCUCAUCCGCUCUUAGGUUUGUUCGUGAGAGACCUUUCCUCGUGGCCAAACCAAACUAUUUCAAAAAAUUGGAAGAGAUUGAAACUAAUGCCAAAAGUUUCAUGUCUUCGUAGUUUGACCAAAAUAGUUACUUCCGUAGGGAAUUAAAAGAGCAAAAUUCCUUUUUGGUUUGUUUGAAUAAAGAGGUUGAUGAUAUGGCCAAUGAUUUCCUUGCACUUAGUUCUCAGUUUGCUCACCUUGAAAAAUUGGUGGGCCAAAUUUCUGACAAGCAGGCUACCUUAGUCAAUAAGAUGGCAGCUAAACCUGAAAUUUGUGAUGCAAAUCACGAAGAUCUUAAAGUUCUUGGUGUGUCUCCUCUUGAAUCUUUGUUUUCGCGUGUCAAACCUACUUAUGGAGGGGCUGGAUAUGAAUCCACUUUUGUUGAAAAACGACCCAAUGAUUUGGAGUCCACCUAUCUUGAUGAUAAAGGUGUGGAGAGUGGAGUAGAAGAAGUCAAAAUUUUGGGUAGUAAUAAAACUCCCACUUUGGAUUUCAAGGAAUUCAAUUAUGAUAAUUGCUCCUUGCUUGAAUGCAUUUCUUUUAUGCAAUCCAUUGCAAACUCUCCACAUGCUUAUAGCAAAAGCAAAGCCUUUACCGCGCAUAUCGUAGAUGCCAUGAUGAAAUCUCUUGAAGAGAAGCUCGAACUAGAAGUCUCUAUACCUAGAAAACUUCAUGAUGAAUGGGAACCUACUAUCAAAAUCAAGAUAAAAAACUAUGAGUGCAAUGCUUUGUGUGAUUUGGGUGCUAGUGUUUCCGCGAUUCCAAAGUCUUUAUGUGAUAUUCUUGGUUUUCAUGAGAUUGAAGAGUGUUCUCUUAAUUUGCAUCUUGCGGGUUAUACUAUCAAGAAACCCAUGGGGAGGAUUGAUGAUGUUCUUAUUGUUGCAAAUAAGAACUAUGUACCCGUGGAUUUCAUUGUACUUGACAUAGAUUGCAAUCCUUCAUGUCCCAUUAUUCUUGGUAGACCUUUCCUAAGGACUAUUGGUGCUAUCAUCGAUAUGAAGGAAGGGAAUAUUAGAUUUCAAUUUCCUUUAAAGAAGGGCAUGGAGGACUUUACUAGAAAGAAAAUAAGAUUGCCUUAUGAAUCUAUGAUGAGGGCUACCUAUGGUUUGAGCACCAAAGAUGACUAUACGUGAUUCCAUCACUUUCGCCUAGCAAAGGGCGUUAAACAAAAGCGCUUGUUGGGAGGCAACCCAAUGAAUCUAUCCUUUUUCUUUCUCUUUUGUGUUUUUCACACUUUCAUAAUUCUGUUAUGAUUGUGUUUUUUGUGUUUCUUUUUUGCGUUUGUGCCAAGCAAAACCGUUAUGAUUAGUCUUGGGGAUGAUCGUUUGGUCAUGCUGGAAAAGACAGAAACUUUCAGCUCACGAAAAGAAUUUUCUUGUUUUUUCUGUAAGAUCUUUUGAGUUGAUUCUUUUUGCUUCUGAUUGCUACGCAAAUUAUUCAGACUAUCAUAAUUUUUAAGAAUUUGUGAAGUACCAUAGGUAUACGAAAUAUACAGAUUGCUACAGACUGGUCUGCUGUUAACAGAUUCUGUUUUUGUUGUGUUGGUUGCUUAUCUUGAUGAAACUAUGGAUAGUAUCGGGGGGUAUUAGCCAUGGAAGAUUGAAAGUACAGUAACCCNNNNNNNNNNGUUUUUUCUGCUGAUUGCUACGCAAAUUCUUCAGACUGUCGUAAUUUUUCAGAAUUUUGGAAGUACCAUAGGUAUACGAAAUAUACAGAUUGCUACAGACUGGUCUGCUAUUAACAUAUUCUGUUUUUGUUGUGUUGGUUGCUUAUUUUGAUGAAACUAUGAAUAGUAUCGGGGGGUAUUAGCCAUGGAAGAUUGAAAGUACAGUAACCCAACAUCAGCACAAGUAGAAUUUAAGUUUGCUACACUACCUAAGGAAGUGGUGGUUUGCUUUCUUGUACUAAUGUUAUCACAAGUUUCUGUUUAAGUUUCGUGUUGUGAAGUUUUCAAGUUUUGGGUGAAGUUCUUAUGGACAAAGAGAUAAAGAGUGGCAAGAUCUCAAGCUUGGGUAUGCCCAAGGCACCCCAAGAUAUUCAAGGAUGCCGUAAAUGCCUAAGCUUGGGGAUGCCCCGGGAAGGCAUCCCCUCUCUCGUCUUCAAUCUAUCGGUAACGUUACUUGGGGCUAUAUUUUUAUUCACCACAUGUUAUGUGUUUNNNNNNNNNNUGCAAGAGCUCAAGCUUGGGGAUGCCCAAGGCACCCCAAGAUAUUCAAGGAUGCCGUAAAAUCCUAAGCUUGGGGAUGCCCCGAGAAGGCAUCCCCUCUCUCGUCUUCAAUCCAUCANNNNNNNNNNNNNNNNNNNNNNNNNNNNNNNNNNNNNNNNNNNNNNNNNNNNNNNNNNNNNNNNNNNNNNNNNNNNNNNNNNNNNNNNNNNNNNNNNNNNAAGUGCUAGUUCCUGUUUUUUCCGUGUUUUUGACUCUUUUUAGAUCUGAUUUUGGUACGGAGUCCAAACGGAAGAAAAACCCCGAAAUGAUUUUUCCCGAACGGAAGAAGAUCAGGGGGCCUUUGGGCCAAGCCAGGUGGGCUCCAGGGAGCCCACAAGCCCCCACUCCGCCACCAGGGGGAGGCGGCGGUGGGCAGGCUUGUGGCCUCCCGGGCCGCCCCCUGACCUAGAUCUUUGUCCUAUAAAUUCCCAAAUAUUCCGCAAAAAAUCAGGGGAGCCUCGAAAAUACUUUUCCACCGCCGCAAACUUCCGUUUCCGCGAGAUCUCAUCUGGAGACCCUUCCUGGCACCCUGCCGGAGGGGACUUUGGAGUUGGAGGGCUUCAUCAUCAUCAUCAUCGCCCCUCCAAUGACUCGUGAGUAGUUCACUUCAGACCUACGGGUCCGUAGUUAGUAGCUAGAUGGCUUCUUCUCUCUCUUGGAUCUUCAAUACAAAGUUCUCCAUGAUCUUCAUGGAGAUCUAUCCGAUGUAAUCUUCUUUGGCGGUGUGUUUGUCGAGAUCCAUGAAUUGUGGAUUGGUGAUCAGAUUAUCUCUGAUAUAUAUUUGAGUCUUUGCUGAUUUCUUAUAUGCAUGAUUUGAUANNNNNNNNNNUUCUUUGCUGAUUUAUUAUAUGCAUGAUUUGAUAUCCUUGUAAGUCUCUCCGAGUCUUGGGUUNNNNNNNNNNAUCCGAUAAAUUGUGGAUUUGUGAUCAGAUUAUCUAUGAUAUAUAUUUGAGUCUUUGCUGAUUUCUUAUAUGCAUGAUUUGAUANNNNNNNNNNGGUUUUGCUGAUUUCUUAUAUGCAUGAUUUGAUAUCCUUGUAAGUCUAUCCGAGUCUUGGGUUUUGUUUGGCCAACUAGAUCUAUGAUUCUUGCAAUGGGAGAAGUGCUUGGUUUUGGGUUCUGCCAUGUGGUGACCUUUCCCAGUGACAGUAGGGGCAGCAAGGCACACAUCAAGUAGUUGCCAUCAAGGGUAAAAAGAUGGGGUUUUUNNNNNNNNNNNNNNNNNNNNNNNNNNNNNNNNNNNNNNNNNNUAAGGCGUUACUCUAUUAUUAUGGACUUAAUACACUAGAUGCAUGCUGGAUAGCGGUCGACGUGUGGAGUAAUAGUAGUAGAUGCAGACAGUAUCGUUCUACUUGUUUUGGACGUGAUGCCUAUAGAAAUAAUCAUUGCAUAGAUAUCAUCACGACUUUUUGCGGUUCUAUCAAUGCUACAUCACCCUUUCUGCUUCGAGGGAACACCAAUGCAAGGCUCCAAGGCCAUGGGGGAAAUCCUUUGCAUACUUGCCUAGGAAGUCCCUUAAGGCGUAGCNNNNNNNNNNCGGACGUGAUGCCUAUAGAAAUAAUCAUUGCAUAGAUAUCGUCGUGACUUUGCGCGGUUCUAUCAAUUGCUCGACAGUAAUUUGUUCAUCCACCGUCUACUUGCUUUCAUGAGAGAAGCCACUAGUAAACACAACGGCCCCCGGGUCUAUUCACAUCCAUCGUUUACAUCUCCGCUUUUACUUUGCUUUGUUACUUUGUUGCUUUCAGUUNNNNNNNNNNNNNNNNNNNNNNNNNNNNNNNNNNNNNNNNNNNNNNNNNNNNNNNNNNNNNNNNNNNNNNNNNNNNNNNNNNNNNNNNNNNNNNNNNNNNCCUAGGUCCUUCAUAGAGAAACUUUUAUUCAAGUAACCUUUUAUGCUCUCCAAAAGCUCUACGUUGUUUCCAAUCAGCAAUAUGUCAUCCACAUAUAAUAUUAGAAACGCCAUAGAGCUCCCACUCACUUUCUUGUAAAUACAAGAUUCUCCAACCACUUGUAUAAACCCAAAUGCUUUAAUCACCUCAUCAAAGCGCUUGUUCCAACUCCGAGAUGCUUGCGCCAGUCCAUAAAUGGAUCGCUGGAGCUUGCACACCUUGUCAGCAUUUUUAGGAUCGACAAAACCUUCGGUUGCAUCAUAUACAACUCUUCCUUAAGGAAACCAUUAAGGAAUGCCGUUUUGACAUCCAUCUGCCAGAUUUCAUAAUCGAAAAAUGCAGCUAUUGCUAACAUGAUUCUGACGGACUUAAGCAUCGCUACGGGUGAGAAGGUCUCAUCGUAGUCAACUCCUGGAACUUGUGAAAAACCCCUUGCCACAAGUCGAGCUUUAUAAACGGUCACAUUACCGUCAGCGUCCGNNNNNNNNNNAAUCGAAAAAACCUUCGGGUUGCAUCAUAUACAACUCUUCCUUAAGGAAACCGUUAAGGAACGCCGUUUUGACAUCCAUCUGCCAGAUUUCAUAAUCGAAAAAUGCAGCUAUUGCUAACAUGAUUCUUACGGACUUAAGCAUCGCUACGGGAGAGAAAGUCUCAUCGUAGUCAAUUCCUGGAACUUGUGAAAAACCCUUUGCCACAAGUCGAGCUUUAUAAACGGUCACAUUACCGUCAGCGUCCGNNNNNNNNNNNNNNNNNNNNNNNNNNNNNNNNNNNNNNNNNNNNNNNNNNNNNNNNNNNNNNNNNNNNNNNNNNNNNNNNNNNNNNNNNNNNNNNNNNNNGCAAUAAACAAGAUCCAGAUAUAAUGUUCAUGCUCAACGCACGCACUAAAUAACAAUGAUUUAAGUUCAUCACUAAUCCCGAUGGUAGUUGAAGUGACACUGCACCGACGGCGAUUGCAUCAACCUUGGAACCGUUUCCUACGCGCAUCGUCACUUCGUCUUUCGUCAGCCUUCGUCUAUUCCGCAGUUCCUGCUUCGAGUUGCAAAUGUGAGCAACAGAACCGGUAUCGAAUACCCAGGCACUACUACGAGAGCCGGUUAAGUACACAUCAAUAACAUGUAUAUCAAAUAUACCUGAUUUUUCUUUGCCCGCCUUCUUAUCUGCCAGAUACUUGGGGCAAUUGCGCUUCCAGUGACCCAUACCCUUGCAAUAGAAGCACUCUGUUUCAGGCUUAGGUCCAGCCAUGGGUUUCUUCGGCGGAUUGGCAACAGGCUUGCCGCUCUUCUUCGAAUUGCCCUUCUUGCCUUUGCUGUUUCUCUUGAAACUAGUGGUCUUGCUCACCAUCAACACUUGAUGCUCUUUUCGGAGUUCUGACUCUCCGACUUUCAGCAUCGCAAACAACUCGCCGGGAGACUUGUUCAUCCCUUGCAUGUUGUAGUUCAACACAAAGCCUUUAAAGCUUGGCGGCAGUGAUUGGAGGAUUCUGUUAGUGAUAGCUUCUUGCGGGAGUUCAAUCCCCAGUUCAGCUAGACGGUUUGAGUACCCAGACAUUUUGAGCACAUGUUCACUGACAGACGAGUUUUCCUCCAUCUUGCAAGCAUAGAAUUUAUCGGAGGUCUCAUACCUCUCGAUCCGGGCGUUCUUCUGAAAGAUAAACUUCAACUCCUGGAACAUCUCAAAUGCUCCAUGACGCUCAAAGCGACGUUGAAGUCCCGGCUCUAAGCCAUACAAGACUGCACAUUGAACUAUUGAGUAGUCCUCCUUACGUGCUAACCAAGCGUUCUUAACAUCCUGAUCAGCCGUAGCGGGUGGUUCAUCUCCUAGCGCAGCAUUAUGGACAUAAUCCUUCUUUCCAGCUUGUAAGAUUAGCUUAAGAUUACGAGCCCAGUCUACAAAGUUGCUUCCAUCAUCUUUCAACUUAGCUUUCUCUAGGAACGUAUUAAAAUUCAGGAUGACACUUGCGUGAGCCAUGAUCUACAACACAAAUAUAUUCAAAAUGGACUUAGACUAUGUUCAAGAUAAUUAGAGUUCAACUUAAUCAAAUUAUAUGCUAAACUCCCACUCAAAAAGUACAUCUCUCUAGUCAUUUGAGUGGUUCAUGAUCCACUUACACUAUCCCAAGUCCGAUCAUCANNNNNNNNNNNNNNNNNNNNNNNNNNNNNNNNNNNNNNNNNNNNNNNNNNNNNNNNNNNNNNNNNNNNNNNNNNNNNNNNNNNNNNNNNNNNNNNNNNNNCAUUGGUUUGAGUUUAUCCCUCUACAUCAUGUCAUCUUGCUUAAGGCGUUACUCUGUUCGUCAUGAACUCAAUACACUAGAUGCAUGCUGGAUAGAGGUCGAUGUGUGGAGUAAUAGUAGUAGAUGCAGAAAGUAUCGAUCUACUUGUCUCGGACGUGAUGCCUAUAUGUAUGAUCAUUGCCUUAGAUAUCGUCAUGACUUUGCGCGGUUAUAUCAAUUGCUCGACAGUAAUUUGUUCAUCCAUUGUAUUAUUUGCUAUUUUGAGAGAAGCCUCUAGUGAACACUAUGGCCCCCGGGUCUACUUCACACCAUAUUUUCAGCCUUACACUUUUACUUCGUUGCACUUUCCUCCUUCAGAUCUCACUUUGCAAUCAAUCUUGAAGGGAUUGACAACCCCUUUAUAGCAUUGGGUGCAAGCUCUUUUGUGUUUGCGCAGGUAAUCUGGACUUGACGCGAUUCUCCUACUGGAUUGAUACCUUGGUUCUCAAACUGAGGGAAAUACUUACUGCUCAUGUGCUGCAUCACCCUUUCCUCUUCAAGGGAAAAACCAACGCAAGCCCAGUCUCCGUCAACGUGCCAAUCUCUGGCGCUGUUGUCUGUUGCCGUAGCACCCCCUCCAGGGGGACUGGGCGAGCUGUUCAGUUUCGGGUCUACUGAGCGGCCUCGAAGUGCAAGGAUACCUUCCUGCUUCAGAUCUAACAUCCACCUGCCCCGGAUUAACUUCCACGAACGGUGAGGCCCUUGCAGAGAACUUCCCAACUCCUUGCAAGGAAGAGAGGGUAUGCUUCGUUCCCAUCCUCUUAUGAGGUUUAGGCUUCCCAUUCACCCCUUCUUAAUGGGCCUGCUAGAGUUUUACGGGAUCUAGCUUCAUCAUCUUACUCCUGGAUCCAUUCUUCAUAUUUAUGGCUAUGUUGCCCUUUGCGAGAUGUUCUUAGGAUGCGGGACCCAUUUUGAACCGGGGAGGAAAAAUUUCUGCCUUGUCCCUCGCACACGAGGAGGGAAUGUUUUUUAGGUAGGCGGAGCCGAAGUGUGGCGCAUAGGUGGGACGGGGUAUCCUAUUGGGACUCCAAAGAAGGAUUCCGAAGAAUGGACCUUAGAGUGGUUUUAUAUCAAGGAUGUCCCCCUAUUUGAUCCAUCUUGGAGGGGUCUACCCGAAUAUUCAAAUGUUCCUUGAUGUCUACUACACAACUUUAUUAUUGUAGACUACGUUGGGCCUCCAAGUGUAGAGUUUUGUAGGACAGUAGCAAUUUCCCCUCAAGUGGAUGACCUAAGGUUUAUCAAUCCAUGGAAGGUGUAGGAUGAAGAUGGUCUCUCUCAAACAACCGUGCAAUCAAAUACAAAAAAUAUCUAGUGUCCCCAACACACCCAAUACAAUGGAAAAUUGUAUAGGUGCACUAGUUCGGUGAAGAGAUGGUGAUACAAGUGUAAUAUGGAUAGUAGAUAUAGGUUUUUGUAAUCUUAAAAUAUAAGAACAACGAGGUAGCAUGUUUAAAACAAUGAGAAAAACAUUGUAUAAAUGCUUGGUAAUAGGGCCUAGGGUUCGUACUUUCACUAGUGCAAUCUCUCAACAAUGUUAACAUAGUAGAAUCAUAUGAUCAUCCCUCAACGUGCAACAAAGAGUCACUCCAAAGUUCCUAUAUAAUGGAGAACAAUAAGAUGAAAUUGAUGUAGGUAAUAGAACCAUCUCAUAGUAUUCAUGCCAUGUUUACAAUAGUUAUAUAUGAUUUUAGUACGACUUUUUUAGAACUAACUCGGACUGACGUUGUUUUCAGCAAAACUACCAUGGUGUCAUUUUUUGUGCAAAAAUAAAGUUCUCGGAAUGGGCUGAAAAUUUACGGUGAUUUUUAUGGACCAAAAGAGACCCCCGAAGCACCAGAGCUGGGCCAGGAAGUGGAUGAGGAAGCCACAAGCCUACUGGACGCGGCCACCCCCUAGGUCGCGCCCCCUGGCUUGUGACUUCCUCGGGGAACCUUCCGAAUGUGAGACCGACGCCAAAAGUUCCUAUAAAUACCAAAAACCCAAGAAAGAAACCUAGAUCGGGAGUUUCGCCGCCGCAAGCCUCCAGAGCCAUGAAAAAACAAUCUUGGCCCUCUCCGACACCCUGCUGGAGGGGGUCAUCUUCAUCGGAGGCCAUCUUCAUCAUCCCGACGAUCUCCAUAAUUGCCAUGGAGGCCACUCAAGGGGGAGACCAUGGAGGAGGAAGCACAAGGGGGAAAACCUUUCUCUCUCUCUCUUGGUGGCGCCGGAGUGGCAUCGGGGGAACCAUCGCCGUGAUGAUCGUCUUCACCAACAUCACCUUUUUCAUCACCAUCAUCAUCUCCUUUCAGCGGUCCACUCUCACGCACCUCACUGUAAUCCCCUACUCGAACAUGGUGCUUUAUGCCGCAUAUUAUGAUUUAGUGAUGUGUUGCCAUCCUAUGAUGUUUGAGUAGAUUUAUUUUGUCCUUUGGGUUGAUUGAUGAUCUAGAUUGGUGUGAGUUCUAUAUUUAUUUUGGUGUUGUCGUAUGGUGCCUUCCAUGAUGCGCACACGUGAAAGAUUCCUGUUGUAGGGUGUUGCAAUGCGUUCAUGAUUCGCUUAUAGUGGGUUGCUUGAGUGACAGAAGCACAAACCCGAGUAAGGGGGUUGUUGCAUAUGGGAUAAAGGGGACUUGAUACUUUAAUGGUAUGGUUGGGUUUUACCUUAAUGAUCUUUAGUAGUUGCGGAUGCUUGCUAGAGUUCCAAUCAUAAGUGCAUAUGAUCCAAGUAGAUAAAAUAUGUUAGCUUAUGCCUCUCCCUCAUAUAAAAUUGCAAUAAUGAUUACCGAUCUUGUUAACAAUUGCCUAGGACAAUUCCGCACANNNNNNNNNNNNNNNNNNNNNNNNNNNNNNNNNNNNNNNNNNNNNNNNNNNNNNNNNNNNNNNNNNNNNNNNNNNNNNNNNNNNNNNNNNNNNNNNNNNNNNNNNNNNNNNNNNNNNNNNNNNNNNNNNNNNNNNNNNNNNNNNNNNNNNNNNNNNNNNNNNNNNNNNNNNNNNNNNNNNNNNNNNNNNNUUAUUCUAGUUCUCCAUUAUCAUGCAAAGCUAUUCUCUUCAUACCCACAACAUAGUUUUAUUUCUCGUUUUUAGUUGGAAGCAAACGUUCGGCGUACGUAGAGUCGUAUCAUUGGCAAAUAGGACAUGAGAUAAUAUUGAUCUUACCUUUAGCUCCUUGUGGGUUCGACACUCCAUACUUAUCACUUCCACCUUUGGAAAUUGCUACUAUGAUUCCUUGCACUGGGGGAUUAUCAAGCUCUUUUCUGGCGCCGUUGUGGGAAGCAAUAGCAUGGGGUUGGUAUUCUUGUGUGUGUUUAUUUGCUUUCUUCACUAAGUAGAUUUUGUUUCCCCUUUUUGGUUUAUUUAGUUGUGGGUGAAACAAAAAAAAUGAAAAAUAUAAAAAGAAUUACUUGCCCCUUAUGCCUAAGAAGUUUUUCAAAAAGAGAAGUGAUUAGAAAGUUGUGCAUUGGAGAAGUGAUGAUCGACCUUGAACACUUGUGUUCAUGCUGAUGAAAAAAAUGUAGAAUUUUUCAUGGAAGUUUCUCAAAAAUAAUUAUCCCCAUGUAUAUAUCCUUUGUAUUAUAAAAAUAAUGUGUCAAGAUUUGGUUUUAGGAUGAUUAGAUAGCUUGUUUUCUUUGCGCGGUGCAAAAACAGAAACUUUGACUGUAGUGCAUGAAUUUUAUUUUUUUACUGGAUCGUCAAAAGUUUCCGAAAAUUUUAAAAAGUACUACUAUAAUUUUUUUUUAAUUUUUUCCUAAAUUUUCAGAAUUUUUUGAGUUACAUAAGUAUGUGAAGUUUCCAAAAUGCUAUAGACUGUUGUGUUGUUGACAGAUUAUGUUUCCUAUGCAUUGUUCUCUUAUUUUGAUGAAUCUAUGGAUAAUACCGGGGGGUAUGAACCAUGGUAAAGUUGGACUACAAUAUAUAUAAUGCUAAUAUGAAUUUGGAAUGAGUUCACAACAGUACUUAAAGUAGUAUUUUUCUUUAUUAUACUAACGGAUCUCACGAGGGUUUUGUUAAUUUUUGUAUGAAUAAAGUGUUCGAAGAUCGACGGUAUCGAUAAAAGAAGAAUACGGAGAUACAAGAGUUCAAACUUGGGGAUUUCCAAGGCACCCCAAGUAAAUAUUUCAAGUAGGCUCAAGCAUCUAAGCUUGGGGAUGCCCCGGAAGGUAUCCCAUCUUUAUUCUUCGAUAAUUAUCGGUAUACCUCGGUUUUUGUUUUGUUCACAUGAUAUGCGUAUUUAGUGUUUUUCUUCUCCUUUUAUGCACCCUUAUAGUAUGAGGUAGUCCUUCAUUGAUUUAUAAAAUACUUCAUGAUCUUCACUUAAAUCUUUUGAGUAUAGCUUUGUAGAAUACUCUUUGUGCUUCACUUAAAUCUUUUGAGUAUGGCUUUGUAGAAUGCUCUUUGUGCUUCACUUAAAUCUUUUGAGUAUGGCCUUAUAGAAUGUUUCGUGUGCUUCACUUAUAUAUUUUAAGCUUGGAUAUUGGUUGAUCUAUAUUAAUUGUAGAAUGCUCUAUGAACUUCACUUAUAUCUUUUAGAGUAUGAAUAAAAUUUCCGUCGGAAUUGGGCUUGGAAGUGUAUCAAUGUCAUGCCUAGCUAGAAAGGCUUUAAAGAAAAGCUUGUUGGGAGAUGAUACGUCCAUUUUGCAUCAUGUUUUCAUGUCGAUAUUUAUAGCUUCUUUGGCUGUUAUUUCACUUCAUGGUACUAUCCUUAUGCCUUUUCUCUCUUAUUUUGCAAGGUUUACAUGAAGAGGGAGAAUACCGACAACUUGAAUUCUGGCCUGAAAGUGGAGCGAAGUUGAGAUACCUAUUCUGCGCAACUCCAAACGCCGUGAAAAUCAACGGGGAUUUUUUUCCCAAUAUAUAAAAAAUACUGGGCCGAAGAAGUACCGGAGGGNNNNNNNNNNUACCUUCGGAGAUACCUGUAGAGCAUCUUUAUAGUCAUCCAUUUACGUUGCGACGUUUGAUACACACAAAGCAUUCCUCCGGUGUCAGUGAGUUAUAUGAUCUCAUGGUCAUAGGAAUAAAUACUUGACACGCAGAAAACAGUAGCAACAAAAUGACACGAUCAACAUGCUACGUCUAUUAGUUUGGGUCUAGUCCAUCACGUGAUUCUCCCAAUGACAUGAUCCAGUUAUCAAGCAACAACACCUUGUUCAUAAUCAGAAGACACUGACUAUCAUCGAUCAACUGGCUAGCCAACUAGAGGCAUGCUAGGGACGGUGUUUUGUCUAUGUAUCCACACAUGUAAAUGAGUCUUCAUUCAAUACAAUUAUAGCAUGGAUAAUAAACUAUUAUCUUGAUACAGGAAUUAUAAUAAUAACUAUACAUUUAUUAUUGCCUCUAGGGCAUAAUUCCAACAGUCUCCCACUUGCACUAGAGUCAAUAAUCUAGCCCUCACAUCACCAUGUGAAUUACAUUGUAAUAAAUCUAACACCCAUACAGUUUGGUGUCGAUCAUGUUUUGGCCAUGGAAGAGGUUUAGUCAGCGGGUCUGCUACAUUCAGAUCCGUGUGCACUUUGCAUAUAUUUACGUCCUCCUCCUCGACGUAGUCGCGGAUGAGGUUGAAGCGUCGUUUGAUGUGUCUGGUCUUCUUGUGAAACCUUGGUUCCUUUGCUAAGGCAAUGGCACCAGUAUUGUCACAGAACAAGGUUAUUGGAUCCAGUGCACUUGGCACCACUCCAAGAUCCGUCAUGAANNNNNNNNNNUAGAGAUCCCUUAGCAUGUGACGAUUGCUUCCACCUCAUACUAGCCAAAACUCCCGCACUAAGUAGAGAUACUACUUGUGCAUCCAUAAUCCUUCAAACCAGUUUUGCCAUGAGUGUCCACCAUACCUACCUAUGGAUUGAAUAAGAUCCCUCAAGUAAGUUGUCAUCGGUGCAAGCAAUAAAAAUUGUUCUCUAAUAUGUAUGAUCUAUUAGUGUGUGGAAAAUAAGCUUCGUACAAACGUGUGAUGAGGAAGACAUAAAAGUGACACACUGCAUAAUAAAGUUCUUUAUCAUAGGGGGCAAUACAAAGUGACAUUCCUCCGCACUAAGAGGACACGCAUCCAAACCUCAAAAGCGCAUGACAACCUCUGCUUCCCUCUGCGAAGGGCCUAUCUUGUACCUUUACUUUUUGCCCUUGAAAGAGUCAUGGUGAUCUUCACCAAUUCCUUAUUUUUCCUUUGUCUUGGCUACCGUCAUAUGCUUGGGAAAGAUCUAUAUUCAUAUGUCAACUUGGAGGUAAGUAUUCAUGAAUUAUUAUUGUUGACAUUACCCUUGAGGUAAGCAGUUGGGAGGCAAAACUACAAGCCCCUAUCUUUCUCUGUGUCCAGCUGAAACUUUGAUCUCAUGAGUACCCCGUGAGUUGUAGCAAUUGUAGAGAAUGAAAGAAUGAUUGAGUAUGUGGAUUUUAUUUACAAGCUCUUAUUUGACUCUUUCUGAUGUUGUGAUAAAUUACAAUUGCUUCAAUGACUAAAGGCUAUCGGUUGUUACUUCUCGGUAAGGUUCUUGAUCCAUGCUUUACAUUGUGAAGGAAUUAUCACUUUAGCAUGAGAGAUUAUAUGUUGGUAUUGAUGUUCUCAUAAUGAUCUUGAUGCUUGCAUGUUCGUAUCUUGUUUUGUCGACACCUCUCUCCCUAAACAUGUGGACAUAUUUAUUGAGCUCAGCUUUCGCUUGAGGACAAGCGAGGUCUAAGCUUGGGGGAGUUGAUACGUCCAUUUUGCAUCAUGUUUUCAUGUUGAUAUUUAUCGCUUCUUUGGUUGUUAUUUAACUUCAUGGUACUAUUCUUAUUCCUUUUCUCUCUUAUUUUGCAAGGUUUACAUGAAGAGGGAGAAUACCGGCAACUUGAAUUCUGGCCUGAAAGUGGAGCGAAGUUGAGAUACCUAUUAUGCGCAACUCCAAACGCCGUGAAAAUCAAUGGGGAUUUUUUCCCAAUAUAUAAAAAAUACUGGGCCGAAGAAGUACCGGAGGGNNNNNNNNNNUGCCAUGGGGGCUUGUGGGCAGCCCACUGGCCCACUGGCCCCCCUCAUUUGCUAUAUGGAGGGUUUCGUCCAGAAAAAAAUCACGGGGGAGCUUUUUCAUGGUUUCGCCGCCGCCACGAGGCGGAACUUGAGCAGAACCAAUCUAGANNNNNNNNNNGCACCAGGGGGUGCCCACAAGCCUGCACGGCGCGGCCACCCCCCCAGGCCGCGCCAUGGGGGCUUGUGGGCGGCCCACUGGCCCACUGGCCCCCCUCUUUUGCUAUAUGGAGGGUUUCGUCCAGAAAAAAAAUCACAGGGGAGCUUUUUCGUGGUUUCGCCGCCGCCACGAGGCGGAACUUGAGCAGAACCAAUCUAGAGCUCCGCUAGGACGAUCCUGUCGGGGAAACUUCCCUCCCGGAGGGGGAAAUCGUCGCCAUCAUCAUCACCAACACUCCUCUCAUCGGAGGGGACUCGUCACCAUCAACAUCUUCAUCAGCACCAUCUCAUCUCCAAACCCUAGUUCAUCUCUUGUAACCAAUCUCCGUCUCGCGACUCCGAUUGGUACUUGUAAGGUUGCUAGUAGUGUUGAUUACUCUUUGUAGUUGAUGCUAGUUGGAUUACUUGGUGGAAGAGUUUAUGGUCAGAUCCUUGAUGCUACUCAUUACACCUCUGAUCAUCAUAAUGAUUAUGCUUUGUGAGUAGUUACUUUUGUUCCUGAGGACAUGGGAUAAGUAAUGCUAAUAAUAGUCAUAUGAAUUUGGCAUUCGUUCGGUAUUUUGAUAUGUUGUAUGUUGUUUUUCCUCUAGUGGUGUUAUGUGAACGUCGACUACAUAACACUUCACCAUUAUUUGGGCCUAGAGGAAGGCAUUGAGAAGUAGUAAGUACAUGAUGGGUUGCUAGAGUGACAGAAGCUUAAACCCUAGUUUAUGCGUUNNNNNNNNNNCUUAUGUGAACGUCGACUACAUAACACUUCACCAUUAUUUGUGCCUAGAGGAAGGCAUUGAGAAGUAGUAAGUAGAUGAUGGGUUGCUAGAGUGACAGAAGCUUAAACCCUAGUUUAUGCGUUNNNNNNNNNNCGGUUAGACUUUGUCUUAAUUCUUCUUUCAUAGUUGCAGAUGCUUGCGAGAGGGGUUAAUCAUAAGUGGGAUGCUUGUCCAAGUAAGGGCAGUACCCAAGCGCCGGUCCACCCACAUAUCAAACUAUCAAAGUAACGAAUGUGAAUCAUAUGAACAUGAUGAAACUAGCAUGACAGAAAUUCCCGUGUGUCCUUGGGAGCGUUUUUCCUCUUGUAAGACUUUGUCCAGGCUUGUCCCUUGCUACAAAAGGGAUUGGGACACUUUGCUGCACCGUUGCUACUUUUGUUAUUUGUUGCUUGCUACGAAUCAUCUCACCACACAAUCACUUGUUACCAACAAUUUCAGUGCUUGCAGAUUGAUACGUCUCAAACGUAUCUAUAAUUUUUGAUGGUUUCACGCUGUUAUCUUGUCUUCUUUGGUUGUUUUAUGUACCUUUUAUAUCUUUUUUGGGACUAACUUAUUAAUUCAGUGCCAAGUGACAGUUCCUGUUUUUUCCGUGUUUUUGACUCUUUUCGGAUAUGAUUUUGGAACGGAGUCCAAACGGAAGAAAAACCCCGAAAUGAUUUUNNNNNNNNNNUGGUUAGACUUUGUCUUAAUUCUUAUUUCGUAGUUGCGGAUGCUUGCGAGAGGGGUUAAUCAUAAGUGCGAUUCUUGUCCAAGUAUGGGCAGUACCCAAGCGCCGGUCCACCCACAUAUCAAACUAUCAAAGUAACGAACGCGGAUCAUAUGAACAUGAUGAAACUAGCAUGACAUAAAUUCCCGUGUGUCCUCAGGAGCGUUUUUCCUCUUGUAAGACUUUGUCUAGGUUUGUCCCUUGCUACAAAAGGGACUGGGCCACUUUGCUGCAGUGUUGCUACUUUUGUUACUUGUUGCUUGCUACGAAUCAUCUCACCACACAAUCACUUGUUACCGACAAUUUCAGUGCUUGCAGAUUUUUCCUUGCUGAAAACCACUUGUCAGAUCCUUCUGCUCCUCGNNNNNNNNNNUGGACAUGAUGCCUAUAGAAAUAAUCAUUGCAUAGAUAUCGUCACGACUUUACGCGGUUCUAUCAAUUGCUCGACGGUAAUUUGUUCACCCACCAUCUACUUGCUUUCAUGAGAGAAGCCACUAGUAAACACUACGGUCCCCGGGUCUAUUCACAUCCAUCAUUUACAUCUCCGCUUUUACUUUGCUUUGUUACUUUGUUGCUUUCAGUUCUCACUUGGCAAACAAUCUAUAAGGGAUUGACAACCCCUUCAUAGAGUUGGGAGCAAGUUUUUGUGUUUGUGCAGGAUCUUGAGAUACUCCUCCACUGGAUUGAUACCUUGGUUCUCAAACUGAGGGAAAUACUUACCACCGCUACGCUACAUCACCCUUUCCGCUUUGAGGGAACACCAACACAAGGCUCCAAGGCCACGGGGGAAAUCCUUUGCAUACUUGCCUAGGAANNNNNNNNNNAACUGGAUUGAUAUCUUGGUUCUCAAACUGAGGGAAAUACUUACCACCGCUAUGCUACAUCACCCUUUCUGCUUCGGGGGAACACCAACGCAAGGCUCCAAGGCCACGGGGGAAAUCCUUUGCAUACUUGCCUAGGAAGUCCCUUAAGGCGUAGCCGCAGCAGAAAGAUCAAGCCAAGUAUUCUCCCGUCGACGUGCCUAUUUCUGGCGCGUUGGAAGGUCUUUUGUUGCAGUAGUAGUGCACAAAACCCACCAUUAGCCUCCCUCAAAACAGCAUGAUUGUAAGAUAGCUAGCAUGAUGUUUCCAUUGAUGCCUAUGCCAUGCUAGAUCAUUCCCACGGUACACUACCGAAGGCAUUCCAAAUAGAGUCAUCGUUACUCUAAAUUUUGAGUUGAAAGUGUGAUGAUCAUCAUUAAUGGAGCAUUGUCCCAUGUGAGGAAAUAAAAGAGGCCAAAGAAGCCCACCAAAAUAUAAACAAAGGCCAAAGAGCCCACCAAAUAAAAAAUGAGAGAAAAAGAGAGAAGGGACAAUGCUACCACUUUUUCCACACUUGUGCAUAAUAAGCACCAUGAUCUUCAUGAUUGAGAGUCUCUCGUUUUGUCACCACCAUAUAGCUAGUGGGAAAUUUUCAUUAUAUAACUAGGCUUGUAUAUUCCUAUGAUAGGCUUCCUCAAAAUUGCCUUAGGUCUUCGUGAGCAAGCAAGUUGGAUGCACACCCACUAGUUUUCUUUAAGAGCUUUCACAUACUCAUAGCUCUAGUGCAUCAAUUGUAUGGCAAUCCCUACUCAUUCACAUUGAUAUCUAUUGAUGAGCACCUCCACGGCUCAUUGAUAUGCCUAGUUAAUGUGACUAUCUUCUCCUUUUUGUCUUGCAACCUCCACUACAUUCCACACCACCUAUAGUACUAUAACCAUGGCUCACGCUCAUGUAUUGCGUGAGAGUUGAAAAGGUUUGAGAAAGUAAAGGUGUGAAACAAUUACUUGGCCCAUACCGGGGUUGUGCAUGAUUUAAAUUCAUUGUGCAAUGAUGAUAGAGCAUAGCCAGACUAUAUGCUUUUGUAGGGAUAACUUUCUUUUGGCCUUGUUAUUUUGAAAGUUCAUGACUACUUUGCUAGUUUGCUUGAAUUAUUAUUGUUUCCACGUCAAUAGAAAACUAUUGUUUUGAAUCUAAUGGAUCUAAACAUUCACAUCACAUAAGAGGAAUUACAAAGGACACCUAUGCUAGGUAGCAUGAAAGCAUCAAAAAUUCAUUCUUAUCACUUCCCUACUCGAGGACGAGCAGAAGUUAAGCUUGGGGAUGCUUGAUACGUCUCAAACGUAUCUAUAAUUUUUUAUGGUUUCACGUUGUUAUCUUGUCUUCUUUGGUUGUUUUAUGUACCUUUUAUAUCUUUUUGGGGACUAACUUAUUAAUUCAGUGCCAAGUGCCACUUCCUGUUUUUUCUGUGUUUUUGACUCUUUUCAUAUCUGAUUUUGGAACGGAGUCCAAACGGAAGAAAAACCCCGAAAUGAUUUUUUCCCGAACGGAAGAAGAUCAGGGGGCCUUUGGGCCAACCCAGGUGGGCUCCAAGGAGCCCACAAGCUCCCACCACGCCACCAGGGGGGAGGCGGCGGUAGGCAGGCUUGUGGCCACCCUCGCCGCCCCCUGACCUAGAUCUUUGGCCUAUAAAUUCCAAAUAUUCCGCAAAAAAUCAGGGGAGCCUCGAAAAUACUUUUCCGCCGCCGCAAGCUUCCGUUUCCGCGAUAUCUCAUCUGGAGACCCUUCCCGGCACCUUGCCGGAGGGGACUUUGGANNNNNNNNNNUCCCACCACGCCACCAGGGGGAGGCGGCGGUGGGCAGGCUUGUGGCCUCCCUGGCCGCCCCCUGACCUAGAUCUUUGGCCUAUAAAUUCCCAAAUAUUCCGCAAAAAAUCAAGGGAGCCUCGAAAAUACUUUUCCGCCACCGCAAGCUUCCGUUUCCACGAGAUCUCAUCUCGAGACCCUUCCCGGCACCCUGCCGGAGGGGACUUUGGAGUUGGAGGGCUUGUUCAUCAUCAUCAUCGCCCCUCCAAUGACUCAUGAGUAGUUCACUUCAGACCUACGGGUCCGUAGUUAGUAUCUAGAUGGCUUCUUCUCUCUCUUGGAUCUUCAAUACAAAGUUCUCCGUGAUCUUCAUGGAGAUNNNNNNNNNNCGUUGGAAGGUCUUUUGUUGCAGUAGCACAGAUUUUUCCUUGCUGAAAACCACUUGUCAGAUCCUUCUGCUCCUCGUUGGGUUCGACACUCUUACUUAUCGAAAGGACUACGAUUGAUCCCCUAUACUUGUGGGUCAUCAGGAGACAACCCAACACUUUUACUUUUUGUUUUUUGGUGUUCGCAUGAUUAAGCUACUGUAUUAAUCAUGUUUUAUGCUUUUUAUUUCAAUAAAAUGCCAAGUAAAGCCUUUGGGAUAGUGUAGGUGACAGUUGACUUGAUUCCGUGCAAAAAACAGAAACUUUUGCUCUCAGUCCAGAAAUUUUGUAAAUCCACUAGAACGUGAUUUUGAUCUGAAUUUUUUACACAUGAUUGAUAUACAAAUUGCUUGGAUUUUCCUAAUGUUUCAGAAUUUUUAGAGACACAGAAGUAUGGUUACAUUACAGAUCUUCACACACUGUUCUGUUUUUGACAGAUUCUGUUUUGCAUGCAUAGUUUGCUUUUUUUAUUAUUUCCAUAGCUUAUAUUCAGUGAUAUAAAUUACGGGGUGGUAGAAUGCAGUAGGUAUCAUGUUAGAACAAUUAUGAAUCUUUUCUUGAUAGUACCUAAGUGAAUGUUCAUUAUUUUUUAUACUAACCCAUCUCACGAAGUUCCGUUAAGUUUUGUGUGAUUGAAGUUUUCAAGUUUUGGGAGACACCAAUAUGAGGAGAAUAAGGAGUGAAAAUAACCUAAGCUUGGGGAUGUCCAAGGCACACCCAAGGUAAUAUAUAAGUAAGACUCAAACUCUUAAGCUUGGGGAUGCCCCGAAAGGCAUCCCCUCUUUCGUCUUCAACAUUAUCGGUAUAUCUUACUUGGAGCUAUAUUUUUAUUCGUCACAUAAUAUGUGCUUUGCUUGUAUCGUCAUUAUAUUUUGUUAUUUUAUGUUAGGUGUUACUCAUAAUCUUGUUUUUCAAUAAAAAGCUUGAAAGGGCGUGGAUGUCGCCUAGAGGGGGGUGAAUAGGCGCUUUAAAAUAAUUACGGUUUAGGCUUGAACAAAUGCGGAAUAAAACUAACAUUUAAUUUAUCAAGCACAAAACCUAAAACAACUAGGCUCACCUAUGUGAACCAACAACUUAUGUUAAGCAAGAUAAACAACUAAGUGAUAGCAAGAUAUUUGACAAGAAACAAUAUGGCUAUCACAAAGUGCAUAAGUAAAGGGUUCGGGUAAGAAAUAACCAAGGCAUGCGGAGACGACGAUGUAUCCCGAAGUUCACACCCUUGCGGAUGCUAAUCUUCGUUUGGAGAGGUGCGGAGGCACAAUGCUCCCCAAGAUGCCACUAAGGCCACCGUCAUCUCCUAACGCCCUCGCACAAUGCAAGAUGUCGUGAUUCCACUAAGGGACCCUUGAGGGCGGUCACCGAACCCGUACAAACAAGGUUGGGGCAAUCUCCACAACUUAAUUGGAGGCUCCCAACAACACCACGAAGCUUCACCACAAUGUCAUAUGGCUUCGAGGUGACCACAAAUGCUCGGGGAAAUCUCCACAAGUUAAUUGGAGACCCCGACGCUUGCCCGGAGCUUUACACCACAAUGAUUGAGCUCUGAGGCACCACCAAGCUUCUAGGGGUACCAAGUACCCAAGGGUAAUAAGUUUUCUCAACUUCUCACUUUCACGUAUCACCAUGGAGAACUCAAACCAAUGCAACUAAUGCAAUGGCAAGAACACACGAAGUGGUCAAGUCCCUCACACUCAAAUCCCUCCACAACAACAAAAGUUGUGGAGAAAUAUCAGAGGAGGAACAAGGAGCUCACAAAGAACUCCAAGAUCAAGAUCCAAGGGGUUCCCCUCACAUAGAGGAGAAAGUGAUUGGUGGAGAUGUGGAUCUAGAUCUCCUCUCUCUUUUCCCUCAAGAACUAGUAAGAAUCAUUGGAGGGAUUGAGAGUUAGCAAGCUCUAAAAAGGUCAAUAAUGGGGAAGAACACGAGCUCAACAGAUGGAUUCGGUCCAAUGGGGAAGAAGACCCCCUUUAUAUAGUGGGGAAAAGAAUCCAACUGUUACCCCCACUCACACCCCGAGCGGAGCGGUACUAUCGCACGGUAGGAAAAAAAUUACUAUCGUGACUACCACCGCUGAGGUUGUAGAUGCAAAGAAAGUCCGAGGAAGCUUUACUACCGCCCGAGAUCGGUAGUAAAAAAACUACUACCGCUCUAGGAGCAGUACUACCGCUCGCACCAGGAGCGGUACUGCCGCUGGAUACUGAAACUGCCAUAACUUUCGCAUACGAACUCCGAAUCGAGCAAACUCAAGCUUGUUGAAUUCAGGACGGCAAGAGCUAUCGAACAGCGGUUAUGAAAAUUCCAAUUAUAUAGAUAUGUGAUACCUCUACGAAUGAAGAACCGGCAAAAAACUUCCAACGUCGAAAACAUCAUAGAAGAUGCAUAUGGACUCUGUUUUCGAUGAACUCGAGCAUGUCACGAAGAUGAACAUAAGCUCUAAAACUCACAAAGAGAAACACCAAACAAGAACCAAGAAAUAUGAUGCAAGGAUGCAAAUGGUUUGAGCUCUCAAUGAACGAUACGAUCAAGCUACUCACUUGAGAGCCCCCCUUGAUAAUACGACAAUCUAUCCUAAAAUAGAAAACCUAUCAAGGGCACCUAGUCCUGUUGAGCUAGAUGAUGAUGAUCUUUGCUUCCUCAAGAUGGACCACAUUUCUUGACUGUGUUGGUUUGAUGAAGACCGGUUGAUAGCCCCCCAUACUCACUAUGGGUGAGUGAUGUCUACGCACGCUUCUAUUCUUGUAGACUAUGUUGGGCCUCCAAGCGCAGAGGUUUGUAGGACAGCAGCAAUUUCCCUCAAGUGGAUGAACUAAGGUUUAUCAAACACAGGGAAGUAGAGGCUGAAGAUGGUUCUCUCAAGCAACCCUGCAACUAAGAUACAAGAAGUCUAUUGUGUCCCCAACACACCUAAUACAAUUGUCAGUUGUAUAGGUGCACUAGUUCGGCGAAGAGAUGUUAAAACGCAAGUGAUAUGGAUGGUAAAACAAGGUAUUGUAAAUCUGAAAUAAAAAUGGCAGCAAGAAAACAUGAAACAAAACUGGAAGUAAACGGUGUUCAGUGGUGGAAAACAAGGCCUAGGCUUCAUACUUUCACUAGGGACAACUCCCAACAACAUUAGCAUAGUCUAAUCACAUGAUAUUUCCACUAAAACAUGCAAUGGCGACAUACUCGGAGGUCAUUCCUUUGUGAUCAAGAGAGGACAAGAAUUAUGUAGGGCUACAAAAGCACACCUCAGAGUUCGUAGUUCUCAUCUAUGGAUUUCCCAAUGUCACCGCGGCCAUCCAAAGAGAGUACCACAAUCACCACAACUUAUCUCAAGGAUAGUCAAAGACAAGCACCAAGAGACUCUCAAUCUUCAAUCAAUUCACAAAAGAGAAAAUCACUCAUGAAAAUAUUCUUCUAAUCCAUGUCCAAUAGACCGCUGUCACCAUGGUCUCAAGGAUUAUACUAGAUAAGAUCAAGUGAGUACAUCAAUCCAAUACAUAGAAGAAGGGGAAACAUCAUGGGAUCACCCUAGGUUAACAUAACCUAUGAUCACAAUCAAGAUCACAUCAUGCGAGAGGGAAUUAACCACAUAGCUACACGUAGAGCCCUCAGCCCCGAGGGAGACUAGUCACACAUGGCCAUGGCGAGCAAGAGGUUGAUGGAAAGGUGCAGCCCGGAGGGGAGACGGCGGCCACGGCGGCGGCCACGACCCUUGGGGGUGGCGGCCCUUGGCCCCCUUCUUCCUUGGAGAUGGUGAUGGUAUGGAGGUGGUUCUCCACCCCAAGGCGGCUGCCUGGGAGGAGGAAAUCUUGUGGCUCUUGGUGGCUCUACAGGAAUUAGGUUUUUCCUCUCCUUAUAUGAGUCGCGACGAUCAUCCUUGGCCCUUCGAUGGAUGCCCAUUUGAUCCAAGGGCUCUUGGGCACCUCUAGAACCUUCCUAGGAACCCCUAUCAGCCCUAAUGAGGUCCCCAAGUCAUGGCUUGGGCGAAUCCAUCUAAUAUGGUAAGAGUUGGACUCAAUCACGUCACCGAUUCCCGUAAUCCUGUAAUCACAUAUUUGUCCUCCAGUAAAACGGGCUUUAUUGGAGCGUACAAACUCCAAAUGGGCCGAAUAUUAUGUCUAGAAUUAUUAGAAUAUAAUUCCCCACAACUUUUGCAUCUAUUAUUUUUCAUUUUACGUCAUCUUCGAGGCGGAAACAGACUAUCUCUAAAAACUGUAGGGGCAUAUUUCAGGAAAGUCAGAGUCCCACUCCAAUAAAGUUUCAUCUUCUGUUUUUGAUGGUUCCUACACACCAAAGUGUAAAACAAGAACAUUGUGCACUUUUGCAACUAUUAGUAGGUUAGUCCAAAUAAAUCAUAAACUUAAUAUAAAACAAUUCUCAAAAGCAUAAAAGUAGCAUGAAACCAUCAAAAAUUAUAGAUACGUUUUGGACGUAUGAGUGAGCCAUCGCUAUAUUGCUGAUGAUAACCACUUGAUGUCAUCCUUCAUAGGUUGAAUGGGAUCUUCCUCUUGACGCAAACCCAUGGAGACACACCUAACCCCACAUAGAACUCUCACGAAGACCAUGGGUUAGUACACAAAAGUGUUAUGGAUAAUGCUUACCAUACCAUGGGAUCACUUGAUCCCUCUCGGUACAUCUUGUACGCUUUGUGUGUUUAUCAUCUUGAUUUAUUCUUUGUCUUAGUCUUGAUCAAGCUUAUGUCUUUAUGACCAUUCUUUGGAUAAUACCUUGAAUACUACCUUGGUCAUCAUAUAAAGAAGUGAAUAUGGACAAAUCCUUAGAAUAUAACUCAAUGCAACCAUUAGUCCAUGGGAUUGUCAUUAAUUACCAAAACCACAUACAGAGAAAUAUGCUCUAACAAAGUUCCAAGAAUUGCCUUUAGGAUGCUUGCAUUGCAUGUUUGAUGUAUGCUGUGUAAAGACAGAGACUUUUAUUGUAGAGUUUGAAUUUUCAUAUUUUACUGGAACGUGGAAAGUUUCUGAAUUUUUUACACAGUGUUGUAAUAUAAAUUUUAUAGCAUUUCCUGAAUUUUCAUAAUUUUUUGAGUUACGAAAGUACACUGUUUUCAUAAAUUGCUACAGACCGUUCUGUUUGGACAGAUUGCUGUCAUAGUUUUGUUAUCUACUUAUCCUAUAGUUUCCAUAGCCUAUAUUGGUAGUUAUAAAUUGUGGAAAUAAUAGUAUACAUUACCCAAUUUUUGGAAAUUAUUGUGCAACUUGUCUUGGUAGUACAUGAAGUGUUGAUUUGUUCUUAUGUGUACUAACCUAUCUCACGAGUUCUUUUUGAGUUUUGUGUGGAUGAAGUUUUUGAGAAUAGGUGAAACCGGGAUAUGAGAAGAUUGAACAAGAUACAAAAGCUCAAGCUUGGGGAUGCCCAAGGCACCCCAAGUUAAUAUUUCAAGAACUCUCAAGCAUCUACUUGUAUCCUAUGAGUAAAUGGUUGAAUGAAUUGAAUAUCAUAAAUCUAAAAUUAUAUAUGUUUUUUAUGCUUAUCCCAUGUGGAGUAAUGACUUCACAUAUAAGAAGUAUAUGUGGUAAAAUUUAUUGAAAGAUAGCAAACACCGCAUUGGUCACUUGAACAAUUCACGAAAGAAUAUUGAAGGAAGAGAGAUUUCACAUAUAAAUUUACUAUCUUGGAAAUCUUCUAUGAUUGUGAAUACCCGUUAAUUAUUUUCAAACUUGAGCAAAUUAGUUGAAGAUUGGACAAGGAAGACAACGUAAUGAGUUAUGCUUGGGUAUAUUUGUAUAGAAGUUAUAUUGUUAUGGAUCCUCCAACAUGUGGUGCUUGCUUCCACCUCAUACUAGCCAAAACUUCCGCACCAAGUAGAAAUACUACUUGUGCAUUCAAAUACCCUUAAACCCAAAGUUGUUUGUCCAUAUGAAUCCACCAUACCUACCCAUAUGCGGUAUUUAUGUGUCGUUCCAAGUAAACUUGCAUGUGCCAAACUCUAAACCUUCAAAUAAUAUUCUGUUUUGUAUGCCCGAAUCGCUCAUGUAGUGACUAGGGGUUGUUAGUAUAUUCGAUGCUAGGUGGGUUAUUCUCACGAUAUGUGUUGAUUCACUAUCAUUCACGAGAAAGUGGCUGGUAUUCGGGAUGCCCAUUUCCAUGCUCCAAAUUCAAAUCAAAAUAUAAUGAAACAAAACUCCCCCAGGAUUGUUGUUUAUAUGGAUGGUACCCAUGGAUUCGGCUCGCCGUGGAGUGUGAUUGAUUGGUGGAGGGGGGGUAAAAAAAUUACCACUCUAUUUGGGAACCGCCUAUAAUGUAUCUAACAUGAAAGAUAUCGAGAUCCCUCGGUUGUUAUGUUGACAAUGAAAGCAUACCGCUCAAAAUUAUUAUUCAUCUCUGUUUUAAAAGCUUGAGCUUUGGCACCUCUGCAAAUCAAUGCUUCCCUCUGUGAAGGGCCUACUUUUAUUUUCUACCACUUACCUUUAUGCAAGAGUCAUGGUGAUCUUCACGACUUCCUAUAUUUCGCCUGUUUCUCUUGACAAGCAUCAUGUGGUGGGGAAAGAUCCAAGCAUAUAUGUCCAUUCAAAUAUAUUUGAUCGUGAAUUAUUAUUGUUGACAAUUAUAUAUAUUAUAAAUAAGUUGGGAGGCGAAACUUUAAGCCCAUAUCUUUCUCCGUGUUCGACGGAUGCCAUUUGCUCUUAAAAUAUGCUUUGAGUGUUAGCAAUCAUGGAAGACUAUAUGCUAGUUGAGUAUGUGGAAUUUGCUAAAUCAAAGCUCUUACAUAGACCCUUCCUGAAAAUAAGAUGAAUUGCAAUUGUUUGAUGACUAGGAUUAUGGUUUGUUAGUUUUCAAGAAACUUUUUGGUCUAUACUUUAACAUGUGAAUAGCUUGUUACUUGAUCAUGAGAAGUUUUAUGAGAUGAGCUAUUGUUUAUGGUUUAUAUUUAUGCUAGAAAAAGUGAUUGGAAGUAUCAUUUGUCAAACUUGUGCACUUGCUAGCAUUCACACUUCAUAAAUAUUUCUUUUAUCAUUUACCUACUCGAUGACGAGCAGGAAUUAAGCUUAGGGGUGUUGAUACGUUUCCGGCGUAUCUAUAAUUUAUGACGUAUUCAUGCCAUGUUUACAAUAAUUAUAUAUGAUUUUGGUAUGAUUUUAUUAGAACUAACCCGGAGUGACGCUGUUUUCAACAGAACUACCAUGCUAUCGUUUUUUGUGCACAAAUAGAAGUUCUCGGAAUGGGCUGAAAAUUUACGGUGAUUUUUAUGGACCAAAAGAGACCCCCGAAGCACCAGAGUUGGGCCAGGAAGUGGAUGAGGAAGCCACAAGCCUGCUGGGUGCGGCCACCCCCUAGGUCGUGCCCCCGUGGCUUGUGACUUCCUCGGGAACCUUCCGGACGUGAGACCGAUGCCAAAAAUUCCUAUAAAUACCAAAAAAACCCAGAAAGAAACCUAGAUCGGGAGUUCCGCCGCCGCAAGCCUCCAGAGCCACGAAAAACCAAUCUUGGCCCUAUCUUCACCGGAGGCCAUCUUCAUCAUCCCGGCGGUCUCCAUAAUCGCCAUGGAGGCCAAGGACCAGAGGGAGAACCUCUCCCCACUCAAGGGGGAGACCAUGGAGGAGGAAGCACAAGGGGGACCUUUCUCUCUCUCUCUCUCUCUCUCUCUCUCUCUCGAUGGCGCCGGAGUGCCAUCGGGAGAACCAUCGCCGUGGUGAUUGUCUUCAUCAACAACACCUUUUUCAUCACCAUCAUCAUCUCCUCUCAGCGGUCCACUCUCCCGCACCUCGUUGUAAUCCCCUACUUGUACAUGGUGCUUUAUGUCGCAUAUUAUGAUUCAAUGAUGUGUUGCCAUCCUAUUAUAUUUUGAGUAGAUUUCUUUUGUCCUUUGGGUUGAUUGAUGAUCUAGAUUGGUGUGAGUUGUAUAUUUAUUUUGGUGAUGUCCUAUGGUGCCUUCCGUGUCGCGCACACGUGAAGGAUUCCCGUUGUAGGGUGUUGCAAUGCGUUCAUGAUUCGCUUAUAGUGGGUUGCUUGAGUGACAGAAGCAUAAACCCGAGUAAGGGGGCUAUUGCGUAUGGGAUAAAUGGGACUUGAUACUUUAAUUGUAUGGUUGGGUUUUACCUUAAUGAUCUUUAGUAGUUGCGUAUGCUUACUAGAGUUUCAACCAUAAGUGCAUAUGAUCCAAGUAGAGAAAGUAUGUUAGAUUAUGCCCCUCCCUCAUAUAAAAUUGCUAUAAUGAUUACCGAUCUUGUUAACAAUUGCCUAGGACAAUUCCGCACACCGACCCAUCAUUAUUCCAUACUUGUUGUUUGUAAUAUAUUGUAAUAUAUUCUAACUUUAUGAUAACAACACCUAUUUUUAUAUUCUAGUUCUCUGUUAUCAUGCAAAGCUAUUCUCUUCAUACCACCAUGUAGUUUUAUUUCUCGUUUCUAGUUGGAAGCAAACGUCCGGUGUACGUAGAGUCGUAUCAUUGGCACAUAGGACUUGAGAGAAUAUUGAUGUUACCUUUAGCUCCUUAUAGGUUCGACACUCCAUACUUAUCACUUCCACCUUUGAAAAUUGCUAUGAUGAUUCCUUACACUUGGGGAUUAUCAGCCCAAGGGUGGCGCACCAUCCCCUAGUGGUCUGGUGGCCAGCCCAAGAGGGCCUAGGUCGGCUGAAGUGGGAGAAAAGGCAUGGAGAGGAGGCCAAUCCGAUUUGCCUUCCAAGUGGAGUUGGAGGAGGACUCCUCCCUCUCCCUCUUGCGUCGGUCGAAACCCUAGAGGUUUCCCUAGGGCGCCGCCCCCUCCCUCCCACCUAUAUAUAGUGGAGGUGAUAGAGGCUUUUGGCACUCAAGCAAAAGUGCAGCUCUCUCUCCCUCCACAACUUCGACACCCCGUAGCUAGAUUAGUCCGGCACGGCGAAGCCCUGCCGGAGUAGCUCCACCACCAUCACCGUUACGUCGUUGUGUUGCCGGAGAAUUCAGCUACCUCUUCACCCCUCUUGUUGGAUCAAGAAGGCGGAGAUCUUCACCGAGAUGUACAUGUGUUGAACGCAGAGGUGCCGUACGCUCGGUACUAAAUCGGAACGGAGUUCGUGGGACGGAUCGUGAUUGGAUCGCAAAGAUGUUCGACUACAUCAACCAUGUUUCUUAACUCUUCCCGCUUAGCGAUCUACAAGGGUAUGUGGAUCUGAUCUCCCCUCUUGUAGAUGAUCAUCACCAUGAUAGGUCUUUCGUGUGCGUAGGAAUUUUUUUGUUUCCCAUGCAACGUUCCCCAACAUCUCUCUCGUAGUAAUUCUCCAUCAUAGCAAUCGCGACAGCGCUUGGCGAAGCCCUGCUGAAAUUGCACCACCACCACCGUCACCACGCUGCCGUGCUGCCGGAGUACUCAACCUCUAGUUCAACAUCGCUCUCUGGAUCAAGGAGGUGAAGGCAUCAUCGAGCUGUACGUGUGCCGAAAGCGAGGUGUCGUAUGUUCGGAAGACGUUCCACUACAUCAACCGCGUUCUUUAACACUUCCGCUUAGCGAUUUACAAGGGUAUGUAGAUGCAAUCUCUCCUCUUGUAGAUGGUCAUCUCCUAGAUUGUUCUUGGUGAAGCGUAGGAUUUUUUCCCAUGCAACGUUUCCCCAACAAGGAGGUAUAAUUGUUGUUCCUAACGACAAAAAUGAACUUAUCCUACAAAGAAUUGUAACUGGUUGUAGGAUGGUAAUUGAUUUCAGGAAAUUAAAUAAAGCUACUAAAAAAGAUCAUUACCCCUUGACUUUUAUUGAUCAAAUUUUAAAAAUAUUAUCUAAGCAUACACAUUUUUGUUUUCUUAAUGGAUAUUCUGGUUUCUCUCGAAUACCUCUGUCAAAAGAAGAUCGAGAGAAACCUAUCUUUACUUGUGUGUUUGGAACUUAUGCUUAUAGAUGUAAUGCACCUGCUACCUUUUAAAGGUGUAUAGCUGCUAUAUUGUGUGACUUUUAUGAAAAGAUUAUUAAGGUAUUCAUGGAUAAUUUUUCCAAUUAUGAGACGUCUUUUGAUGAUUGCUUAGGCAACCUUGUUCGAGUUUUGCAAAGACGUGAAAAAACUAAUCUUGUCUUAAAUAGGAAAGUGUCCCUUUAAGGUGAAUGAAGGUAUAAUACUGAUGCCCCAUAAGUAUAGGGGAUCAACUGUAGUCAUUUCGAUAAGUAGAUGUAUAUACACCCAUAGAACAAAAGUUCCCCUCCAUAUGAGGAGCCGCAUGUUUAGCUCUAUUGAGGUUUAAAGUUAUCGCGAAAAACACAACUUUUCCCACGUACUUCUCAUGUCAUGAGGCAACUCGCCGGAUUAAAAUGUAGCCGAACCGCACACGUCUGACAUCGCCUCACAUAACUUAAUUUAUUUUGGAAAUUUCCAUAUACUUGUAUUGGGGUCAUGUUGAUGUACAUGCUAUUCUUGGGAUCAUAUUGAUGUACCGGUAAUUUAUCUCUGAGCCUGGGCUCGUAUAAACCCGGUGAACAGUACCAUGUUUUAGACUACCAAAAAUGUUUUAAAAAGUCCAAUUUUUUUCAUGAUGCAAGAUCCUCUUAUGUGUGAACUCCCUGCAAAACUUUAUGAAAUUUGAACAUUCAAGAAACUCACGGCAAAAAAGACAAAAUCAGGCAUGAAUAGUGCACUUUUCAAAUGUUUCUCACACAUCUGAAACUUGUCUUUUUUGCCGUGAGCUCCUCAAAUGUCGAAACUACACAAAAAUUUGCAAGCAGUUCACACAUAGGAGCAUCUUACACCAUAAAAAAAUUGAACUUUUUUGAAUACUUUUUGUACCUCAGAACAGGGUACUGUUCAUGCACGAGCUCAGAUGAGCCUGGGAGCCAAAUUGCCGUGUUUCUACUUCCUCCCCUCUCUCUCUCCCCUUGUAUUAUCUCGGAUUAUAAACGGAAUUGAAGAUUUUAGAGAGAGAAAAGACAAGCUAAUUGCAAGACCAUCAUAGAAUGCAUGUUCCAUCAAUACCGAGAUCGUCCAUGACGCCACUCUACUAUGCAUCUGAUAUGGUAUGAACAAACCUUAGCAGCUAACUUUCUAAACACCAUUUUUUUUCAGAUUAAGAUGGAUCAGGAGGAGAAUGCAUGGCGGACCUUGUUCUCAAGGAACGAAACCAACUCAAGGGUGGUGGCACCGAGCCUCGACGACAGCAGGCAGCGAGGUCGCAGCCGCGUGCAAACGAUACAUGCCGGGUCUGAAGGUGGGCAUAGAAAGAGCAUUGGUAUCCUCGUCUGCUUAGACGUGAUGAUCAACUGCCAAAAUUAUACCACAUCACACGAAUAUGUAGCAGCAAACUUCCCCAGUGACAGUACGGCAUGUAUUUUGAGCACUGGUAUCCGGUGACAAAAUUGAAUAUACACCUCAACUAGGAUGAACGCGGAUGUAUGUAUUACUCUUUCAUCCAAAACGCAAGCACGGACACCGCCUUGGCCUGCUUGUGUUGCUGGCGAUGGCGAGGGGACCGUCGAGAGAAGACUCACUUCUUUUCCGCUGCUUUAUGGUCUGGAAUCUUCAGCAUGCCACCGUCGAUGAGCGGCUGCACCUCGGAUUUCGCAAGAUCCUUCACCUUGGAAUCUGGAGAUUCCAGAUAGGCAGCCACCACCUUGGAGCUGCAGCAACGAUCAACAAGUUCAGAAGAGUAUCAGCGCAUGAUUCCCCUUUUAUUUCCUUCAAAAUACCACCUCAGCAGUGCAAUGUAGUACGUAAAUUGCAACAAAUAGUUGAAAUUGUAUUCGUCGCAUUUGCAUGGUCCACAAAUUUGAUGAACAGAUUAAACAACUGGCAUAUCGAUGAGGAAUCAUUUUGAGGUACCUGAAUCCAUCUGCAAAUGACUUGGACUUCCCUUUGAGGGCUUUUUCCCAUAGGGUAGCGGCAAACGCAGGGCAAUCAAGUACCAUCUUUCUGAUUACGCGGCUCGAGUGGUAGUUAUCAAAGGCAUGCUCAACAUCCUCUGUCCUCGGCCGUGCUGCGUCAGAAGCUAUAGCAUUGUGAAGCACGUGGAUCCUGUCGGUGACCCCCUCCAAGACAUUAUUUUUUCCACCUAUAGCAACCUUGGAAAAUGGCAAUACAGAAUCUCAGUAGGUGCAGUCAUGACGCUCUUCAAUGGUCAUUUACUCAUUUGUGUCAAGAGACAGACCAAGAAAACAGUAGGUAGGUUCGUGUGUAGACUGGAGUGCCAUUUUCUUUUACAGGAGGUUGAUUCAUCAUCAUUAAGGAAAAGUGAAUAAAAGUAAUACUAAGCACAGGCCUAGGGACCAACGCAUCCCAGAGAAAAGGUUCCAUCAACUCAUAAGAAUAUUUCCACAUUGUUGAAUAAUAAUCAGGAAAAAUGCUCGUCUCUUGUGAAGGUCAUGCAAGUAAAAUCAUAGCACUAUUUAUCACAAGUAGUCCCUUUCACAAAGAAAUGUCAUAGAUGAAUGAAUAUUAUCGCAAGAUACUGGCUAUAGAGGUACAGGUAGAAGCGUAGAGCAUGGACUAAGGGAUUACCUCAUAUAAUACAUCUUUGCCAAAGUUUGCUCGAAGUAACUCUCCAACAUUUUCAAUGCAAGUCUCAAUGAGAACCUGCAAAGGAAAAAAGAAAACCUACAUUAGGACUAGGGGUACGUGACUAUGGGACCAUAGUAAUGUCAGGAUCAGGGUGUCAUGUGACUAAUGAGGGCGUAGUAAUGUUGCGACUAGGUGUUCUUUCACAAAUAAUCACCCUAAAAUCAUAGUACUAGUGCAAGAAUAAAUGUAGAUCUCUUGAGGGGGGACACUACAUGCUCAAAAAGAAAUGCCAUUGAAUAAAUAAAUAAAUAAGUUAAAUACAUGUUAAGAGUAUCACCUCGAAAAGUUCGCUUUUCACCAACAGUUCUUGCCUCCGUUUAAACGGGUCCUUCUUGCUAUCAGAUGCAACCAGUGUGUCUUCUGAACCCCCAUGUUCUUUUUCAGCUACAUCAUCCAACUUACUAUCCAAGUUAACUUUAGCAGCACCCUCUGAUGCCUCAUCCUGAAACAAAAAAAAGCAAAUUUCUGGGGGCUAUCUCUCUUCAGAGUACUUAACAGUUAAUAGGGUAGGUAACUUGCCUUUGAAAUAAGGGAAGGCACACUGUACUUCAGACAACUCAAAUCAGUCGGAGUCAGAUAACGUGAGCAAAGUGGGUGAAGUAGCUGCAGCAAUGGGCGUCUCCCGUUCUGUUCCAGCAAGGAGCUCCAUCAUAAAGUCUCAUGUACGUGUAACAAACAAAUAAAAAUAAGCAUAUCAGAAGCUCGUUAUUGCUUUUACCUUGUCAAAUAUGAGUUCCUUUAACUGUUUUGUCAGCUCUUCAAUUACAACCUACAAAUAAUGAAAGUAAGCUAUAAGCAUUGUCUCUUCAGAUUGCUUGUAAUGGCAGCAUAACACUUGCUUCAAGCAAAUGAUUGGUGCUGGCUAACCUUAGUAAGAAGUUUUGUGUCAUCAACAAUGGAGAGAAGACAAGCAAGGAACUGGAGAAAAAAAGAUAUGUUAGUUUAGUUGAUGAUUGAUCACUUGGAAGCAUAAAACCAUCUGAAAUUACUGUGGAUUGGGAGAAUGUUUUUGAACGUUAAAGCAUAAAAUUCACACAGUAAAACCCUAUUUGAAUACUAAAAUAUACUAUUAGAAAUAUAGACACCACUUACAAGGCAUCCAUAAUCACUGAGAGCAAGCUUCAUAACCUGACCCUUCAAGCUUUUGAUAAUUUUCUUCCUAUCCUGAAAUGCAUUACCAAGUUAAAUGAUAAAACCACACUGGAAAUAAGCAAGAAUAAAAAGAAGUACUACUGAACAUGCAGCAUGAGGCACUAACUAACGUACGGUUCUUCCCGAAAAAACAAAAAAACAAAAAACUAACACACGGUUCAAUUUGCAUGACUGUUUAGUGUCUAAAAUCAACAGAGGUUAAUAAAUAAACAUUGGAUAAAGCAGAUGAGUUGGCAAAGUUAAAAAAAGUGAUCACUCUGAAAUCUGUCUUUCUAGAUACAAAUAAGAAAACAGAAAGACAAAAAAAAGACAAUGUACCUUCGCACUGCCAUGCUUGAGGCAAGCAAGCCCUAAUUUUAAUCCUUCCCUGGUCUGCAUGAUACGAAUGAGAAGUGGUUCUGAAGAUCUUUUCUUCUUAGCUUUUGAUUUUGUUGGUACUUCAGCGACACCUGAUAGUUCAUCUCCAUCUACGACAGAUGACCCUUGAGUAAGAUGGGGAAUUAACUGACGAAUCACGUCCGAGGCUGAUGUCUACGAAACACAUGCAUAUAUUAGAUAGUGCAAUAAGCUGAAGAAAUAUUUCAUCAAAAAAGGAGAGCUUUGUUGUAAAGAUAGGCCAAUCGCGUCAAUAAAAUACAUUUACCUUGUCCGCAAUUGUUAAGUACUCCAAUAUGACCGUGUGUACUAUGGAAUACUCAACAAUACCUUUUUCCAAAACUGGCUGGAUAACAGUAGUCAUAUACUGCAGGACAGAUGAUUUCUGUAGUCCAAGCUUAGAAAUUGUUUCUAACAAACUGAAAAAGAAAGUUGAAUUUUAGGAUAUUGAACUAAAUAAGUAACUGCAGCCACCUAUGUCAGGAUAAGUGAAUGACUACAAUAAUAUUUCCGUCCGCCCAAGUUAAAGUUUUGUACAGAGAAGUAACAAAAGUUAAGGGGACACUACAAAGCAGAUGUAUGACAAGACAUUAUAGCGUGCCAACCUGCAUGAUUUUUGUUCAGUCAAGUCCUUGAACAGCUGAAGCUCGGUGGAGUACAAUUCCAACAACAAACUUCUUUUCUGAGGCGGUGUCGCCUGAUGAAAGGUGCAAUCAACAACUGCGAAAAAGAGUGCAUCUCAAUGUAAGAUUUCCAUGUACCCCUUUACUUGUAUAGCAAAUAGAAACGCAUGUGUACAAUGGCAUUCAACCAUUAACUCCUGCUGCUCCUAUACACGACAAGUUCCUAUCCCUUAUGACAAUAACACAUAGCAACACAUACCUGCAGCUCCUAUUGUGUGACGAAGUAGAGAAGCGACAUGACCAUGAAGGGAAGAGAUGAACAAGGCAAGCUGUUUUUUAGUGGCUGCAGUCACAAACAAGAGGUAUGUUAGUGAAGCUAUAAGGGUUAUCAUAUAUGAACUCAUACGAGUUUUUAGCGAAUUGUAGAGAACUUUACCAAGUUUUAUGAGCUUCUUCACAAGAAAAACAGCGUAUUUCUUGCGAGAGAAAUGGAGCAAAUGUGGCUGCAGGGCAACAAAAACAGCAUCCCUCUCUGGCUGUGAGCACCACUUCACACAUGUCUGAAAAAGGAAUGGCGACUAUCAGAAUAAGGACGAAAACACCAUAAGAAGCGCGUUCAUAAAGAGUGAAUAUCGUCAGCUUACCUGAAGAACACGUGCGGUUACAUGGGAUCCAGCAAUUUCAAAAUAUUUGCCAUCCAUUUUACGGAGAGCCUCAGUCACUAGCCUGUAGAGAUGACAAACGCAUCGGCAUAAGAAGUUGACCAUAAGUUGCAACUCACAAGACUUUAAUAGUGACGCUUACUUGGAUCUAUUCUCCUUGCUCACAUCACGGCAUCUCAUCUUUUCCCAUAGUACUGCCAGUUCCUGUCGAUAUUAGGUGUCGGCGGCACACCAAAUUAGAGUUGGCCAGAGUAUGGUUAACUGAAUCAUCAUAUACAGAGUGGUGGUUGAAGCAGGCACUGCUACUAUUUAUUACUGGGAUAAAAGUCAGUUUUUGCUUCAUUGUCAAAAUUAAGUAAUGCUACCAGCAGAAUUCAAGUCCAAAAGUAAAAAUCAAGAAUAUGUAAUACUCAGAGGUCAAUUAUUUUGGUUUAGGCUACAAGCAGCAUUACAUGAUUGUUUAUUAUGUAUGCAGCAAGUGUAAUCUGAAGAUUGAACAUACAAGGAAACGUGAUCAUAAUGGGAGCAUACGGUACAAAACAAAAAUUACCUUUUCGAGGUUGUAAUUGGGCUUCCUCUUCAUCUUCCUCGACUCGGACAUUUCCUGCCACAAUCGACACCAUUCCACAGCUUCAGCACAAGCACAAGCAGGACCAAAGCGCAAGCUCUCCAAACGAGCUAAACAAGGAAGGGGCACCGAUGGAAUACCUUGGCGGCGACCCGCUUGCCCUUGGCGGUGACGGGCUGCGGCUUGGCCUUGGCGGCAGGGGCGUCAUGGGUUUUCUUCCGCUUGGUGGCGUCGCCGCCUCCCUUGGACGGCGCCUUGGGCCUCCCCGCGGCCUCGCGCUUCCGCUUGUUGGCGCCCGGGUGGUCACCACCUCCGGCCAUGGGAACACGAGGCGGCGUCGGCGAACGGGGGAGGAUGAACGAGGGUUUACUGGUCGCAGCACCGGAGGAGGAUGCCCAGAUAGGUUCGUUCUAGUCUAGGGGGCAGUUCUUUUCACCUCACGAUUCUCCAGAAUCUGAUUCUGGGAAACUGCCCACAGAAUCAGCUGUCCAGUUCUUUUCUGUGAUUCUAGCAUGUGAUUAUUGUAUGAGUUGUGUGCUGAAAUGUCUGUAACGCCCCUAGAUUGAACUGAGUGCUGAAUUACUAAUACUUGGUUAUUUCUGAUAGUUUCAUGUCUAAUAUGAACACGAAAGCUAGUUGCAAAUUUAAUAUGAAUUUAGUAAGCAAAUUUGCUUGUCCUACAUCCGACAAACUGGUGUUUCCAGGGGCGCGGUUAUUUGCUCGCACCUCUUCUACGCACACAUCCAUAUAAAUGGAAUGAUACGCACUAUCCCAAAUUGCUUUAGGAUGCUUCACUUUCUCCAUCUAAAACAUCCAUAUGUGAACGUUUUAAUGUACACAAUUUUUUUCAUUGCUAAACAGAGUUAAAAAAGAGUUUGUAUUUUUUUCAUUGCUAAACAGAGUGUAUUUUUUCAUUGCUGACCAAAUUGCAUAUGUGUGUACUACAUGUGUGUACUAUCGCGAGCAGCAUCAGCCAAGCAGCAGCAGCAGCAGGAGCGAAGCAGAGCACCAGCAGCCAGGUGGAGCGUCCGUAGCCAUCCUAGAGAUGUAGGGGAGAGAGAAGCUCACCAGCAGAGGCAGGAGUUGCUGGAGCUCUUGAUGAUGGCGGCGGGCUGGACGGGGCGGCCGCGCGCGCAGGUGUUGGCCGACGGGACGGGGCGUAGGGGGUGGCGGGGAAGGAGACGGGGCGGCUGGCCGCACAGUUCUCCGGGAUGGCGGCGGACGGUCGGGGUCGCCGGCUUGUAGCGGAUCUGACGCCGCCGCGGCGGGGUCGAAGGCUGGCGGCACUGAACCCUAGCUGGGGACGAAACGAGCGAGCGGGCUAUGGUGCCUGCAAAUUUUCGUGUUUUGACCCCAGAUCUGACCCCGAUUUUAAAAUUUUGAGAUUUAUUAAUUUUUUUGCCGUCAGGGUUCACGACGGUUGAGUAUACGAGCCUAUCGCCGAGAUUCUUGACGGUAAAAAACUUAUUUAUAUCAAUGGGGCGCAUCUUUAUCGUCAAACAAAUUAGUAGCAGAAUGUACAACCCUACUAUCCGAAGAUAGGUGCGAGCAUGUACUGUAUACAAUACUUAAAAAAUAAAAAUACGAUAGGACAUGCUAACCUAUCGUUAAGGGUCUCGACGAUAGGUUGUUAUACCCUAUCGUCAUGGACCCUGAUGGUAGGAAAAGGAUCAAGUCCCAAAAUUUUACAAACAAGGAUCAGAUCUUGCUCAACUUUUAUGAAAGGAUCAAAACAUGAAAAUUAGCCUCUCGUGGCUCUAUGCAUCUGUCAUUUUGGGCCCCUAUUUCCAAUUGCUCUGAGUUCGGACAUUUUGAGGGUAAAUAACUCGUUUAAUAUGGGUAGAACAUUAAAACCAAAUGUUUUCUUUCGAGGGGCUCGGCAUAAUCGUGAGAAUCGCCAACAUUCUCUGAUUUUCAUUUGCACUACUAUUCUUGUGAUUUCCAGAUAAUUUUAAAGAAGAAAAUCAAAUUCCUUUGCGAUUGUUGAUUCUCUCAACGCGAUUGUUGAGAAUCACCUCAAAAGAACUGGCCCUAGGAUUUAUCGCCUGCCAAUACCAGUCUGUCACCCAACAACGUAUGAGGUGGGUCGCACAAUGGGCUUGUGACAGUUCCAUUCGGCCUAAGUUACGUAACUCGGCUCGUCAUUCGGCAACCUCUUGUAGACGAUCGGCCUACAGGAUCGUGUCUGACCCGACAAAGCGUGAGAGGGUUGUUUGGUCAAUCCACCGCGGGGGUGAGGGAGCGCGCGCAAGGGUUUUCAUUUUCCCCAAUUUCCCAUCAUGGAGGUCGUUGAACACGCCAACAAAUGGGCGAACGACGGGCAGGCGCGUGAGACGUUGACGCGUGGGCGACCGCGAGGCGGGGUGGCCUCAGUCGGUGCGAGGUGCGAGAUCUGACCUUGGUUUGGAAAAAAAAUCUAAAUAUCGAAUAUAGUGUGUGUUUUGACCCUUGUUUGAAAAAAAAUCUAAGUAUCAGAUACAAUGCGUGUUCUGACCCUAGUUUUCUAAGUAUUGGAUUCUUCAAAUAUUCUAAGGGUCAACUACUGUAAAAAUAUAUAUAUACGAUAAUCGACCCUUUUACCUUACUGUCAAAACACGCAUUGUAUGUGAUACUUAAAGGUGUGAGAUCUCGCUCAACUAUUGUAAAAUGGUCAAAACAACCUCGACGGUAGGCUGGUAUACCCUACCUUCAUGGACCCUGGUGGUAGGAAAAGGGUCAGAUCCCAAAAAAAUCAAACUCGGGUCAGAUCUGGCUUAACUUUUGGAAAAGGGUCCGAACACAAAAAAUUGGCCCGCGUUGUGUGGGGCGCCUCUUUUUGAGCACUUGUGGUGUCGACGUGCGAGCGAUCCGGCGUGGUGCGGCCGUUCAUGUGGUCGCGCUGGCGUGCUCUGACCGCACACGCGUGUAAGAGCAGUGGAGGAGUGGGAUGGAAACCCUGAAUGGAAUGUGAGGGCAUCGCGCUAUCGCUGGAUGGGAGGGAUUGGUUGGUUGGAGAUCUCGCGGAUAUCUCGUCGUACGUGGUCGGGAUGCAAUCUGAUAGGCGGGCCUUCUCAGGGUCUUGAGAAAUGUUAAUUUGCAUUGAUUGCAAUCGGGGUGCUGGAUUCUGUGGCGCAAACAAAAAAAUGGCCCGGAAGAAAGGAAUCAGUCUCUUCAGUCCAGCUCACCCUAUUAUCAUUAACAUAUUGUCAUUAAUGAAACUAUUUUGACCUUGAAGCAUGUUAUGCAAAGGCUUGAUAUAAUUGAAAAUAAAAUUUCCACUAAAUAACAAAUUGAGGAGUUGGAUAAAAUAUUCAUACUAAUAUCACUCAAUUUGGAUCAAAGGUAGGAUUUACUUUGAAAGCAUUAAAGGAGAAAGAUACAAUUAUUAAUGAGCGCGUAGAGCAAGAUUUGAGUAUUUUAUAUAAUGGAGGAAGUCACUGAUAAAGUGGGUUAUGCUUCCACACCCUCUAAAAUUAAUGCUAUUACCUCUCAAAGAAAAAUUCCAAGGUUAUGUAUGUCCCUAAGAACACUAGUAUCACUCCUAUCAAAAGAAAGAAGGAUAUUAAAAUGAUUAGUGUGCAUCCCAAUUUUAUAAACAUGAUAAGAGACCCUAUCUUCAAGCCUCCUAUUUUUUCUAAGAAGCAUGGUUGUGUGAUUGAGGAGUUUGACAAGAAUACAACACUUGAAACUAUGCAUUAUGAAUAACUAGGGGCGUAAAACGAUAGCGCUUGUUAAGAAGCAACCCAAGAGUCAUCUUAAUUUUAUUGUUCUAUUUUCUGUUUUGUGUGAGGUAACAUGAUUAUUGAUACUGUAAUUAUUGUGUUUUUAUGUUUAAAUUAGUGUUUGUGUUAAGUAAAGCCUUUUGGAUGAUUUGAAUGAUAAGUAGAAUUGAAACGGUGCAAAAACAGAAACUUUUGCGUCUAGUGCAGAAUUUCUCUAAUUUUACUGGAACAUCUUUUUGAUAUGAAUUUUUUACACAAUAUUGGUAUACAAAUUUUGCAGGUUUUCUUGACUUUUCAGAAUUACAGGAGUUAUAGAAGUAGGUUGUCUUUGGUGAUCACUACAGACUGUUCUGUUUUAGACAGAUUCUAUUUUUACUUGCAUAGUUUGCUUGUUUUGAUGAUGCUAUUGAUUAUAUCGAGGGGUAUAAUUCAUGGAGAAGUUAUAAUACAAUACCUUAUGCAAUAAUAAAAUAUGAAUCAAUUUAUAAUAGCACCCAAUGUUUAUGGUUCGCCUAUCCUACUAACAGAUCUCACGAGAUUUCUGUUGAGUUUUGUGUGGUGAAAUUUUCAAGUUUUGGGUGUUAUCACGAUGGACGGAGGAAUAAGGAGCGAAAAAGAGACUAAGCUUGGGGAUGCGCAAGUAACCACGAGUUAAAUUCUAGGAAGACUCAAGCGUCUAAGCUUGAGGAUGCCCCGGAAGGCAUCCCCUCUUUCGUCUCAAUCAAUCGACAUGUCACUUGAAGAUAUAUUUUUAUUCAUCAUAUGAUAUGAGUUUUGCUUGGAGCGUCGUUUAUUAUAGUUUGCUUUUGUUUUAAUUUCCCACAAUCAUUGUUUACUGGACACACCCACUUGAUAUAGACACAUGUUCAACAUGAUUUGUUAGAAUACUCUAUGUGUUUCACUUAUAUCUUUUGAGCUAAGCAGUUGCUCUAGCACUUCACUUAUAUUUUGUAGAGCACAGUGGCGUAUAGAUUUCUAGAAAUCAUUGCACUCUCGUUCUUCACUUAAACAUGUUUGAGAGUUAAUAAAUAGUGACGAUAAUUAAUAUGUGUUGUAAGACUAGUUAAAAAAUAAUAGGUAUUCAAGGAGUGCAUAAUCAAAUCCUUCAUGUAGCACAUAAAAGAGAAUUUGUGAGUUAAUGAUAUUGAUAUGCUAAUAUGAAAAGGGCGUGAGUGCAUGGUUGUUGGUUAGUAAAUAUAUCGAUAGUUAAAGGGUGUUAAUUUUUUUUGUUCAUCUAAAUAUUGGCUAUGGCAUGGUGAUGAUGUGUGAGCAUUCUUAUUCCUCAUUGAAAUCCUAGUGUUGUUUAGGUCGGGGGCGCGCGAUGGAUAACUCCUACCAACCUCCUCCCUAGGGGCAUGUGAGUAGUACUUUGCUUAGAGAAAUCUAAUAAAAUAUUGUGAUAAGUAUACGAGUUCUUAUGGCUAACGUGAAUCCAUGGAUCUACGGCAUCUCACCUCCUCAUGUUUGCUAGCCUCUUCGAUAUCAUGCGUUCUCACUCUCACCUCAAGGAUCGGUGCAAACUUCGGCCGUGCAUCCAAAUCCAACGACAUGAUACACUAUGUUGCACAUAAGACACCUUAUAUCUUCCUCAAAACAGUCACCAUACCUACUUAUCAUGACAUUUCCAUAUCCAUUCCGAGAUAUAUUGCCAUGCAACUUCCACCAUUACAUCAUAUGACUAGUACACUCAUUGUCAUAUUGCAUUGCAUGAUCAUGCAGCUGACAUAGUAUUUGUGACAAAGCCACCGUUCAUCAUUGUUAUAAAUGUUACGCUAGACCAUUGCACGUAUUGGUACACUGUCAGAGGCAUUCGUAUAGUCAUAUUGUUUAGUAGUUUUUUAUUGAGUUGUAAGUAAAUAGAAGUGUGACGCUUUUCAUUAUUAGGGCACUUUCUAAGUGAGGAAAGGAUGAUGGACACUAUGAAUCCCCACAAGUCGAGAUGAGACUCCGGACAAAAAAUAAAAUGAAAAAAUGAAAAAAAAAANNNNNNNNNNAGGAAAAAAUAAAUAAGACAAAAGAGAAGGGACAAUGCUACUACCUCUUUUUCCACGCUUGUGCUUCAAAGUAGCACCAUGUUUUUCAUAUAGAGUCUCAUGUAUUUGUCACUUUAAUAUGCUAGUGAGGUUUUUUCAUUAUAGAAAUUGACUUGUGUAUUCCGAUGACAGGCUUCCUCAAAUACCCGAGGUCUUCAUGAGCAAGCAAGUUGGAUGCACACCUACUCAAAUUCAGUUGAGCUUUCAUACACUUAUAGCUCUAGUGCAUCCUUUGCAUGGCAAUCCCUAUUCCACACAUUGAUAUUGACUGAUGGAUGUACCCAUAGCCCGUUGGUCCACCUAGUUGAGGCGAGACUUUCUUCUCCAUGUUUACCCCUUUGAAAACUACCACCAUAUUCUAUUCCACCUAUAUGCUAUGUCCAUGGUUCACACUCGUGUAUUGAGUGAGUAAUAAAAAGCCGAAGCACGUUAAGAAGUAUGACCCAAUUGCUUGGCUUAACACCGUGGUGCUUGAAAUUUAUAUUUAUGUGGUAAAGACGGAGCCAUGCCAUGCUAAUAUGUUAAAAUGAAUGGGGGUUAAACAAUCUUUAAAGAUCAUAUAUUUUGAAAAUUGAUGAUUAUGUUACCUAUGUUCAUGGAUAUUACUAUGUUGUUGUUUGUUAAUUCAUCAUUUCUCAAUGACAAUAUGUGCAAGAGAUUACAUGUUGGGUAGCAUGUCACAUCAAAAUUUAUGUUUUUAUCAUUUACCUACUCGAGGAUGAGCAUGAAUUAAGUUUGGGUUUAUGUUAAUACUACUCAUGAGAUUAUAUUGAGUUCCUUGCUGGUCUAUGCAUAUAUAUGCAUGAUUAUGAUAGCUUCAUAAUUCUUUCUGAUCUAUUGAUUUGGUUUGGCGGAUUGAUUUAUCUUCAGCGGGAGAGGUGCGUUGUAGUGGGUUAAGUCUUGCGGUGAUCAAUCCCACUGAUAGAAAGGGACAUGACACACAUUGUAUUACUGCCACUAAGGGUAAAACAAUGGAGUUGAUUCAUGUUAAUUGGAUUUGCUUUGUCUACAUCAUGUCAUUGUUCUCCAAGCAUUACUUUUUCCACUUAAUACUCUAGAUGCAUGUUGGAUAGCGGUCGAUGGGUGGAGUAAUAGUAGUAGAUGGCAGCAGUCGGUCUACUUGCUUACGUACAUGACGCCUACAUGUAAUGGUCAUUGCCAUGAAUAAAUAUUUCAUAAUUAACUACUUUUCUAUCAAUUGCCCAACAGUAAUUCGUAUACCCACCGUAUACUUUCUACGUGAGAGAAGUCUCUAGCGGAAACUUUGGCCCCCAGGUCUAUUCACAUAUGUAAAUACAAAAAAUACAAAAUCACUUGUUAUUCUUAUUUUCUUUCUAUUUAUUUUUCAUUUAUAUUUAUCAAACUAUCCAACCAUGCUACUUAUUACUUGCAAGUAACGAGUUCAAGGGGAUUGACAACCCUCCUACCAGUGUUGGGUGCAAGUGUGUGUGCUCUUUUGAGUGCGGGUGCUGAAGACGGGAAAUUUCAUGGUCCUCCUAUUGGUUCGAUAACCUUGGUUCUCGCUGAGGGAAAAGCCUACGUCUUGAUUUGUGUGUAUUGAUGAUGAUGAUCUCAAUUACAAGGGUGCGGAAUCGCUACCUCUAGUCUCGAGGGUUUCUAAUAUGUCUAUCUCUAAUGGUUUGUCUUGUCCAGACUUAAAUUGUUCCCCUUGGGGUGCCUUGCCACUCCCUGUAUAAGUUGAAGGGGUAGGCUUACAUAGAGUCCUACUAGGACUAGGAUUAGUCUCUCUUGAAUCCUAAUCCGGGUCUUGCUUCUCUUGUGAGGGAAUGUUUCCUCUUCCUAGGCCUUCUCUAUGAGCCAACCCUCCAGGCCUCUCCAAGAGUUGCCUUUCACCGGCUUGCACACUGGGCCUUAGUCCUUGUCGUCUAGGUCGACCCAGCGAGCAAGGUGACGUAUGAGCCACCAACCUCCUGGCUGGUUCAAAUCGUGGGGUAUAUCCUCAAGAGAGGGUCUCUACAUCAUCCCCGCUUCUCCAAUGGUGAUGUGUGAGUAAUUGACCACAAACCUGUUGGAAACAUGCCCUAGAGACAAUAAUAAAUUGCUUAUUAUUAUAUUUCCUUGUUCAUAAUAAUCGUUUAUUAUCCAUGCUAGAAUUAUAUUGAUUGGAAACUCAAAUACAUGUGUUCAUGCAUAGACAACAUACUGUCCCUAGUGAGCCUCUAGUCGACUAGCUCAUUGAUCAAAGAUGGUCAAGGUUUCAUGGCCAUAAACAAGUGUUGUCACUUGAUAACGAGAUCAAAUCAUUAGGAUAAUGAUGUGAUGGACAAGACCCACACUAUGAACGUACCAUAUGAUCGUGUCAGUUUAUUGCUAAUGUUUUCUGCAUGUCAAUGUAUCUGUUCCUAUGACCAUGAGAUCAUGCAACUCCCGGACACCGGAGGAAUACCUUGUGUGUAUCAAACGUCGCAACGUAACUGGGUGACUAUAAAGGUGAUCUACAGGUAUCUCCGAAGGUGUCUGUUGGGUUAGCGUGGAUCAAGACUGGGAUUUGACACUUCGUGUGACGGAGAGGUAUCUUGGGGCCCACUUGGUCAUACAACAUCACAAUGAGCCUCGAACGAAAUGUGACUAAGGAGUUAGUCAUGGGUUCUUGUAUUGCAUAACAAGUAAAGAGACUUGCGAGUAACGAGAUUGGACUAGUUAUAGAGACACCGACAAUCGAAUCUCGGGCAAGUAACAUAUCGAUGGACAAAGGGAACAACGUACGUGAUUAACUGAAUCCUUGACAUAGAGGUUCAACCGAUAAAGAUCUUCAUAGAAUAUGUAGGAGCCAAUAUGAGAAUCCACGUCCAGCUAUUGGUUAUGGACCGAAGAAUGUCUCAGGUCAUUUCUACAUAGGUCUCGAAACCGCAGGGCGUGCACCCUUAAGGUUAGGUGACAUUUCAGUAUUAUUGAAUUAUGUGUGUUGGUAACCGAAAGUUGUUCGGAGUCACAGAUGAGAUCCUGGACGUCAUGAGGAGCUCCGGAAUGGUCCGAAGGUAAAUAUUUAUAUAUAGGAAAGUUGCAUUUGGCUUCCGAAAAGUUUUCGGGCAUUACCGGUAAAGUACCGGGAGUGACAAAUGGGUUCCGGGGUUUUUACCGGGAGGGGCCACCCACCCAGGAAAGAACUUAAUAGGCCUAAAGGUGGUGCACCCGCCCUUAGUGGGCUGGUGCGUCCAGCCUAAGAGGGCCUAUUUUGGCCAAGGAACAAAAGAAGGGGAAAACCCCAAAGGAGAGGAGGUUUCUGUGACAGCCCGAUGCCGACGUUCCAGAAGAUUCCCCUUUUCUUUCCGUUUUCGUCGUGUGUCUAUUUUCUUUUGUCGCAUCAUUAUCGCAUCAUGCACAUCAUCUGCAUUGCAUCGGCACCCCGUUGCCGCCAGUUUUCAAAACAUGUGUCCGUUGUUAGUUGCCGGUUCUCGUCGUUGUCCGUUCUGAGCCCGACCGCACACGCACGCGCCCGCGGCACCGUCGAAACCCUGUUUUUAAAGUGUGCAUAAAACUUUCUCUGAUCGGGGUGAGAUUUGACGUGAGGUAUUAUUUUAAUAUAGGUAGGCCACCUGUCAAAUUUCGUCGCGAUCGGGGUUAGUGUGGUACCCGAACGGUCGACCGUAGCGGCACCGUAUUCAGUCUAUCGUCGCACGUGUCCCGGUGUUUUAAAUCGCGUUGCCGCGCCGCCCGUUUUCCAUGUCGUCUCUGGAUAACUACUCUACACAAGCCACCGAACCUAACCCGAAGAUCAGAGCCGUCCGAUUGUGAUUGAACGGCUCGGAGCAGGCUAAAAAUAGCUAACCUACCCUAUUGCCUAUAAAUACCCCACUCCUAGCCUAUUUUGGACAAACCCUAAAAUCUAGGGAUCUGUCCCGUUGAGGCCGCCGCCACUUCAAGGAAUCCCUCGGGAUCCAUCUCAGGCAAACCUCCACCUCUCCCUUGAUCUGAUCCAGCCAACCCCCAAAGCCAGCCCGUUGACCAUCUAUGCCUAUCGGAUCUAGAGAUCCAAUGGAUACCAGCAGCUGCGGGACGGAACGCCUCGUCCCCGCAUCCCGUGCCUCGAUCCAGAGAGGAUCUAGAGCAACGCCAGGACGCCGCCGCGCGUAGUGCACCAACGUCAACCAGUUUCGGAGCCGGCCGCCGGACGCAAGCCAGAGAUCGCCUCCCUUGCCCUCUCUCCCUGUUCCCCCAUAUUUUUUUCUCAUCUCUCCGUGUGCUCGUUUCUUCUACAAGGAGCAGAACGGGAGACCGCCGACCGUGCCCCUGUCUGUCUUUUGCGAGAGAAGCACCGAGCCAGCACCGGCCCCUGCAUCUCUCUCUUCUCUGCAUCUUCAGGUGCAGCCAACGGAGGCCAUGGAGCUCGAGCCGCCCUUGCCCGGAUCCGCGUCAUCCCCAAGCCCCGCGACUCCUCCACCUGCACGAGAUCAUGUCGAUGAUGUCUUCGUUCCAUUCCCGGCCUCCCAGCUCGCCGUCUUCGCCGGAGCAUCGCGCCGCCGGCCCCUAGUUCCCCGUGGAGAGCAGCCAAAGUCACCCCUAUACGUGCUAGUUUCAGCAAGGUACACAGACAUACCCUGUUUCAGAUGCAGUUUUGUUCAGGUUUACAUUCAGCAUGGUUGUGUGCUCAUCUACAGAAGGAACCCACUUUUAACACGAACCCAUUUGUAGCUCAGUUGGUCACAAUGUUGCACCUACACCCAGUAGACUAGGGAUCGAAUCCCAGUGGCUCCAAUAUAGUUUUUUAGCGUUUUGCGUUGUCAUUCACCAGCUAUGCAUAUUAGGUAUAACCAGGCGAAUGCAUUAUGUAGCACAAGGACAUAUCUAGCCCACUGGUGACACAUGCUAGGACACCGAAGGAGGUCUUGGGUUCGAAACCUGGACUGCCCCUAUUAUUUUUGCUUUUGUGCCAUGUUUGAUUUUCGUUUUGCACACCCAAGCAAGUGGGCACAGAGCUCCCAGUGGCUGCAGCCCAGUGCACAGAUUCGGCCCAUACGUUUUUUUAUUUUAUUUUAACCUGCAAUUUUAUUUAUUUUUAGAAAAACGCAUUGAUUUUCAAAAGAGCGUAGUUUCUAAACCGUGCGACGGAUCAGAAUGGGUUAUAUAUGUAGAACGUGUAGAAUUUUAUGUAGAUUAAUAUUUUUCAACUUUCAUGCAUAAUUAGAACUGUUUAGUGUGAUGUUUACCUCGUUUUGCAUGUCGACAUGUUGAAACGGUUUAGGUCGUAACUAUUUGUCCGUAGCUCCGUUCGAGAUGUGCCAUAUAUGUAAAUGGAGCAGAACGACGAGUAGAAUCACGUGAAUCACUUUGUUUUGCCGUUUAACAAACCUAAAAUGUUAUUAUGACAAGUCUGGACAGAAUUAAGAUUUAACAUGUGGGGUCAUUUCAGAGAUGCUAUAUGUCGUUUCCGGUCUCAUUUAAAAUGUCUAGCUAGGUAGAUUAAUUUGUGCUUCACCCUCGUGCCAUGUUUAAUAACAUUUAAUAUAGUCAUGUACCUGAACGGGAGCGAACUAAAUAAUUAGAGUGGAGUUUCGUCGAUAUGCAACUCGUUGCAUACCGAGCUUCACUUAAUGUGUAGUGUUUGGUUGUUGUGUUUGUCAUGCCUUGCAUUAGACCGUUCAUGCUUCAUAUGGGUUGUGCAUUGUGUGGUGUAUAUCGUGUGUUGAUGCUUGUUUCCGUUUCCCUCCGUCUCGUUAGAGUUCCGCAAGCGUGUCGGAUGUGAGGACCGUUCGACUGCAUCGGUUCGUCUGCUUCACGGAGUCAUUCUUCUUCCAAGCGGGAUCUCAGGCAAGAUGACCAUUUCCCCAGAUACCAUUACUAUCAUUGCCAUGCUAGUUAUACCGCUUCUUCGAUUAUGUCUCAUUGCCUACCACAUGUUAAAUAUCAGCCUCUCAACAAUGCCAUGAAACCUUCAACCUGUUCGACCUAGCAAACCACUGAUUGGAUAUGUUACCGCUUGCUUAACCCUGGGUUAGCGUUGCUAGUUGCAGGUGCAGUUGCUUCCAUGUGAUAACAUGGGUCCCUUGUUAUAUCACCCUAUUAAAUGCUAUCUAUUUUAAUGCACCUAUAUACUUGGUAAAAGGUGGAAGGCUCGGCCUUNNNNNNNNNNNNNNNNNNNNNNNNNNNNNNNNNNNNNNNNNNNNNNNNNNNNNNNNNNNNNNNNNNNNNNNNNNNNNNNNNNNNNNNNNNNNNNNNNNNNNNNNNNNNNNNNNNNNNNNNNNNNNNNNNNNNNNNNNNNNNNNNNNNNNNNNNNNNNNNNNNNCAUAAUUGAGCGCUCCUAACACGAUCCGGGUUGUUAUGGGGACCCCCUUGAUAAUUCGUUUUAGAUUAAAGCUGGUCUGGCAAGGCCCAACUUUGGUUUUACAUUUGCCCAACAUAAUAAUUCUGAUAAUACUGAAAUGCAUAGGGAGUUAGCGCUACCCGAGGAGUAAUUUUACAUAAACAGGAGGGGCCAGUGUUGAUGGUGUUGGUCCCAAACGGUCUGCCUGCGGGGCCACCGCGAGGAAACUAGAGGUUUGGCACUCGUAGCUAGUUCCAUCUGUCGUGUCCUGAGAACGAGAUACGCGGCUCCUAUCGGGUACGUCGACACGUCGGGCGGCCUUGCUGGAUUAGUUUUACCUUUGACAAGAUAUAUUCUGCCUCCUCCACUCCCUCCCUCCUAUACAUACUAGAGGGCAAAUAGGCUUUUUGCACCUCAAGCCAAAGCGCAACCCUCUCUCCCUCUAGAUCAUUUGCUCCUCUUGAUUAGUUCCGCAGAAGCUUGGCGAAGCCCUACUGGAUUAGUUCACCACCACCACCACCACCACGCCGCCAAGCUGGAGAACUCAUCUACCUCUCCGCCCCUCUUUUUGGAUCAAGAAGGCGGUGAUCGUCAUCAAGCCGCAUGUGUGCUGGACGUGGAGGUGUCGUAUAUUCGGCACUAGACCGGGACGGUUUGUGAUGAGAUCGCGGGAAGGACUGUGAUUUGGAUCACGAAGAUGUUCGACUAUAUCAACCGCGUUAUAUACGCUUCCGCUUAGUGAUCUACAAGGGUAUGUGGAUCCAAUCUCUCCUCUCGUAGAUGGUCAUCGCCAUGGAUAGAUCUUAUGUGCGCGUAUGAAUUUUUUUGUUUCCCAUGCGACGUUCCCCAAGAGUGUCAUCUUGAGCUAGGUAUAUGCGUAGAUAAUAUCUCGAGUAGAACACCAAAGAGUUUGUGGGCAUUGUUGUUCAAUUUGCUGCCCUCCUUAGUAUUUUCUUGAUGCAACGGUAUUGUUGGAUUGAAGCGGCCCGGACCAACCUUACUUGUACGCUUACGAGAGACCAGUUUCAUCGACUAACAUGCAACUUGUUGCAUAAAGAUGACUAGCGAGUGUUUGUUUCUUCAACUUUAGUUGAAUCGGAUUUAACCAAAGCGGUCCUUGGAGAAGGUUAAAUAGAAACUUGCAUAUCACCAUUGUGGUUUUGCGUAAGUAAGAUGCGAUCAUACUAGAUGCCCAUAACAGCCAUGUAAAACUUGCAAUAACAAAUUAGAGGACGUCUAACUUGUUUUUUGCAGGGUAUGUUGUGAUGUGAUGUGGCCAUAGACAUGAUAUGAUAUAUUGGAUGUAUGAGAUGAUCAUGUUGUAAUAGUUAAAUAUCGACUUGCACGUCGAUACUACGACAACCGGCAGGAGCCAUAGGGUUGUCUUUAAUUAUUUUGCGCUUGGUGAUGCUUUGCUUUAUCGCUAGUGGUAGCUUUAGUAGUAACAUCAUAGUUAGUGCGACAACGUCGAUGGCAACACAAUGAUGGAGAUCAUGGUGUGGCGCCUGUGAUGAUGGAGAUCAUGUUGGUGCUUUGGUGAUGGAGAUCAAGAAGCACAAGUUCGUGGCCAUAUCAUGACACUUAUGAUUUGCAUGUGAUGUUAAUCCUUUUAUGCACCUUGUUUUGCUUAGCACGAUGGUAGCAUUAUAAGGUGAUCCCUCACUAAAAUUUCAAGAUAAAAUUGUGUUAUCCCUCACUGUGCACCGUUGCAACAGUUCGUAGUUUCGAGACAUCACGUGAUGAUCGGGUGUGAUAGACUCUACGUUCACAUACAACGGGUGAAAAACAGUUGCACACGUGGAACACUCAGGGUAAACUUGAAGAGCCUAGCAUGUACAUACAUGGCCUAGGAAUACAAGAGAUCGAAAGGUCGAACAUGAGUCAUAUAGUGGAUAUGAUCAACGUGGAGAUGUUCACUAUUGAAGCUAAACUCAACUCACGUGAUGAUCGGACUUGAGUUAGUGAAUUUGGAUCAUGUACCACUCGAAUAACCAUAGGGAUGUCAAUUUGGGUGGGAGUUCUUAAGUAAUAUGAUUAUUUGAACUCAUUAUCAUGAACAUAGUCAAAAGGUCUUUGCAGAUUAUGUUGUAGCUUGCAUUGUAGCUCUACUAUUUUUGAUAUGUCCUAUAGAAUAUUUAGUUGAAAGAUGACAGUAGAAAUUAUGCGGACUAGGUUCGUAAACUAAGGAUUGUCCUCAUUGCUGCACAUAAGGCUUAUGUCCUUAAUGCACCGCUCGAUGUGGUGUACCCCGAGCAUCGUCUGUGGAUGUUGCGAACAUCUGACAUACACGUGUUUGAUGACUACGUGAUAGUUCAGUGAGUAAUGCUUAACGGCUUAGAAAUGAGGCGCCGAAGACAUUUUGAACGUCACAGAACAUAUGAGAUGUUCCAAGAGAUGAAAUUGGGAUUUCAGGCUCGUGCCCGUGUUGAGAGGUAUAAGGCCUCCGACAAGAUUCUUUGUCUACAAAGUAAGGGAGAAAAGCUCAAUCGUUGAGCAUGUGCUCAGAUUGUCUCGGUAUUACAAUCGCUUGAAUCAAGUGGGAGUUGAUCUUCCAGAUAAGAUAGUGAUUGGCAUAGUUCUCCAAAGUCACUGCCACCAAGCUACAGAGCUUUGUGAUGAACUAUAAAAUAUGAUGGAUAGAUAUGAUGAUCCUUGAGUUAUUCGCGAUGUUUGACACCGCGAAAGUAGAAAUCAAGUGGGAGCAUCAAUUUUUGAUGGCUAGUAAAACCACUAGUUUCCAGAAGGGCAAGGGCAAGAAGGGAUACUUCAUGACUGGCAAACCUGUUGCCACUCUAGUGAAGAAACCCAAGGUUGAACUCGAACCCGAGACUAAGUGUUUAUGAUAUGAAGGGAACAAUUACUAAAGCAGCACCACCCUUGAUACUUGGUAGAUGAGAAGGCUGGCAAAGUCGCCGAAAGUAUAUUGGAUAUACAUGAUAUUGAUGUGUACCUUACUAGUACUCCUAGUAGCAUCGGGGUAUAAGAUACCGGUUCAGUUGCUAAGUGUUAGUAACUCAAAAUAAAAUCUAUGGAAUAAAUGGAGACUAGCUAAAGGUGAGGUGAUGAUGUGUGUUGGAAGUGUUUUCAAAGUUGAUGUGAUCACCAUCGCACGCUCCCUCUACUUUCGAGAUUAGUGUUGAACCUAAAUGUUGUUUGUUGUUUGCGUUGAGCAUGAGCAUGAUUGGAUUGUAUUUAUUGCAAUACAAUUAUUCAUUUAAAGAGAAUAAUAGUUAUUUUGUUUACUUGAAUAAUACCUUCAACAGUCAUGCACCUAAUAUGAAUGGUUUAUUGAAUCUUGAUCGUAGUAUUACACAUGUUCAUAAUAUUUGAUGCCAACAUAUACAAAGUAGUAAUGAUCAUAUCACUUACUUGUGGCAUUGCUGCUUGAGUCAUAUUGGUAUAAAAUGCAUGAAGAAGCUCCAUACCGAUGGAUCUAUGGACUCGCUCAUUUUUGAAAUGUUACAGACAUGCGAACCAUGUCUAUUGGUCUAAACGCAUAAAAGAAACUCCAUGCAGAUGGAUCAUUUGGACUCACUUAAUUUUGAAUCACUUGAGACAUGCAAAUCAUUCCACAUGGGCAAGAUGACUGAAGGCCUCGUUUUCCAGUGAGAUGGAACAAGAAAGUAAAUUAUUGGAAGUAAUACAUUUUGAUGUAUGCAGUCCAAUGAGUGUUGAGGCACGCAGUGGAUAUCAUUAUAUUCUUACUUCACUCAUGAUUUGAGUAGAUGCAAGAGUAUUUGCUUGAUGAAUCACAAGUCUGAAAUAUUGAAAAGUUCAAGCUAUUUUAGAGUGAAGAUCGUCGUGACAAGAGGAUAAUAUGUUUACGAUGUGAUCGUGGAGGUAAAAUCUGAGUUGCGAGUUUGGUAGACAUUGAAAACAACGUGAAAAUUGUUUCACAAUUCAUGCCACGUGGAACACCAUAGUGUGAUGGUGUGUGUGAACACCAUAGUUGCGCCCUAUUGGAUGUGGUGCAUACUAUGAUGUCUCUUAUCGUAUUACCACUAUUGUUUUUGGGCUAGGCAUUAGAGACGACCGCAUUCACUUUAAAUAGGGUACCACAUAAGUCCGUUGAGAUGACACCGUAUGAACUAUGGUUCGGAGAAACCUAAGCUGACGUUUCUUAAAAGUUUGGGGCUAUGACGCUUAUGUGAAAAAGUUUCAGCGUGAUAAGCUCGAACCCAAAGCGGAUAAAUGCAUCUUCAUAGGACACACAAAACAGUUGGGUAUACCUCCUAUCUCAGAUCCAGAAGAAAAGUGUUUGUUUCUAGAAACGGGUCCUUUCUCGAAAAAAGUUUCUCUCGAAAGAAUUGAGUGGGAGGAUGGUGGAACUUGAUGAGGUUUUGAACCAUCACUUCAACCAUAGAGUAGAAGGCCGCAGGAAACUAUUCUUAUGGCGCCUACACUAGUUGAAGUGGAAGCUAGUGAUGGUGAUCAUUAAGCUUCAGAUCAAGUUACUUCGAAACCUCGUAGGUCGAAAGGGACACACACUACUCCAGAGUGGUACGGUAACUCUGUCUUAAAGGUCAUGUUGUUAGACAACAAUGAACCUACGAGCUAUGGAGAAGCGAUGGUGGGCCUGGAUUCCGACAAAUGGUCGAAGGUCAUGAAAUCCGAGAGAGGAUCCAUGUGUGAAAACAAAGUGUAGACUUUGGAAGAACUACUUGAUGGUCGUAAGGCUGUUGGGUACAUAUGGACUUUUAAAAGGAAGACGGACAAAUGGUUGGAGGCCAUGAAAUCUGAGAGAGGAUCCAUGUAUGAAAACAAAGUGUGGACUUUGGAAGAACUACUUGAUGGUCGUAAGACUGUUAAGUACAGAUGGAUCUUUAAAAGGAAGACAAACGAUGAUGGUGAAAAGUCACCAUUAAGAAAGCUCAACUUGUCGCAAAGAUGUUUCCGACAAGUUCAAAGAGUUGACUAUGAUGAGACUUUCUCACUCGCAGCGAUGCUAAAAGUUUUGUUGGAAUUAUGUUAGAAGUUGCUGCAUUAUUUAUGAAAUCUUGCAAAUAGGAUGUCAAAACAUUGUUUCCUCGAUGGUUUCCUUGAGGAAAGGUUGUAUGUGAUACAACCAGAAGGUUUUGUCGAUCCUAAGGAUGAUAACCAGUAUGCAAGCUCCAGCAAUCCUUCUAAGGACUGGAGUAAGCAUCUCAGAGUUGGAAUAUGCGCUUUGAUGAGAUGAUCAAAGCUUUUGGGUUUAUACAAAGUUUAUGAGAAACUUGUAUUUCCAAUAAAGUGAGUGGGAGCACUAUAGAAUUUCUGAUAAGUAUAUGUGAUCAGAAAUAAUGUACAAUUUCUGGAAAGCAUAAAGGGUUGUUUGAAAGGAGUUUUUCAAAGGAAAACCUCGAUUGAGCUACUUGAACAUUGAGCUUAAUAGAACUUUCAAAUGAAUAUAUACUGUAACAAGAUUUUGAAGGAGUUCAAAAUAGAUCAGUCAAAGAAAGAGUUCUUGGUUGUGUUAUAAGGCGUGAGUAUUGAGUAAGACUCAAAAUCCGACCACGGUGGAAGAAAGAGAAAGGACGAAAGUCGUCCCCUAUGCACUAGCCGUAGGCUCUAUAGUAUGAUAUGUUGUGUACCGCACCUGAUGUGUGCCUUGGAAUGAAUCUGCCAAGGGGCAAAGAAGUGAUCCAGGAAUGGAUUACUGGACAACGGCCAAAAGUUGUCCUUAGUAACUAGUGGACUAAGGAAUUUUUUCUCGGUUAUGGAGGUGAUAAAAGAGUUCGUCGUAAAGGGUUACAUCAAUGAAGCUUUGACACUAAUUCAGAUGACUCUGAGUAGUAAACCGGAUUCGUAUAGUGGAGCAGUCAUUUGGAAUAGUUCCAAAUGGCGCGUGGGAGCAACAUCUACAGGACGACAUAGAGAUUUGUAAAGCACACACGAAUCUAAAAGGUUCAGACCCGUUGACUAAAAACCUCACUCACAAGCAAGAUAUGAUCAAACCCCAUGGGUGUUAGAUUCAUUGCAAUCACAUAGUGAUGUGAACUAGACUAUUGACUCUAGUGCAAGUGGGAGACUGUUGGAAAUAUGCCCUAGAGGCAAUAAUAAAUUGGUUAUUAUUAUAUUUUCUUGUUCAUAAUAAUCGUUUAUUAUAUAUGCUAGAAUUGUAUUGAUUGGAAACCCAAAUACAUGUGUGGAUACAUAGACAACAUACUGUCCCUAGUGAUCCUCUAUUUGACUAGCUCGUUGAUCAAAGAUGGUCCAGGUUUCCUGGCCAUAGACAAGUGUUGUCACUUGAUAAUGAGAUAACAUCAUUAGGAUAAAGAUGUGAUGGACAAGACCCAAACUAUGAACGUAGCAUAUAAUCGUGUCAAUUUAUUGCUAUUGUUUUCUCGAUGUCAAUGUAUUUGUUCCUAUGACCAUGAGAUCAUGUAACUUCCAGACACCGGAGGAGUACCUUGUGUGUAUCAAAUGUCUCAACGUAACUGUGUGACUAUAAAUGUGCUCUACAGGUAUCUCCGAAGGUAUCUAUUGGGUUAGCAUGGAUCAAGACCGGGAUUUGUCACUCCGUGUGACGGAGAGGUAUCUCGGGGCCCACUCGGUAAUACAACAUCACAAUAAGCCUUGCAAGCAAUGUGACUAAGGAGUUAGUCACGGGAUCUUGUAUUAUGGAACGAGUAAAGAGACUUGCGAGUAACGAGAUUGAACUAGGUAUAGAGAUACCGACAAUCGAAUCUCGAGCAAGUAACAUACCGAAGGACAAAGGGAACAACAUACGAAAUUAACUGAAUCCUUGACAUAGAGGUUCAACCGAUAAAGAUCUUUGUAGAAUAUGUAGGAGCCAAUAUGGGCAUCCAGGUCCCGUUGUUGGCUAUUGACCAGAGAAUGUCUCAGUCAUGUUUACAUAGUUCUUGAACCCGUAGGGUCUGCACACUUAAGGUUCAUUGACGUUUCGGUAUUAUUGAGUUGUGUGUGUUGGUAAAAAAAAGUUGUUCGGAGUCCUGGAUGAGAUCCUGGACAUCACGAGGAGCUCCGUAAUGGUCCGGAGGUAAAUAUUGAUAUAUAGGAAAGUUGCAUUUGGCUUCUGGAAAGUUUUCGGGCAUUACCGGUAAAGUACCGGGAGUGACGAAUGGGUCCCGGGGUUUUACCGGGAGGUGCCACCCACCCGAGAGAGAACAUAAUAGGCCUGAAGAUGGUGCACCAUCCCUUAGUGGGCUAGUGUGGCCAGCCCAAGAGGGCCUAUUUCGUCCAAGGAGCAAAAGAAGGGGAAAAUCCCCAAAGGAGAGGAGGUUUCCAAGUAGGAGGAGUCCUACUUGGAGUAGGAUUGGAGGUGGACUCUUCCACCUCCACGUAUUCGGCCGAGCCAAGUAUUUGCUUUUUGGCUGCCUCCUCCCCUCCCUCCCUCCUAUAUAUACUAGAGGGUAGAGAGGCUUUUUGCACCUCAAGCCAAGGCGCAACCCUCUCUCCCUCUAGAUCGUUUACUCCUCUUGGUUAGUUCCGCAAAAGCUUGGCGAAGCCCUACUGGAUUAGUUCACCACCACCACCACCACACCGCCAUGUUGGAGAACUCAUCUACCUCUCCGCUCCUCUUGCUGGAUCGAGAAGGCGGUGAUCGUCAUCAAGUCGUACAUGUGCUGAACAUGGAGCUGUCGUUCGUUCAGCACUCGAUCGGGAUGAUUCGUGAUGAGAUCGCGAGACGGACUGCGAUUUGGAUCGCGAAGAUGUUCAACUACAUCAACCGCGUUAUAUACGCUUCCGCUUAGCGAUCUACAAGGGUAUGUGGUGUUGGAAAUAUGCCCUAGAGGCAAUAAUAAAUUAGUUAUUAUUAUAUUUCUUUGUUCAUGAUAAUCGUUUAUUAUCCAUGCUAUAAUUGUAUUGAUUGGAAACACAAUACUUGAAAGGAUCGAUAUGGUUGGCUAGACGGAGGGGGUGAAUAGACAACGACCACUUUUUAAUUAAUCUUAACAAGUUAAGGUAAACACUAUACGGGUUCACAAAUAAUAUGACAAAGAGGUGAACCCUAUAGAAGCUAACAACUAGAGCUAUUAAGACAAGUAAGAUAUAGUCACAAGCAUAAGCAAAUACAAAGUAAAGGUUAGAGAUAACCACAAGUGGAACCGAUGGAGACGAGGAUGUGUUACCGAAGUUCCUUCCCUUUGACAUGAAGUACUUCUCCGUUGGAGCGGUGUGGAGGCACAAUGCUCCCCAAAAAGCCACUAAGGCCACCGUAUUCUCCUCACGCCCUCGCACGAUGCAAGGUACCGUGAUUCCACUAUAGGUGCCCUUGAAGGCGGCGACCGAACCUUUACAAACAAGGUUGGGGCAACUCCACACAAAGCUUGGAGGCUCCCAACUAAACCACGAAGCUUCACCACAAUGGAAUAUGGCUUCGAGGUGACCUCAACCGUCUAGGAUGCUCAAACACCCAAGAGUAACAAGAUCCGCAAGGGAUUGGUGGGGGAAUCAACUUUUCUCUUGGUGGAAGUGUGGAUCUAGGCCUUCUCAACCAAUCCCUAAAGAAUCAACAAGUUUGAUUGGCUAGGGAGAGAGAUCGGGCACUUUAGAGCUUGUGGAGCAACAAUGGAGCUUAGAGAGGUAAGAGAUAGGGUUCCUCAGCUAGAAGAACCCUUUAUAUAGUGGGGGGGGAAUCAGACCGUUUUCCCACUCUCUGCCCGAGUACCAGCGGUACUACCGCUGUGCCGGAGCGGUACUACCGCUGGGCCUCCAGCGGUACUACCGCUGAGCCUCCAGCGGUACUACCGCCGGCCCCUUGGUAGUGCACAAGGACUACUACCUCCGGGAAAGUCUUCGCAAAAGGGUCCGUCCACAAACUACCGCUAGGUAGGUGGAACAAAACACCUGGAGCGGUACUACCGCUGACCAGGGGCGGUACUACCGCUGGCUGCAGCGGUACUACCGCUGGCAGUCCAGCGGUACUACCGCUGGGGACCAUUUUGCAGAGAUAAACGAGACGAAUAGGCGAGGGCUGCUCCAAAAGAUAAGGAAAGGGAGAAUGUGAAGUGUGCGUGUGUAAAGAUAGAUUCCACCCAAACCUUUCCACUACGGAUCCCCUCUUAAUAGUACGGGUUUCCUAUGACUCAAAUAAAGAGAAUCGUAGAGAGCGCCGUGCUUCCGUUCCUGAAGAGAGGAGACGUGUCGUCUUGUGCCGUUGACGAGUGUUACCUGAAACUUUGACACACACGGUUAGUCCUGUACGGUACUGUCAUCAAUCACCAAAAUUACUUAGGCAUAAACUAUGCCCCAACAAUACUUGUGUGGAUACAUAGACAAAACACUGUCCCUAGUAAGCCUNNNNNNNNNNAAUGUAGAAUUUAUGUAAAGCAUACAAGGUUGUUUGAAAGGAGUUUUCAAAGGAAUACCUGGAUUGAGCUACUUGAACGUUGAGCAUCAAAAGAUCUAUGGAGAUAGAUCGAAAGCGCUUAAUGGAAGUUUCAACAAGAUGCAUGCCUUGACAAGUUUUUGAAGGAGUUCAAAAUAGAUCAGCAAAGAACGAGUUCUUAGUUGUGUUGUAAGGUGUGAAUUUGAGUAAGACUCAAAACCCGACCACGGCAGAAUAAAGAGAAUAGACGAAGGUCGUCUUCUAUGCCUUAGCCGUAGACUCUAAAGUAUGCCAUGCUGAGUACCGCACCUGAUGUGUGCCUUGCAACAAGUCUGUUAAGAGCUACACAGAGUGAUCCAGGAUUGAAUCACUGAUCAGCGGUCAAAGUUAUCCUUAGUAACUAAAUAGACUAAGGAAUUUUUCUCGAUUAUGGAGGUGCUUAAAGAGUUCGUCGUAAAGGGUUACGUCGAUGCAAGCUUUGACACUAAUCCGAAUAACUAUGAGUAGUGAAACGGAUUCGUAUAGUAGAGCAGAUAUUUGGAGUAUUUCCGAAUAGCACAUAGUAGCAGCAUCUAUAAGAUGACAUAAAGAUUUGUAAAGAACACACGGAUCUGAAAGUUUCAGAACCGUUGACUAAAACCUCCCUCAAGAGCAAGACGUGAUCAGACCCCAUAACUAUAUGGGUGUUGGAUUCGUUGGAAUCACAUGGUGAUGUGAACUAGAUUAUUGACUCUAGUGCAAGUGGGAGACUGUUGGAAAUAUGCCCUAGAGGNNNNNNNNNNNNNNNNNNNNNNNNNNNNNNNNNNNNNNNNNNNNNNNNNNNNNNNNNNNNNNNNNUAUUGGAAACACAAUACUUGUGUGGAUACAUAGACAAAACACUGUCCCUAGUAAGCCUCUAGUUGACUAGCUCGUUGAUCAAAGAUGGCCAAGGUUUCCUGGCCAUAGGCAAUUGUUGUUACUUGAUAACGGGAUCACAUCAUUAGGAGAAUCAUGUGAUGGACUAGACCCAAACUAAUAGACGUAGCAUGUUGAUCGUGUCAUUUUGUUGCUACUGUUUUCUGCGUGUCAAGUAUUUGUUCCUAUGACCAUGAGAUCAUAUAACUCACUGACACCGGAGGAAUACUUUGUGUGUAUCAAACGUCGCAACGUAACUGGGUGACUAUAAAGAUGCUCUACACGUAUCUCCGAAGGUGUUAGUUGAGUUAGUAUGGAUCAAGACUGGGAUUUGUCACUCCGUGUGACGGAGAGGUAUCUCGGGGCCCACUCGGUAAUACAACAUCACACACAAGCCUUGCAAGCAAUGUGACUUAGUGUAAGUUACGAGAUCUUGUAUUACGGAAUGAGUAAAGAGACUUGCCGGUAAACGAGAUUGAAAUAGGUAUGCGGAUACUAACGAUCGAAUCUCAGGCAAGUAACAUACCGAAGGACAAAGGGAAUGACNNNNNNNNNNGUUGAAAUAGGUAUACAGAUACUGACGAUCGAAUCUCGGGCAAGUAACAUACCGAAGGACAAAGGNNNNNNNNNNGGAUCUUGUAUUAUGGAACGAGUAAAGCGACUUGCCGGUAAACGAGAUUGAAAUAGGUAUGCGGAUACUGACGAUCGAAUCUCAGGCAAGUAACAUACCGAAGGACAAAGGGAAUGACAUACGGGAUUAUAUGAAUCCUUGGCACUGAGGUUCAAACGAUAAGAUCUUCGUAGAAUAUGUNNNNNNNNNNUGAGUAAAGAGACUUGCCGGUAAAACAAGAUUGAAAUAGGUAUACGGAUACUGACGAUCGAAUCUCGGGCAAGUAACAUACCGAAGGACAAAGGGAAUGACAUACGGGAUUAUACGAAUCCUUGGCACUGAGGUUCAAACGAUAAAGAUCUUCGUAGAAUAUGUAGGAUCCAAUAUGGGCAUCCAGGUCCCGCUAUUGGAUAUUGACCGAGGAGUCUCUCGGGUCAUGUCUACAUAGUUCUCGAACCCGCAGGGUGUGCACACUUAAGGUUCAACGUUGUUUUAUGCGUAUUUGAGUUAUAUGGUUGGUUACCGAAUGUUGUUCGGAGUCCCGUAUGAGACCACGGACGUCACGAGGGUUUCCGGAAUGGUCCGGAAACGAAGNNNNNNNNNNNNNNNNNNNNNNNNCUGUUCGGAGUCCCGGAUGAGAUCACGGACGUCACGAGGGUUUCCGAAUAGUCCGGAAACAAAGAUUGAUAUAUAGGAUGACCUCAUUUGAUUACCGGAAGGUUUUCGGAGUUACCGGGAAUGUACCGGGAAUGACGAAUGGGUUCCGGGAGUUCACCGGAGGGGGGCAACCCACUCCGGGGAAGCCCAUGGGCAUUUGGGGGGGUCACACCAGCCCUUAGUGGGCUGGUGGGACAGCCCACCAAUCCCCUAUGCGCCAAGAGAGAAAAAAUCAAAGGAAAGAAAAAAAGGGAAGAAGUGGGAAGGGGGAAGGACUCCCUCCCACCAAACCAAGUAGGACUCGGUUUGGGGGGGAGAGUCCUCCCCCCUGGCUCGGCCGACCCCUUGGGGAUCCCUUGGACCCCAAGGCAAGGUCCCCCUCCCUCCUCCUAUAUAUAUGNNNNNNNNNNGCAACCCACUCCGGGGAAGCCCAUAGGCUUUUGGGGGACACACCAGCCCUUAGUGGGCUGGUGGGACAGCCCCAAGGGAGCCUAUGCGCCAAGAUAAGAAAAUCAAAGGAAAAGAAAGAAAAAAGAGGGAAGAAGUGGGAAGGGAGGGGGACUCCUCCCACCAAACCAAGUCCAACUCGGUUUGGGGGGGGAGUCCUCCCCCCCCUUGGCUCGGCCGACCCCUUGGAAGUCCCUUGGACCCCAAGGCAAGGUCCCCCUCCCUCCUCCUAUAUAUAUGGGGCUUUUAGGGCAGAUUUGAGACGACUUUCUCACGGCUGCCCGACCACAUACCUCCAUAGUUUUUCCUCUAGAUCGUGUUUCUGCGGAGCUCGGGCGGAGCCCUGGUGAGACAAGAUCAUCACCAACCUCCGGAGUGCCGUCACGCUGCCGGAGAACUCUUCUACCUCUCCGUCUCUCUUGCUGGAUCAAGAAGGCCGAGAUCAUCGUCGAGCUGUACGUNNNNNNNNNNNNNNNNNNNNNNNNNNNNNNNNNNNNNNNNNNNNNNNNNNNNNNNNNNNNNNNNNNNNNNNNNNNNNNNNNNNNNNNNNNNNNNNNNNNNCUUCGUGCGCGUAGGAAUUUUUUUGUUUCCCAUGCGACGUUCCCCAACAGUGGCAUCAUGAGCUAGGUUCAUGCGUAGAUGUCUUCUCGAGUAGAACACAAAAGGUUUUGUGGGCGGUGAUGUGCGUUUUGCUGCCCUCCUUAGUCUUUUCUUGAUUCCGCGGUAUUGUUGGAUUGAAGCGGCUUGGACCGACAUUACUCGUACGCUUACGAGAGACUGGUUUCAUCGUUACGAGUAACCGCCUUUGCUCAAAGAUGACUGGCAAGUGUCGGUUUCUCCAACUUUAGUUGAAUCGGAUUUGACCGAGGAGGUCCUUGGAUGAGGUUAAAUAGCAACUCAUAUAUCUCCGUUGUGGUGUUUGCGUAAGUAAGAUUCGGUCCUACUAGAUACCCUUGGUCACCACGUAAAACUUGCAACAACAAAAUUAGAGGACGUCUAACUUGUUUUUGCAGGGUAUGANNNNNNNNNNNNNNNNNNNNNNNNNNNNNNNNNNNNNNNNNNNNNNNNNNNNNNNNNNNNNNNNCUUGUGAUGUGAUAUGGACAGCGAUGUGAUGUGAUAUAUUGGAUGUAUGAGAUGAUCAUGUUGUAAUAGAUAAUAUCGACUUGCACGUCGAUGGUACGCAACCGGCAGGAGCCAUAGGGUUGUCUUUAUACUAACGUUUGUGCUUGNNNNNNNNNNCGUCGAUGGUACGGCAACCGGCAGGAGCCAUAGGGUUGUCUUUAUACUAACAUAUUCGUGCUUGCAGAUGCGUUUACUAUUUUGCUAGGAUGUAGCUUUAGUAGUNNNNNNNNNNUGUCGAUGGUACGACAACCGGCAGGAGCCAUAGGGUUGUCUUUAUACUAACGUUUGUGCUUGCAGAUGCGUUUACUAUUUUGCUAGGAUGUAGCUUGAGUAGUAAUAGCAUAAGUAGCACGACAACCCCGAUGGCAACACGUUGAUGGAUGAUCAUGGUGUGGCGCCGGUGACAAGAAGAUCGUGCCGGUGCUUUGGUGAUGGAGAUCAAGAAGCACGUGAUGAUGGCCAUAUCAUGUCACUUAUGAAUUGCAUGUCAUGUUAAUCCUUUUUAUGCACCUUAUUUUGCUUAGAACGACGGUAGCAUUAUGAGGUGAUCUCUCACUAAAAUUUCAAGACGAAAUUGUGUUCUCCCCGACUGUGCACCGUUGCUACAGUUCGUCGUUUCGAGACACCACGUGAUGAUCGGGUGUGAUAGACUCAACGUUCACAUACAACGGGUGCAAAACAGUUGCGCACGCGGAACACUCGGGUUAAGCUUGACGAGCCUAGCAUGUGCAGACAUGGCCUCGGAACACAUGAGACCGAAAGGUCGAGCAUGAAUCGUAUAGUUGAUAUGAUUAGCAUAGAGAUGCUUACCACUGAAACUAUUCUCGACUCACGUGAUGANNNNNNNNNNNNNNNNNNNNNNNNNNNNNNNNNNNNNNNNNNNNNNNNNNNNNNNNNNNNNNNNNNNNNNNNNNNNNNNNNNNNNNNNNNNNNNNNNNNNGGAGAGGAUCCAGCGCUACUCACAAGUUAGCAGUAGCUCCGGUGCGGAUCCAGCGCUACUGCUAGAUUUAGUUAACCGGCUAACUCGAUCACCUCUCCCCCACUCCUUCCCUCUCCGUUCGACCGGCCCUCUCUCCCUCUCGCCUGUGAUCCAGCGCGCUGCUUCUUCCCUCUCCGCCACUGACUCCCUCCAAGUGUCGUCGUGCCACCUCCACACGUCGCCGCCCCUCCAAGCGCCGCCGGGCCACCUUCAUGCGCCGUUGUUCGACCACCUCCCCUCCCGCUCCGGUAAGCCCCCCGCCCCCUCCUCCCUACCGCCUCGCUCGCCCACCCUAGCACCACACCGCACGCCUCCCCCUGUCGUGGACGCCCCCGUUGACCGUGGACGCAACAUUUUCACCUAAAGUUUGUUCAAAGGUUAUUCAAUCCAUCUAAAGUAAUAUAUGUGGAUAGGAGAUAGUAGUAGUGUUUAUCAGUAAUUUUGGUAUGAGGAUCUACCAAUGCAUCUAGGGGUUAAGAGACUUAGUGAAGAUGGGGUGGUUGCUGACCUAGGGCAUGUAAGAAUGUUUGGGGGGAAUUUUUGCAAUAUGGUUAGGCAUGAGAGGUUGUUCAUAAUAUUCUCUGUUUUACCCCAUCUUUUGUACUUGUUCAUUGUUGCUAUAUCCUAGUGGCCUAUGUUUUGUCGGAAUGUUGAUUCAUUUCCGUUCCGGAAAAUUUCAAACGCUCCAUAUAUCCACUUUUUAGUAAAUGUCAUGCCCAAAUUUUUUCUGUUUUAGGAAAUGUCUGACGACGAAGGGGAAUUCGUUAUGUGCGAAUACUGCCAAGACAAGCGCGGCCUUUGCGACACGCCUUGCCUAGUUGAUGAUAGGCGCUUCAGCAUCAUGCUGGAUGAGGACUUUGAAGUGGAUACAGUAAGUCACAACGACAAGUCCACUUGAUAGGCUUGAAAAGCAUCUUUGUAUGCGAUGGUGCUCUUCCAGAUCUCUGUAUGGCAGUUGGUCUCUUUUUUUUCCGACAUUGCUAUGGUGGUGUCGGAGGAUAUUUGUGGACUAUGUUUCGAUGAGGCACAAGUUUCUUCAAGGAUGAAAUAGUAAUUUUACUUCAUGUGGAACUCUUUGUGCAAAGUUGUUGACAAGCAUGUUUAUCUCUUAUGAUGACCAUAUGUGUAAUUUUUGUGAACAAAUUAUCUAAUGAAAUACUCCCUCCAUCCGGAAAUACUUGUUUUAAAAAUGAAUAUAAUGAAUGUAUCUAUAACUAAAAUAAGUCUAGAUACAUUUAUCUUUAGGAUAAUUAUUUCCGGACGAAGGUAGUACGAUGUUGCUUAAAAAAGACGCCCAUCGAAUUCAGAAAGAGACAAUACCAAAAGGCUAAAACUGGAAAGACGAUACCUCCUAAAAGUGCCAAAACUAGAAGGAUCAGCAAUCCCCACUCAUGUGCAAUAAACAGUCUAGAACUUCGACUCUUCUUAACGACAUAAACAAUAAUUGAGCCUGAAAGAUUGGCAUCGCCGCCCGACAAAUGAAACAAUGAACUCUCACUCACCAUGUACUCUUGCUUCAGUUGAGCGCCGUGGGAAAGCUCAAUCAGCAAAGCUAAUCAAAGCGUUUUUAGAACGUACCACCACACCUUUUGAUGGCAGCUAGGGCAUGUUGAAGCAUUUAUAUUGAUUUUUUUUCUUCAAUGCAACCUAUUACUAGUGGGCAUCAUCAAGGGGAAAAAAACUCUGAUCUACAUGCAUCUCUAUUUUUUACUUUAACUUUUCAGCUUUUUACAUCGAAUUACAUCUUUUCUUCCUAAGCACCGCCUCUUGCUGGAUCCCGCUACACCAUCCGAGACCAUACACGAUCCUACAUGGCAUGUGGGACAUCAUUUUGAGGCUAUGCAUUGGGCAUGCACUUAUGCCCUUGAUUGCAUCACACCAUACGGAGCACACAUGAAGGAUGGGAAGACUUUCGCCGACAAGCAAAGUGGACUCGGGUAACACGGUGUAUACACCGACACUGGGGGCUAAUUUUUGUGUUAUGACCCUUUUAUGAAAAAUGAUCGAGAUCUAACCUAGUUUGUAAAAAAAAUAGGUUCUGAUCAUUUUCCUAUCAUCGGGAUCCAUGACGAUAAGGUACAACGGCCUACCGCCGGGGUCCAUGACGAUAGAGUAUAGCAACCUACUGUCAAGGUUCCUCGCAGUAGGGAUGUACGCCCUACCGUAAAAAUUUCCUAAGCAUCGGAUACAAUGCGUGUUCGCACCUACAGUCGAGCACCUCGAUGAUAGGGUUGUAUAGACUACCGUCAACUUAUUUGACGAUAGAGGUGCGUCGCGCUCACUUUAAUAAGUUUUCUACGGACACCGAUGGUAGGAAAAAAAGUCAGAUCUCAAAAUUUUUACAAACCAGAGUCAGAUCUCGCUCAACUUCUGUAAAAGGGUCAAAAGGCAUGGAUUGUUUUCUCGGACAUCUGAUACGCGUGUGCUUUAAAGCAUCUAUAGUCGGACCCCUCCUAUCCAUCUCAAACGUCCGGGUAGGCUAUCCGGUUACUAGUCGUUCACAAAAAAUCAAUCUCUAAUAUGAAGACGGUAUGAGGGCUCGCAAACGCGCCCGGGCACGCCCGAUCAGUCCGCCACCUCGGACGUGACCCCAUUCCGGACCACCUUUUCUCUUUGUUUAUUUAUUAUUUCAUUAUUUAUUUCUCUCCCUUCUUCAUCAAUCACGUGCAACUGAUCGGACAGAUGAGGAAAAAUAUGAUUAUACGGAUGAAAAAAUAGAGGCUCAAAAUGAACACGCUCGGUCACUGACCGGACGCGUCCACGAAUGCUUGAGGAACCGGAUUUAGAGCAAGUAUAAUAAGAUACAGACAACAGGCUGUAAGGAUUAAAAUACUAUAUUUUUGCUGAGUUGGAUGAGAGAGAAGAGGAGAGAGAAGGGAAGCGGGCUCUUCGUGAAGAGUCAGCUCUAGCACGUGCUCCUAGGUGCUUUGUGAGAAUGAAAGGUGAGCCAUAUAUGAUAAAAGUAGUACUCCCUCCAUCACAGUUUAUAAGGCGUGCACGCGUACUUAGGUCGUCAAUUUGACUUAUAUAAAAUAUAUUGUUUAACAUAAAAAAUAUAUUAUUAGAAAAUAGAACAUCUAAAGUUUCUAAUGAUAUAUUUUUUGUAAUAUAUGUCUCUUAUUAAAUUGAUCAAAUAAACGACCUAGAUACACGUGCCGGACUUAGAGCAUCUCUAGUGGAUGGUGUAUAUUUGAACGUGUAUAUCUUCAUAUACACGUCCAUAUACACGGCGUGGAAAUUAUACACGUCCUAGUUUUUCAGUGAAACGUGUAAAUUAGGACGUGUAUAUUCCCCUCAUUCUUUCCCCCUCUGCAAGAUAAGAGAUUCAGUAGUGCACACAGGUUCAGAGAACAAGACAGGGGAGCUUCGCCGCAUUGCAGCCGUCUCCCUCGUCGCCGGCAGCCUUCCCCGUGGCAUCCAAGAUGUCCAUGGACUCGAGGGUGCCUCCCUCGUUCCAUUCCCAUCGCUAGGGUGACCGGUGGGCCACCACAGCGACGGCACCAACCUCGUCUCCGACGAGUACCCGGAGCCAAAGCCCUGCAGCAGGAGGAGGAGCCCCCGUGCUCCAGCCAGCCAUUUCGGCGCCCGACGCAGCCCCUGUCCCGGCCUUGCCUGAGGAGGAGCAGCAACUGCGGGGCGGACGGGAACCCUAGAGGCCUCGCACCUCCGAGAUCCGUCCGAACUGGGGGUGAGGACGGCGCGGCCGGGCCGCAAGCGGCGUGGGCGGGACGGGCAGGCGUCCGGGCACAGGGAGCCCUGGCCUUGCUUCUCAGGGAGGAGGAGGCGGCGGUGGGCCGGCGGGCGGCGGUGGGCCGGCGGGCGGCGGCCGGAGGAAGGGGGAGGGGAGACCGGAGGCGGCUGCGCGGCCUUGCUCCUCAGGGAGGAGGAGCCCCCUACUCCAGCGCCACCGCCAGCCCGCACCCCGCAGCGNNNNNNNNNNNNNNNNNNNNNNNNNNNNNNNNNNNNNNNNNNNNNNNNNNNNNNNNNNNNNNNNNNNNNNNNNNNNNNNNNNNNNNNNNNNNNNNNNNNNNNNNNNNNNNNNNNNNNNNNNNNNNNNNNNNCACGACGAGUAGCCUCGUGGAUGGACGUGUAUAACUUCCACGCCCGUAUACACGUUCCACUGGGAGGCAUUUUUCUGUUAGCAACGUGUAUAUUUACCAUCCACCUCCAUAUACACCAUCCACUAGAGAUGCUCUUAUAAACUGAAACGGAGGAAGUACUUUUUUAUAGCUAACUAUUGUACAAGCUAGCUAUAAGAUUGACUAUAAGAUGGCUUAUAGCCAGCAGUUGACUAUACUGUUAACCAUGCUCUUACAAGUUCCAUCCGUAGAUGCUCUAGGCAUGGCACGACGACGUAUGUCGUUGGGACAGUCUUAGAGCAUCUCUAGUGGAACGUGUAUACACCUUGCUAAAUUUUACACCUCCCAGUUUUUCAGUGGAACGUGUAUACAGGACGUGGAAAUCAGGACGUGUAUAUUCCAACGGCUAUAUUUUCAAACGGCUAUAUUUUCAACGGCUAUAUUUUCAACGGCCAUAUUUCUGGUCUAUAUAAACCGCCCCAAUCACCUCUCUUCCAGCAUUUCUAGUUGUGCCUCAUCUUCUCACUUCUAGAUUUCUCUAUCGUCUCUCACACAACACAAUGAACACAUUCUCUUGGGACAUGAGUUCUUCAUCAUCUUCAUCGGGCGACGAUGAACUCAUACUUGCGGCAUUAGCCGAUCGCGAGGAGGAAGAGAGGAUGAACACUCGACGCCAUGGCGGUUCCAUGCAUGGACGUCAGUCAAUCGAUCGAGGAAGAGAUGCCGGAUUUCUUCUUCUCUGGAACGACUAUUUCAAAGAAGUUCCUCGCUUUUCCGAACAUUUGUUUCGACGAAGGUUCGUAAUUAGUACACUUCUCUGCUUUGGUUCUUUUUUCAUUUCCCCGUCUCAUUGACUUUUUAUGCAUAGAUUUAGGAUGUCGCGUACUUUGUUCAACCGCAUAGCUGAUGGUAUACUUGAACAUGACUAUGAUGGUUAUUUUACGCAAAAAAGAAGUGCUUCUGGAGCUCUUGGGUUACAUCCUCUACAAAAGAUGACCGCGGCAAUGCGGAUCCUCACAUAUGGAAUAGCAACUGAUGGUGUUAAUGAGUACAUCGGGUCCGCUGAGGCUACUAAUUUAGAGUCUUGCAAGAAAUUUGUGAUCAAAGUUUGUGAAGUUUCUGAGGAAAAGUACAUGAGAUCUCCAAAUGAAGAAGACAUUGCUAGGUUACUUGCAAUAGGUGAGGAAAGAGGAUUACCUACAAUACUGCCAGUGAUAUGCACAAACAAUACAGAAGUGAGAACACGAAUUGUUCUCCUUGCCUACAAUAUUGCCAGUGAUUGAUUCCCCCCAUAAUUCACUUCUAUUGCAUUCUUGAAGCAGCAGCAGCGGGUUCNNNNNNNNNNNNNNNNNNNNNNNNNNNNNNNNNNNNNNNNNNNNNNNNNNNNNNNNNNNNNNNNNNNNNNNNNNNNNNNNNNNNNNNNNNNNNNNNNNNNNNNNNNNNNNNNNNNNNNNNNNNNNNNNNNNNNNNNNNNNNNNNNNNNNNNGUGCGCCCCAGACCUCUCUGGAAUGGAAAAUAGAAGGGAGGGAGAGAGCUUACCAGAGGGGAGUGGUCGCCGGCGAGCUUCGAUGGCCUUUGGACGGAGGCGGGAGCAGCUUGUUUCCCUUUCCACUAGCGUGGCCGAGCCGUGUGUAUUUGCACGAGAAGUAGCGUUGUGGAUGGACAUGUAAAACUUCCACGUCCGUAUACACGAUCCACUGGGAAGUGUUUUUCAGUUUUCAUAGUAUAUAUUUAGUUUUCAUAGUAUAUAUUUACCAUCCAUCCGUAGAUGCUCUAACAAGUUCCAUCCGUAGAUGCUCUAGGCAUGGCACAACGACGUAUGUCGUUGGGACAGCCGAACGACAGGCGUGUGGCGCAGUCAGGGGGUGGGGUGCCUAGAGAGGCCUACACGCCGCGUGAACCCCAGCUUUUCCGUUGUUGGGCGAACCCCUCCGCCCCUCACCACCGAAGGAGCCCUCCGGAAAAGGCCAACUCCGGGAGCUUUCCUUUGCCCCCCACGCCACGCGGAAAGCGAAAGAGGUUAGCUAGCUUUCCAGCUCCAAAGUUGCAAGUGCGACGCCGCCCGCCCAUGGGUGGACGGACGGGUGGCGGCCUUCAGGUUCAGGUUUAGGCGGGCGGCCACCGGCCUGGCCGGUGAGAAGGACCUGGGACGGCAUUUUUCUUUCAGCGCACAGGGGAAGAAGAAUCCCCGCGAUGCCCAUGAUGGCUCGAUUUGUCAAACGCUAGCUAUAACCUAGAAAGAAAAGAAGAAAAGGAAGAAAAGGCUAAAACAGCAUGGCGAAAAUCUGAAGAGCUAAAGUCACAGGCCACAGGUCACGGAGUAGCAACACGACGCGCACCGCAAAUCUAUCUUAAAUUCCUUAGCUUGCAGGACAGCCGAUCGCCAGCCACCGGCCAAGGCGGCCAGCGGCGCUGCCGGCACGACCACCCUGGCUCGCCGUGGAUGACGCACCGUACUACCGCCGUAGUGCUAGUGUCCGCCCGUGGCCACGCAGCCGCGACCGCGCACGAGACGAGCGCAGCGAAAUGGCAUGGACGGACCCACCAACCCUAGGACCCCGAUCCGAUGGUCGUUCUCCUUCCAUCCAUCCUUGCCCCACCGACCCCGUGGCCUACUCCACGGCUGUUCCCGAGCUGGCCUCCACCCCACCCUCGGGGUCACUGCACUGUCGCUCGGCUCCGCUUACAACAAAUCCAGUAGAAAGCAACAAAGAAUUCCUCGCCUCGAGAUGCCACAUACCACCAGUGGUCGCGUGGAGCGCCACUACAGUACCAGCGGUUUUUUAAAGGUGACCAGACCAGAUCUGCCCCUGCCCAGCCUCAGAUCCAUUCCGCUUCCGCCCGCGUGAUGCACGUACGAACGAGCACGAGCAUUCUAGUGCUAGUUGCUACUAGCACUAUACCAAUACGUACUAUAUAUGUAUACUACACCCUCCAAGAUCCGAUCUGCUGGAGCAACUUAGAGCUAGAAAUCAAGCUACGAGCUACUGUAGUUAUGGACGAAGCUGCAAGAACAGAGUGUAAUAAGCAGCGACGGAGAAAGAAUAAUAAUGAUGAUACAUAUGGUGAGAGGAAUUAACUGGGGGAUUGUACAAUGGAUAUGGAUCGAGCACCACCAGCAACGACGGCCAAACAAUCAGAUCUGUCCACGCCCAACACACGCAUAACACGGAGGAGUGUCCUACUACGAAUCCGAAUGCCGAAUGUAAUAAUCAUCAACGCAACAACAACAAAAGAAGAAGAAAAAAAAGGAAGAUAAACAGCUCCAAGAACACCACCACAAAAGGAGAGGGAGCGGGGCCCUCGGAUAAAUUAAAUACUCUUGCAGGCAGCCGAUCUGCCGCGGGGGCGGGAUCUCUCAGUAGAAGGCGGCGGCGGCGGCCACGGCGGCGGUGGCGACCCACGCGGCGGCGGGGUGGACGCCGGCGGCGGCGCUGGCGGGGGUGGUGGGCGCGUCCAUGGACGGGGCGGGGGACGGGCCCAUCAUCGACGGCUCCGGCGGCGAGCUCAUGUNNNNNNNNNNNNNNNNNNNNNNNNNNNNNNNNNNNNNNNNNNNNNNNNNNNNNNNNNNNNNNNNNNNNNNNNNNNNNNNNNNNNNNNNNNNNNNNNNNNNNNNNNNNNNNNNNNNNNNNNNNNNNNNNNNNNNNNNNNNNNNNNNNNNNNNNNNNNNNNNNNNNNGGGGGAGGCAUGACCGGGGCCACGGCCGGCGGGGGAGACACCGGCGCCGGGGUCGGCGGCGGCAUCAUCGGAGGCGGGGACACCGGGGCCACGGGGGCCGGCAUCGGGGUGGCCGCCGGGGCCUGGGCCGCGGUGGCGGCGAAGAGCAUGGUCAGGGCCAGAGCCACCAGCUGGAUGCGCGCCAUUGGAGGAGUGAAGAGGAGAGCUUGAGCUUGAGCUUGAGCUUGAGCUUUGCUUUUGCUUGAGGUGGUGCUGCUGCUGGUGUACUGUAAUGGUGUCCGAGACGGUAUUGGGCCGGGAGAUUAUAAAGGGGUCGCGGACGGGGCUACGACGACGAAUUAUAUGAAGACCCAGGGGGCUCCGUGCUAAUUUCCGAUCCUGGUAGCCGUCCGAUCGACAUCCGACGGCUCGUAUGGUUGGAAAGCUUCAACUCUUUUUUCUUCCCCAAACUUCUGACUUCUGAACAGCAAGCAAGUUUCAGAAAAACAAGCUAAAUCCCAACAGCUGGCGGAGAUCAUGUCAUUUGGUUCACGGGAAAUUCUCUCGCGAUAUAAGAGUCUGGUGAUUAUUUGCUUUCCUUUUUUUUGUCAUGGUUCACGCGUAAUUCUGGUCGACGGUGAGCUGGGUUUCCUUCCUGUUCCGUCUUGCCUAAUUUUGUCUUGGGGGUUUGAAAAUCGUGUGCAUAAUCCCACCCCUAUCUUCGGUUCAUGGACCCGAUCAAUUAGUCCAUUGCAGAUAUUUGCGGUAAAAUAUUAUGGACGAUCAAUGCAAAAUGGCAAGCAGCUAAUGAGCCAAUUGGCCCACGCGUUUGCAGUGUUCUUUACAACGAUAACAAAAUGUCAGACUUUAAAACAAUGUUAACUUCGAAAGUCAAAGUUUUUUUACAUGGGUGGCACACAUGCAUGUAAACGGACACGCACGCGUAAAUGUGAAAUAGCAAGUGGUAUUUGCUAAUGAGCCGACUGACCCACGCGUUUGCGGAGCUAGUGCAUCGAGUUUUUUCUACAAGAUAAUAAAAGGUCGGAUUUCAAAAACAAAGUUACUUCCAAAGUCAAAGUGCUUUUUCUCGCAAUUACGUUGGUGACGCACACGCAGACACGCACGCGCAAAUGUGAAAUAUCAAGUGCUUGUUAAUGAGCCGAUUGGCUCACGCGAUUGCGAUGUUUGUGCACUGAGUUUUCUUUACAAGGAUAAUGGAGGUCCAUUUCCAACAACAAGGUUGCUUCCAAGGUCAAGGUGCUUCUUUAUGCAGUUACAACACACAUGUAGACACGCACAUACACACACUCAGAACCUUGCAUAUUUUCGACAUUUUUCUCUUCUUUUUUGAGGGCAGGUUCAGCCCAUCAACAUGUGAAAGUAAGCACCCGUGACUGUGCAAUGUUUAGUUGAGGUAAAAGUGGAGAAAAUAACCAUCAAGUGAAUGGGGCGACUCAUUCCAAGAUGAUUUACCAAUUUUCGUGUGCGGUUUUUCCUGUAUGAUUGGAUGAAACUUGUGCGUGUCAAAUCAUCGAAUAUCGUCAUCUUUCUCACCGAAAGAUCAAUAACCAACAUUGUCUCAUCAAUUCGUGAUGUAUGGUGUUCCCUCGUAUGCAUCAUAUUUUUUGCUCUAUAAACAAAACUUACAAAACUAACAAGAGGUCCACAUUGUGUAUGUGUGCACACGCGCGGCGUGGGACAAUUAUAACAAAAAUGUCUUUCUAUAAAAUAGACAUAAAAUAGAGCUCCUUGUUUUGAUCAUUUGAUGAUAGCAUCAACCAGCUAAGAUUAGUUGCCUACAAAAUAAAUACCUUAGCAAUGAAAUGAUUGGUUUGGUGCUAAUCAAUGGAGCGCACGUUGUCCUCACCAAUUCUAUAUUGAGCCGUUGGUGAAUGAUGGGUUGCUGUCAGCGUUUCUCCAUCAAAAUCUUGGGUUUACAAAAGAACGAUACGAGAAAGUAAUCACACUAACACAGACGGUUAGGAAAACAAGAGAAAAUUCUACUGUCAAGUUAUCUCUUCCGUGUAUUCUUCAUGCACAUUUUUAUUUUAUUUUUGCACAUUGUUUGGCUUGCAAGUUUUAGUCUCCUGCCUAUUAUGUUAGCUGGAAGGAGAUAAAGUUCUUGGUCCCCGACGAAAAAUAGGUUCACUUGGGAGGACAAUGGUGUACAGCCUAACCAAACCCUUUUCAAAACCUAAAGCUCCACACGUUCAGGUUGCUCGAUUUGGUCCAUAAGGGUAUACCUAACGCGCCAAAUGUUUCCAAAACCUAAUGUGCCCCGUUUUUUUCCUUCACAAUAUCCAUCUUGUUCCACAAGAUAAAUCCAGAGAUUUCCAACCUAACCAUACCCUUCCAAAACCCAGCGCUCCACUCCUCCAACGUUCAUAUUCUUUGGACAAGAGAUACACACGAAUACACUUGUCUGGUUCCUAACCACCAUGUGGAAGAGUGUGAUUAUGCUAGUUGAUAGGCAGCUCUGAAUCAGACCGACAAUAGGAAGCCCCUAUCUGGAAGCAAGAGUUCAAAUGCAAGUAUGGACUAAUCGCAACGGCGAACGGUCCCUGCAAACUUUGGAGACCAAGUUAAUUCACGAUUUUCAGAGUAACUUUGUCGAAACUCAUGUUUCGUUCCUUAUUAAACUGGGGUCAAUAUCUAAUUAUAAGAGCAUGUUCGCUAGUUGAAUCAUUGUGCCUCCAUUUUAAGGCUUAAUUUGUGAUUGCUGAACUGUGUUGUGUUAUGAUGAUUUCAUAAUUACUAGUCCCUCCGUUUUUAAAUAUAAGUCUUUUUAGAAUUUUUAUUAGAGACUACAUACGGAUGUAUAUAGACAUACUUUAGAGUAUAGAUUAACUCAGUUUGCUUUGUAUGUAGUCACUUAGUGAAACCUCUAAAAUACUUAUAUUUAGAAAGGGGGGAGUAUGUAAAAUUAGCCACAAAAGUAGACAAAAGCGGUUUAAACGCACGCUCAGAUAGGCAAAAACAUAUUAGGCAACACAAGGUUAUCACAAACCACCACAAUACCAAACUCGGCCUAAGUAAAGCUGACUUUUUCCUAGACAAGAAAAAUGCAACGUGUGUAUGACAAUGAUGUUAGAACAAGCCAACAAAGGCAAGAACAUGAGUUUUCAUCUGGAGAUCGCCUCCAGAAAUUGAAGAUAAUACCACAAGGAGAUGACGUGAGAGCAAUGUCGACAUGUCGUUCCCACGUCUAACCAAUGAAGACUAUACCAACCAAUGGAGGCCAACUCAUUCAAUUACUAUACCACGUCUUGGCGCUCAAAAUCGAACAUCACUUGAUCCAACCAAUGGAGGCUAACUCAUUCACGACGAUUGCGACAAUGUCCGUUCAAGAUUUGGCAUGGCCCAAUGACAAGAAACCUCAUGCUAGCGUACUGGUAUCGCUCCACCAUGGAGCUUACUAGAACCGCCAAAACGCUUUGAAGGGGUCGCCCCUCCGCCCUCAUGUCGACGAUGCCCCUGCAGCCACCCCGGCUUCCAUGUCAUAAUCCACAACAUGUCAUCCUCUAACGGGCAGCCAUCACGACCGGAUAUCGACAAGAGCCCCUAACACCACUAUCGGUCGCAAGACCUUUGGUCAUGGCAUCCUCUGGCGGUGGAGGAGGGGGUUGAAGGAAGGCAUGGUAGAGAUGCUAACUUCCUUAACUACACUUUGUAUACAAUAAAGUAGAGAAAUCUCCCAAUCAAUCUUUGCGUCUAAAAAUGCACACAGCCAACGAACAUUAUUGACCUUCCGAAGGACGAUAUAAAGCCGUAUUCCCAUCGUUCUGGGCCGCCGUGAGUUGCCAACAAACAUCCUGAUCCUGCCCGAAAUGCUAUCCACCGAAUGACAUCUGAGCCGAUCCGAUUUAACAAACAGCAAGCUUGCCAAAAACAAGUCCGUUGGUCCGAUCAGAGCCUCGUCGGGUCCAUGGAAACGGGGCUGUGGCCAGGGUGGAAGAUUCCGGCCGGUCGGCCAGCCGCGGUGUAGUACAGAGCUACGUGACGCCGACGUACCAACUAAGCCAAGACAACCACCAUCUUCCGAGUGAAAUCAAAUGAGAUCGACUACGUGACGGCCGCGAACUCUGCUGGGCAGUGUGAUACAGUUCGUCGAGGUGUCGCCUCCCAUGGCCCUGUUGCACGCCCACGAAGCAUGUAGCAGUGCUGUACAGUUGUAUAAUAACCGGAGAUGCCGCGUGGGCCAAGGGGGUUAUGGUAGAGGAUGUCAUAGAGGAGCUGUGGACAGCCAGGGCUAGGCAUUUUGCUUGGCGACUCAUCAGAGUGUUUACGAAGGCAUUGACUCGUGGCAAAUGGAUGGCAAAUCUCAUGCUGCGUCAGGUAAAAAGUGGGCAUAGUUUUCUUGCCGAUUCCUGUAUGGUUUUCCAUGUUCGUUAUGGAGAAUUAUGUUCAGCGGUCGGUUGGAAGAAGGCCUUCACAUAUUCGGAAGAAAGUGGGUGUGAAAACCAGCUUGACAUAAUCAUAGACUGAAUGGGUCGUCGACAAAAUGAUUGGGAAUUUUUUUCCCAAACAAUUUCAAAAUUCCACUGUCCAUAGGUUAAUCAAAUCAGGAGGUGGUUGGUACUACUAGUACUAGCGAAGCAGCCGCUAUCACAUAAAACAAUGGCACGAGCCGAAUCAGAAAGACAGCCGCUGCUUGCAAAGCAUUGCCCCCACAACCAUAAGAUCAGGGGCCCCUAAAUAACCGGACAGCUAAGUUCGUCGAUGAUUCGCUCGUCUAAAAGGAGCUCAUCUAGCUCCGUUUCGUUGUAUUUCCUCGUGUCUGGAGCCUAAUGGGAGGUUAGUUAGGCGGUCGCCAAUGAUUGAGGAUUACCUGGCUGUGAUGGGAGGAGCUGGCUGGCCACAUUGGUGGCCUUCAGGUGAGAUGGACAUGGGAACUCCAUCACAUGCCCAUCUCAAGCACCAGCCCGGCGAUCCCUGUUGGGGAAGCUGUAGCAUUUCUCAUGCUGCACAUGUAGAAAUCUUCUGCGUGCCAACCGCUGUCGCCGUCGGCCCAGUGCGCGAUGAGCAUGGCACCGCCACUGCGUGGUCGCGAUCGCUACAGGCGGCUACAGGCAAUAACUCGGGGCAGUAUGUUAGUUCAGGGAAUUGAUGAUAUGGAAAUAACAGAACUUACCAUUAACUUAUACUCUACUAGCAUAGAUCAUGCCAGGCCACAUGACUCCAUGCUUAAAAUGUUACAAUGGGACCUUUCGCGGCAAACAGCAAAUGCACCCCUUGUAUGUUUAUUCUAGAAUGUUAUAAUGUCACAAAACACAGAUUAAGUUGCAAACGAAGGCAUUUCGGUGCCACGUUAUUAGAGGAACAAAGAGUUUGGUAGCCAUUCGCUGGGUAUUCGAAGAAUGAAAGAACAGAUAGCUAUGGGCUAGAUUCCCUCGAGACUUCUUGUCCCCGACUAAAUGGCUAGCAACUUCAGUCUACUUACAUGUGGAACAGUGGAAACAAAGUGUGCUUGGCAUGUGCUAUUAUUACACAAAGCUCUAUAUACGAGUUGCAACUAUAGCUCCCGUCGGUCGAUUUUCACAGAGAUGCGCCCGACUCCCAACUCAAGAGUUUGUCACGCUUUGCAGCAUGUUGUCUAGGGCUCAGAGAGCAAGAUCAGCAUACUGUUUUAACCAACUGACAACUCACAAAAAUGAGCCGAAACUGACAUUAUUCGUAUGCUUCCAUCAGACUGGCCAGUGCCCCUCCAAUCUAUGGCUUUGCUUUGAGCAAGAUGGAAGAGUAUGAAGCAAUUCUAUACCCGGAUCCAGUAAGUGGCACCCCUUCCGGUGUAAUAUCGUUUGGUGAUUCCAGGUUGGUAUCCACCUGCAAAAAGGACACAACAGCAGUUUCAGGCUAAUUAUCCACUAAACUUAUAGCAAGUCAGAACUAAGCCACUUGCUUCCAGAAAAUUGCAAAAAUCUGUCUUUCUUAGAAAACACUGGGGAAAAUAUCAGUAGAUUUUCCAAGCAAUUGAUGUAGUAGCAUGGGAGGAACUAGACAGUACGACCACUGAGUUACAAAAAGUUAGCAAGACAGGAAGUAUACAUACCACACGGUUCCAGCUUUUAUGAUGAGGUGCUGGGGGAAUCACAGCAUCCACAAAAUAGUCAUGGGCAUUGAAUGCCAAAUAGAUAUCUCCACCAGAAUUGUGGUCGUGUAUCCUACAUUAAUCGCCAAACAAAACAGUUGAGAAGACAAGAACUCGUAGCAACCAAACUACAACAAUACUAUCAUAUGGUCAGAAUGAAUUACACAAUAAAAACUGAAAGCCAAACUUCCUUACGUGAAUGCCAAGAAUUUGCUUUCCAAGUUAUCCCAACAAUCCUCAUGCCAGGUGACAUCAUUCUACAAUCAAGAAAGAUCAGAAUGCGAUGAAAACCUUUGGAAGAAAAUUCAAACCAAGAGUUACAUACUUGCAUCCUACAAAAGCUAGGAAUUGUCGUUUCUAACGUGCAAUGCACAAUAAGAGACCAGAUCACAUACUUAGCAAAUACUCAACAGAAACUGAUAACUGUAUUUCAGUAAAGGAAGAACUGUUUAUUUUCAAUACGCCGGUCAACUGCAAGAACACCACUAAGAAUUUGAACAUACUUUACUAAGAAACCUGUCCCGUUUCAGUAUUGGGUGGUUCUGACGAAACUUAAUCAUCUCUGAGAAAAACCUGAAAUGGCCAUAUCUUCUUUCCGCCAACUGUAUCAAACGGACAAGAGGAGAAAACAAGUUAGCAUAUAGAUGUGGCACAUCCAUAACACAUUUUGAAUGGAAAACCAAAAUAAUCAUGUAACCUGUUCCCACUGGAAAUUAUUUAUGCAGGUAUCAUGUCCAUAGCUAUUAUUGUUUCCAUAACGUGUAUGACCAUAUUCAUCUCCCAUCAACAUCAUUGGGGUGCCCUGUUACAAAAACAAAAGGUGCAAUUAGUAAUUUUUACAUUAUGCAAUACCACAUAAAAGUCCAACUGUGAAGUGAUCAAUAAUAUUUACUUGAGAAAUCAUUAAUGCCACAUGGAAGUUCUUCAUUUGUCUCGAACGCAGAGCUAACACAUUCGAAUCAUUUGUUUCUCCUGUUUAGCAACAAGAUCAAAAUAUGAUAACCUUCCAUGGUUGUAUUUUCUUCGAGAAACAGAAAGUGUGCGCUUCGAUGCAUUGAUAGAAAGAAUAGAGUAGUAACCGUAGAAGCCUAAGACUACGCCGAAGCAACCGACCACUCAAGACAAGACCACAACUACAAACAAACACAACCAAACCAACCCUGGCAUAGAUGCCAUCCGCACAAGCGGACAGAACACAACGCCCAUCACAAGAAGAGAGAAUCCAACUCUGCAAAGGGCAGAAUUGGGCUACUCCCACUUUGGAGGCAACAUAGUUGUAUUUGGUCUAUUCUUGAUACAGAAACUUCACUACUAAGAGUAGGCCAUGAGUUCUAUCAAGUGUCAAGCAUACUGCAAAAUUAAUUUUGAACUAAAAAUGCAUUUCGUGUUCUCCUUGUUCUUGUGCAAUACUAUACUUCAGUCAGAUAUCUUAAGAACGGCGGCACUGGAGAUCGCCUCUGUGUGGUUGGAUAUCGGCUCUGGCUGCUUGGGUGGUUGAGUCGUCGACCCGUUGGGUGCACGGCCUCAGGGCCAGUGUGCUGUGCUGCUGAUGUUUGUAAGCCAGAGUGGCGGCUUAGGGUCAUGUGGUAGGGUGUCGACUAGGGUCGCUUGGGCAGCAGAGUCGGCGGCCUAUUGGGGUGCAGCCUCGGGACCGGCGUGUUUGUAUGGCUCGUUUUAUCAGUUUUCAGCCAGUUUGUAUGGCAGGAGUAUAUGAUAAGGUAGAGCUCCUUGGUUGCUCGAAAAAGAAAAAAACUCUCUUUUCACUUGCUAAUUUCAAUAUGAAGAGCAACGCAUGAUAAUGAGUAAUGAUGGUACCUUCAACACCACAGUUCCAGCUAAAGUUAUCAUUGCAUCCAUCACGUCCACCUUCUCCAUUAGCAUCGUUGUGCUAUAUAAUUUUGGUCAAACAGAAAGCAUAUUAACAUAGAUACCACUACCUGUAUAGGACCUUACUUUAUAGUGUUUUUGGUAUACUCGAGUUACCUUUAAGUUGUAUGAUACAAGGUCACAUAAGGUGAACCCAUCAUGUGCGAUUAUAAAGUUCACACCGUGAUGAGGCUUCCGCUGGUUCACCUGCCAAUCAAUAUCACAUCAGAACUUGACUUUGCACGUGGUCCUGUUUUGAACUAUGUAAUCCUAAAUCUUCCACAUAAAAAUAAGUCUCGAAGCUUAUUCACAGAAGCUCCUAGCAGGCUAGCACCUCCAUACAUAGAGUGGUUUAAAUCUCAAAAUGGCAUCUCAUCCAAUAUUCAGAGUACAGCCAAUACCGUUAAGCAUUUGGGUGGAUCUUAGAGAAAUAAAUCAGAAUGAGCAUUGAAAACAAUGCAAAUAGAAUUGCAUACAAAAUAAAUAUGGAGGUUGGAUAUGUUAAUAGCGUAAGCUGCGCCCUGAUGACACUACGGAAAUAGCAAGUGUAUAGUUUCAACCUUCAACAACGCUGAAGACUUAAGCUCCGGAAUUUAUUUUUCUUAACACACACAUAAUUGUGUGUUCACUGUAUUUAGCUCAGGAAUUUGCAAAUACAGUAAAAAGUACACUUUUGAGUCACUUAUUUUGGGACGGAGGGAGUACUAUACAAAACAUCAAGAAACAGGGCUCCAAAAGAAAGUAUGUUUAGUGAUGAUAUAACCAAGCAAGGAAAAUCCUCAACUGAUGGACAAAAUGGCAGNNNNNNNNNNNNNNNNNNNNNNNNNNNNNNNNNNNNNNNNNNNNNNNNNNNNNNNNNNNNNNNNNNAAGAGCACAACUGAACAAAAUACCUGGUAGAGAUCAGCGGAUCCAGAUAUACGAGUUGCCAACACCCCCUUCAUACCAGGGUCACCCUGCAAAAAACCUCCAAAAUGAUUAGCAGGAUUCAAUCAUUCGUCAGUGCUUGCAGAAAUAAUUGGAAAUGUAACAAAGAAAGUAAUCAGGACAAACUCUUUUGCAGAAGUCACUCUAAAUUCAGAUCAAAUGUUACAAAAUCCACUGAUGCUAAAAAGGAAAUAUCUUGGUGUUGUAGGUCUUUGCUGAUUUAGUUAUGAUUAAUUCAAAGACAUUAUGCUAUGGAAAGCAUGAGAGAGUGGAAGCAACAGCAGUCCAUGGAAAAUUGGGUCGGUAAAUUCAAACAGGCAGAGAAGCCUCAUAAAUUCUUGAAAAGUCCAUAUUCUUCUGUGAAAAUCUUUCUCUCUGUUAGCUGUUCUGGCUUUUUUACUUUUCUGAGUUUUAUAUCGGUGGCUUGGCUUUUGUCAAUAUAAAUAUAAGAUAGAGGAUCCUUAAUCUUUCGCCACGGCAAAAUGGUCAUGAACAAAGCCAUCUAAUGAUCUGUCUUAAGAAUAUACAGAAAUGAUCAGGAUUUUGGAGAAUGUUAAAGAUCAGGAUCGGGAUAUAAAGAACAGCACCUUGAUGAACCUUCGAAGGUCGUCUCUAUACUUUCCAUUCCAUUCAGCCCACCUACAGGGGCAUUUGAUUAUAUCUUACAAAUAUUGGCAAUAUUCUCUAACAACAUUGAAACAUAUUCAGCUCUUCGUACAUUUGAAAAAGGAAACAUAGUCUAAUAAGGACUCCUAGACCAAUACUAAUACUCCCUACGUCCCAAUAUAGUGCAAAGUUGUACUGAAGUUGAGACACUUAUUUUGGGACAGAGGGAGUACUUCCUAACAGAAAUUACUGGCAACAAUUUUAGGCAACAAAAGGGACCACCAUAAGAGGAAUGCAGUUGUUAAGUAAUUUAUAAAUGGUCAUCGGAGCAUUACAUCAGCGAUGUUAGAAAAACAAAAAGUAUUUGUGCUACAUUAUCAUCGCAGUGUAAAAAUAGUUUAGUGCUAAACAAGAAACAUAGGUACGAAAAAUAUACAUAUCUAGCAAUUUCAAAUGCACAUAGUGCAAAAUUACCUGUCCCAGUUAGGAAAACGCCCUACUAGAUAAAGACCUCCACAAUCCCAAGGUUCAGCAAUUAUCUUGCAUCGAGAUAACACAGAAUCUUUCGCAAUUUCCUGUGAUCAGCAAAAUAAACAAUGAGACAAAAUAACAACAAACAUCAUAGGCUGAUAGUUCUACAAAAACACUAAUGUAGGCUAUCAGAUGAACAUUGCAGUCUUGAGAAGGUGUGAUAUAUCAUUUGCAAUUUCAUAAACGUAAGGGGGCAUUCAAAAGGUCACACAUUCAUAGGACCCUCAGGUUCCUCUAAAUCUACUUCAUUAAUGACCCACCAAUCAUUCAAAGCUGAUGAUGAAAUUUUGCAUGAUUGCACUAAAUAUCUGCCCGGCAAAUAAUGGUUCAACAACUGAGAAAGAGAAAGCAAAUACGGCAUAAAAUGUUGUGAAGUCCAUAAAUUUCAAGGUGACAUUGGUUCAAGUGAAUUCACUAGGUCACAAUUUGUAUCCGAUCAACCAUAGUUAAUGUAAGAACUUAUGUCUUGUGUUUUCAUGAUAUCAAUGAACUUCAUUUGACUAGAAAGAGGAAAACUGUAUCUCUGAUUUGAAGUUAAACACUACAAUUCUGCAACUAUAAAAUUACCCUGAUGAGUGGAGGAGCAUCAAGAGGACUGCCAUCUGGUCCGCGACAAAGAACACUUGCAAGGUCAAACCGAAAUCCAUCUAUGUGGUAUUCCUUAACCCUUGAAGCAUCAAAUAGUCAUACAAAUAAGAUAACAUACUUAAAAUAUGAUGAACUCUUCAAAAAAGAGAUCAUAAGCAAAUACUUGGUCUGAAUAUUGUAUCAAGAUAUUAAUGAACUACUGCAGUGCAGUUUUCUUGAUCCUUUGGCUGCCUUGCACUAAUACAUUUAAUAUAGGACUUGUCAGUGCAUACAAUACUUUGAUAAGGAGAUCCCUAGCGACUUCACUCGUUCAAGGUUGGAAAUACUUAAGUCGGUCCACUCACAAGGCACGAGAGUCACCACCUAGACUCCAUGAGAAUUGGUUGCCACCUGAUGCUUCUACACUUUGUAUUGGGUAUGGACUGGACAUCAUGGGUACCAAGGAGUGAGGAAACAGGAAUGAUUCGUAAGCCCAGCUACAUUCAGUCGGACUGCAACAGCACAGAGAUCUGAACAACCAUGCUACAUCAUGGGUACCAAGGAGUGAGGAAACAGGAAUGAUUCGUAAGCCCAGCUACAUUCAGUCGGACUGCAACAGCACAGAGAUCUGAACAACCAUGCUACUGGAGGCUCAGUCUGGAGGCACAGCAAGCAACCGGUCCAACCAGAAACUCGGUGUGGAUUAGACAGGUCACACGUUGUUGUUGUUUUUGUCUAGCCUGUUCCAAUCGAACUGGCUCCUAUUCACUUCGCUAGUGUGAGUGGAUAUAGAAGCGAACGCUCACCUCUUUCUUAGAGUUAGUCAAAAAUUUAAGAACAAUGGAACUCAUGAGUUUUGCUCCCCUCCUACGGUUACAGCUUCCAUGUCAUCCUACGAUUGGGAGUUCCGGAGUUUCCCCACCGUUGUUUUUGUUCCAUAUGCAAGAACCGUUUGUGCGAUGGGUUCUUUCUCAAAGGCUAUGACAUUGGCACUUGUUGCUGGCAUCGAUUGCUCAAGCAACUCGAGUCAUCCAUUCCCAUUGCCUGAAGCCCAGGCCUCCCCGUAUAUUAACUGCAGCAGUCAAGUGACUUCAUCAACUAUAACGUGUCACAACCCAGAUGAUUUGAUGGCUAUGAACUAAUGCGUGCAGUGUGUACUGCAACAUAGAGGUAGUUUUCAGUAAUUUCGGUCUAUCAGUAUCAUCUUGAUUUGAUCAUAUAGAUCCGACAGUUCAAUUCCACAUGCAUGUUUAUUUAUUUGUCAGCACUUGAUUGUGAGAGUGGAACACAAGUAUAAACAAGUGCUACCGAAGCAUUGACUAUACUGAUUAAUGAAGACUAAAGAGACGAUGAACAUGAAGACAGAAAUAUGCAUAAACUAAAAUGCAGUUGCUUGACGUAUAGAACAACAUGCAAAUCGUGCAUACCAAUGUCUCAAGCUGUCGAGUACUAGUUCCAUGACAACAGGAUGGUUGCAGUUUAGUGUAUUCCCUGGAUUAAACCGAGUAUACUGUUAACACUUAGGAGUAGACACAAGUUCCACUUACUUGAAAUUUUAAACAUACCAGAAUAUUAAGUACCUAGCCAUCUAAAUGUUAUAGUAUCAACCAGAUAAUUAAGCAGGCUUCCAAUAUUUUUUAACAAGGUUUCCCUAUAGGUAGCAAUGUGGCAGGCUCGCAUCAAUGCUUGGGUUGAAAAAUAUAGUGGCUGCAGCCAAAUAAUGACCAGGUGACCACUCUUAACACUUCCACCAGUCAAUAUAGCAGCUAACGUGGCUGCAAGGUUCAGUCUGAUGGCAUGACAAAAGAUAAUAAACAUAGAUUGAAUCAACAUUUAUCAUUUUAAAUACAUCACAACAAAGUAGCACACAGAUAUGCAGUUUAUUUGCCUAGAAGCACACAAUCACAACAUUAAUUAGCAAGGUACAUGGUUAGUAAGCGGAUCAGCAAAACAAGAUACAUUAACAUCCUUAAAGCCGGAGCAACAACGAACAUACAAAGCAUUGGGUAGCACCCUAGAACAUGUUCAUGUAUCACAAGCACGUCACAAACAAUCAAGUAACAGAAGUUCAGGAAUCAUGGUUUUACCGCAUCCCGAGAAGUUCAGCAGUUGAGAGUUGUUGUUCGGAUCUAACAUGUAAUAAACCUGCAUGAAUGAAAGUAGUGUUUUUGGUAUAAAUUCAUGUAAAACCUGAAGCAGGUGUACACUUCUAAACACUUUGGGGGUUAGAACAGAUUAACUUAACCUGGUCGCAAAUUUUACUUAGCCUUCUAAGACCACUGACUGUCUAACCCAUUAUAUAACAGGUCAAAAGGUUGGAGUGAGCAAACCCGUACACAAAUUUUGAGUUAAGCAGCCCUAUUCCGAUUCUAACCUAGUUCUUUUCAACCCGGAAUAAAACACAGUCUACACACUAGAACUAAGAAAAGAUGGAGCAACAAGCAGAUAGGUGCCUUCAUCGGCUAUAACUCAAAUAAUAAAUCACCUUGUUGUCGAUGCCACGAAAAGAAGUAACAUAAGGAUGAGCGUCAUCUGCUUCAUUCGUAUGGUUGUAAACAACGUCCAGAAUAACCUACACAAAAUGAUGAUACCAUUAAACACAUUUUAUCAUGUGGGGUGAAUAAGAAUGCUACAAUAGGUUGCCAUAUCUACUGGAUGUCAAUACCUCUAUACCAGCUUUAUGCAAUGCCUUGACCAUCUGUUUGAGCUCUCUGGAAGCAGCCAAUGGUCCACCACCAGCACUUGCAUAGCGGGUCAUGGGAGCAAAAAAGUUGAUUGUAGAAUAACCCCAUGUAUUGACCUUCCAAUUGAGAAGUUGAAAAGUCAUUUCACAAUUGAUUCCACUNNNNNNNNNNNNNNNNNNNNNNNNNNNNNNNNNNNNNNNNNNUGACAUCAUGCACAAAGUGGCAUAUCAGAAUUUUUACCAUGUGGUCCCUUGGGUUAGGGUAUCUCUUGAACUCCAGCUCAUCAAACUCAAAAACAGGUAGCAACUCCACUGCAUUAACUCCGAGUUCAAGCAAAUGCGGGAUCUACAAAACCGCAACUAUUGCAUGCAUAAGUCAUUAAACAAUAUAGGCUUGAAGCCUUGAACACUGAAAACUAAUAUGCAUAUCAGGUUCCCAACACUAGAUCACUAAAAUAAUAGUGGGAAUAUAUUUAUUCCGCUAAUAACUUCCAGUAAGGGCAGCCCGGUGCACGUAGCUCCAGGACUCGAACCCGUGACCUCAUGGUCACUAGGCAACAGCUUUACCGCUGCGCCAAGGCUCCCCUUCAAUAACUUUCAGUAAGGACAAAACAAAUAAUUGUGGUCACAAGCCACACAAUAAGAAGAAAUUAAAACUUACUUUGUCGAUGAAUCCUAGAUAGCUUCCACGAACAGCUGGAUCAAGCCCACUUGACUCAUCCGCAGUGAAAGCGCGAACGUUCAUCUCAUAUAUAACUAGAUCUGUCUAGAUUAAAGAACAGAAGAAAAGUAGUGAACUUCAUGUUUAGGAUGCUUUCUUCAUCUAUUCUAUGAAAUGAUCCUAGUACCUCAGGCAAAUUUGGAAGCUGGUAAUCAGCACCCCAAUCAAAAGGAGAGCUAUCAAAAUCAUAUGUUCCAAAAGGCUGGCUUGGCUUCCCUUUAUCAACACCAAAGUAAUUUCGACCAGAAACUAGUUUCGCGUAAGGGUCAAGAAGAAUAAUGUUGCUAUCAAACCUAUGGCCUUGUUCCCAUCCUUGAGGACCAUUAACACGAUAUCCAUAAAGAACUCCAGAAGUGGGCAACCCCUGAAAGUACAUUUAUAUAAGGCUUCAUUCAUCAUAUAUGCAUGGGAAAAUACAUAGAAGCAAAAUAGGCACAGAUUUCUCCUCCUAACAAUAAAUAUUGUAAAGAACAUAGGAUAUGUUUUCAGCCAAGACCAAAAGAGAACAUAAGGAUUUCUCCUCCCAACAAUAAAUAUUGUAAAGAAUAUAAGGAUAUGUUUUUCAGCCAAGACCAAAAUAGAUAGAUGUGUAACAUGCUGGAAGCUUUUUCUAUAGAAGGGGUUUUCUCCUCUAUUUCACCCAGAAACCACAAAAACCCUUGCAGUAAACUGAAACAUGCUAGAAGUGACACAGUGAGAUAGCCAAAGUUAUGAGCCUGCACUACUCAGCAGUGCAUUUUUUUUUCUUUUUAUGAAUGAGUUGACGUGAUAAGAUCAGUGCUUUCAAAGCAUAUGAUUCUCAUAAAAUUAAAUCUUGUUACUCAGUGAGAUAGCCAAAGUUAUGAGCCUGCACUACUCAGCAGUGCAUUUUUUUUCUUUUUAUGAAUGAGUUGACAUGAUAAGAUCAGUGUUUUCAAAAUAUAUGAUUCUCAUAAAAUUGAAUCUUGUUUUGAAGAAUAUGUAAUACAGAUACACAUGAGGCGAAUGAUGGGAUUCUUCUUCCAUAAAUGUCAGCCACACCAAGUUGUCAAUAUUGAAAAGAAUAAUGCCUUAUCUUCGAAGGUACAGAUAACAUGAAAGCUUCAUAACAAUACCUCCACCAACACAUGCCAUAUAUCUCCAGUUUUGUUCUUCUGGCAAUCUAAAGCAAACUCCACAAGUUUUUCACUUUCUUCAUCCUUGGUUCCUCUGAAGGGCAAUCAAGUAUGUCAGACAAUGAGAAAAUCAUAUUCCGUUGGAAAGAGAAUGCAAGAUGAACAAGCUAAAGUACAACGCUGAUCUGCAAAAGGUUAUUCCAACCAGGCCAACAGCCCAGAUCAACUAAUAAAAUGGCAACCUGGGAACCAAAUAAACAUUGUUUUGUGCAUUCGAUCUGCAACACACACAAACAGUUGAUCAAAGUGAUGUGUUUUGGCUUUGUGAACAACUUGUUUUGUGGGAAACCAGGAUUCAUGAGUUCUAGCCUAAAAGGCAAAAACAGUUCACUUAAAUGACACUGAAAGCAACAAAACCACACAAUUUAGGAAAGAUUGUCUGUACCUCUCAGCAAGCUUGAUGCAGAGAGUGACAGAAGAAGCAUGUUGAGAGAAAAUCGCGAAGUUGAUACCACUUUCAACCUGCGACACUCCUAGAGGGGAUGCUUUGCCGGAAGAAUAUUUCAAGGGCAUUUCGGUGCCUGCCAUUGCGCUUUCCUUUUCCUGGCGAUGUUACAGAAUGAACAUACACUUUAGCAAAAAGUACAUGAUACAGAACGGGGAAUAAGGAUAUUCAGCAUCAUACAGUUAAUGAAUACUUGAAUUCAAACAUAUUCGCUUAGCGGAAAGUUUCACCAGGACAAUAACUCAUGACAUGUCAAAUUACCACGAAUGUAUAUCAAACAAACAAUUCAGUACACCGGCAGCUAAAUGGAUACAGUACGAUACAACCAUGCAUGGGAUGAACACUUGAGCACGGUGCGAUACCUCGGUCGCGAUUCUCCCAGCAUUACCAGCCUGAGCUCUCGCCGUGGUAGUCCGCACGGACCCAAAUCGCUGUGCCUGCACCACGACAAAAUCCGCUCGGAUCAAUCCACCAAUUAGAACGGAUAUAUGGAUGCACCCCGCGAAAAAAAAAAGUAGUACAAAAAUCGAGACACCUGCCUUUCCGAAAUGCCCUCCUCCGCACCCGGGCGCGACCCCAAGCCUGCUCGCCGCCACACUGCACAACCAACCACAUUACACAUGCAUCAUUCAGAGCGGCAGAUUGAACGGCACGAAAACGACAGAAUGCAGCGCGGCGAAACGAGGUCGCGCGAAGAGAGGGGGAAACACGCACCGGUUCGGAAGCGCGGAGCUGCUGCUUCGGCGUGCGGUGGCGGUGGCGGUGGCGGCGGCGGCGGGGCGCAGCGGGGAGCGAUUUGUAGAGGCCGCCGAAUCCAUCCAAAUGAGGGGGGUGGUGCUGGGACGGGUGGCGGGAGGGGUUUGACCCGGGACCGGGGCUAGUUAUAGGGGCCCGUGGACGCGGUCAUGGGGCGGCUCUCGAGGUCGACGGAGUGGAGUGGCGAUGGGGAGCGCAAGUCGGAGCGGGAGGAGGAGGAGGAUGCGGCGGUGAUCUCACCUCGGGGAGGGCGCGCGGGGGAAUGGGGCGACGGGGAUGGGGGGUGGACACGUGGUGNNNNNNNNNNNNNNNNNNNNNNNNNNNNNNNNNNNNNNNNNNNNNNNNNNNNNNNNNNNNNNNNNNNNNNNNUAGGGAAGUGGACGGACGACCUCGCUUCCGGGCAUCCGGCCCGACGUGUGGUGUCGUGUCGUCAUGCGCUUUCUGUAGAACAGUUUUUUUUCUUCUUACAACAGUUACUAGUGGUGUCCUCUAAAAAAGAAACAGUUACCGGUGAAUGAUAGCACUGUUUGUACUCUGACUGAGUUAAACGUUAGAGUUAGGCCAUGUUUCUUUAAAAAGUCUUAGGACUUUUUUUAGUCCCAACUAAAAAGUCUCUAGUCCCUACCUGUUUUUUUUCUAAAAAUUAAACAUGGACUAAAGGUCAUUAAAUGACAUGAAAAAAAAUAUGUUACCCGUAGUAAUAUACUAGAAGUUAUUAAAUGACAUGCUAAAAGUAGGGGCACUGUUGGAAAAAGUGCCAAAAAAGUCCCAAAAAGUCCCUCCCAUAGGGACUUCUUCAUUUAGUCCCAAAUACCCCAUUUUAGUCCCUAAAAGUCCCUCGUGUUUCUUUCACAUGGGACUAAAAGGGACUUUUUUUAGUCUAUACACCAAAAAGUCCCUGGAAAGAAACACCCCCUCAGAUUAUAAGGUUGGUCGUAAUGGGAGUACCAUAGCUAGUAUCAUGCAUGCCAACUAAGCAAUUUUGAUGAGGUGGUAUAAAAUUAAAUAAAAAAAAGAGGGUUGAGUAUCAUAUCAUGAUAUGAUGAUACCGUAUCAUAUUAAAUGAUGUGCUACUAGUAUGUGUCUUGCAUGACAAUAAAUGAAUUAUCCUAUGAUACUAACAUAUGAUGCUAUGCAUUACGGAUGUGGUAUCAUCCACUAGUAUCAUAUGCAUGAUACUAACAUAUGAUACUACCCAUUACAAUCUCUGGUUGUAAUGCAAGACACGUAAUAGCACAUCAUUUAAUAUGAUACGGUAUCAUAAUAUGAUACUCAAUCCUCUCUUUCUUCAUUUAAUUCUAUGUCACCUCAUCGAAAUUGCUUAGUUGGCAUGCAUGAUACUACCUAUGAUACUCCUAUUACGGGCAGCCUAAUACUGAACUAACUCUAACCAGAGAGGUGUUUGGAUGUCAGGGUUAGAUUGAUAAUAAAUACUAUUUUUCAAUCAUUUGGUUACUUUGGACCGUAUUUCCUGCCGGAUUUGGUGUGGCCGCCCCUUGUGUGGCCUCCUCCCGCUCGGGGGGCGGCUAUGGUUGUGGCUACGGGAGGGGAUGUGGAUGGGUCGAAGGGAUCUGGUGCGGUGGAGGCGGAGGGAAAAGUGAUUUUUUUUCGACCUCACCUAACUCUAACCCAAAUAAACACCUCGCCAUGGAGUUUUUUUUUGGUGGGUUAGAUGCAUCUAACCAAAACUUACCCUCUUGUUUGGAUGUUUUUGGUUAGUUAAGCCUAAGCUAACCCAAACUAACUCUAACCCAUUUAUCCAAACAGAACCGAUGAGAAACGGUCGGAUUCACAAACAGAUCAGGUGGGAAACUAGCUUUAAGAGCAUCUUCAUCCAUGAUUUGCAAAUUUGGGCCCUGAAACGUCCGCGGACGCGCCUGGUUAGUGACCGGACGUCUCUAUUUGUCCUCCCGUGUAUUCACACUCCUCAUUUUCUUCCUCAUAUGUCCGGUCACUUCCACGUUAUUGGUGAAGAGGAAGAGAGAGAAAGAAAAGAAUGAAUAAAGAAAAGAAAAGGAUGGUCUAGGGCGGGGUUGCGUCCUAUGUGGCGGACUGACCGAGCGCGCCCAGGCGCGUCCGCGAGGCCUCAUAUCCUUCUCAUAUUUAAGAUGGAUAUGAGGGUUCACGGACAACCCGGACAUAUAGGGACUAUAUGAGGGGUCUGGUUGGGUCACUUUUUCCUUCUCUCUCCUGUUCGGUCACUAACCGGACGCGUUCGCGGACGUAUGAGGGGUCAUUUGAGGGGUACAGUUGCGCAACCAUACUCUCUCGAUGGUGGCGCCCCAUAUGGCAUUGUGCCUCUCUCGGCCUCAUCAACGAGCACAUGCUCUGCAAUGACUAUCGCAAACGCUUGGAUGCAUUGUCCCAGAUCCUCGACACACACUGUGGCCCAAUCAGAGGCCUUACUAUGGGCAGGUUUCAUUCCAACGGCAAGGACCGAGCCAAGCUCGACGAGUGGUUCUUAUCGUCCGCCCUAGAUUAGCUCGAGGAGCUCACUUUAAUGAUGGACAUAUGCGCUCAUUGCCACCCUCCACGUUGCACCUCGCGCUUAAGUUGCACAAUGCUAGGUUCGUGAACUGCCAUUUCCCCGAGAUUAACAUCGAUCCCGCAUUUUUACUACCUCGGCUGAAGCACCUCGAGCUCGUCGAUUUCUGCAUCCCCAAUGAUGACACGGAGUGCCUGCUCCGCGGCUAUACUGCGCUCGAGUACCUUCAUCUUUAGGCAAUCAAUGGAUUGAGUAUCCUCCACAUCGCCUCCUUGAGUCUUUGGACAAUUUGUGUGUAUUGGUGGUGCUGUAAUAGGAGAUCAGACAAGUUGAAUCACCAAAUGGUCAUCGAGGAUGCGCCUUUACUGGAGAGAUUACUUGUAGUCGAUCAACAAGGUCCAACAAGAAUCAGGGUCAUUUAUGCACCGAAGUUGACCGUGUUUCCCUACUCUCACAUCAACUUCUCUGAACUUGUUAUUGGAUCCAUAACCAUCCAGGUACAUCAGUCGCCUUCUUAUCCUCCUUGAAAUAAACAUUUAUUUUUCUGUAUUAAAGAUGUAUGUUCGUUUGUCAUUCGAAAUAUUAUUCCAACAAGCUCGAUGAAAGGACGUGGAUGUCGCCUAGAGGGGGGGGAAUAGGCGCUUUAAAAUAAUUAAGGUUUAGGCUUGAACAAAUGCGGAAUAAAACUAACGUUUAAUAUGUCAAGCACAAAACCUAAAAACAACUAGGCUCACCUAUGUGCACCAACAACUUAUGCUAAGCAAGAUAAACAACUAAGUGAUAGCAAGAUAUAUUACAAUAAACAAUAUGUCUAUCACAAAGUAAAGUGCAUAAGUAAAGGGUUCGGGUAAGAGAUAACCGAGGCACGGGGAGACGAUGAUGUAUCCCGAAGUUCACACCCUUGAGGAUGCUAAUCUCCAUUAGAGUGGUGUGGAGGCACAAUGCUCCCCAAGAUGCCACUAAGGCCACCGUAAUCUCCUCACGCCCUCGCACAAUGCAAGAUGCCGUGAUUCCACUAAGGGACCCUUGAGGGCGGUCACCGAACCCAUACAAAUGGCAAUCCUUGGGGGCGGUCACCGAACCCGUACGCGUGGCAACCCUUGGGGGCGGUUACCGGUACCCGUACAAAUUGCUCGGGGCUAUCUCCACAACCUAAUUGGAGACCCCGACGCUUGCCCGGAGCUUCACACCACAAUGAUUGAGCUCCGAGACACCACCAAGCUUCUAGGAUGCCAAAGCAUCCACGAAGAACAAUAUCUAGGGUACUAAGUACCAAAGGUAGUAAGCUUCUCAACUUCUCACUUCCACGUAUCACCGUGGAGAACUCAAACCGAUGCAACUAAUGCAAUGGCAAGAACACACAAAGUGGUCAAGUCCCUCACACUCAAAUCCCUCCACAACAACAAAAGCUAUGGAGAAAUAUGAGAGGAAGAACAAGGAGCUCACAAAGAACUCCAAGAUCUAGAUCCAAGGGGUUCUCCUCACAUAGAGGAGAAAGUGAUUGGUGGAGAUGUGGAUCUAGAUCUCCUCUCUCUUUUCCCUCAAGAACAAGCAAGAAUCAUUGGAGGGAUUGAGAGUUAGCAAGCUCUAAGAAUGUCAACUAUGGAGGUAGAACAAGAGCUCAACGGAUAGAUGAGGCCAAGGGGGAAGAAGACCCCCUUUAUAUAGUGGGGGAAGGAAUCAGACCGUUACCCCCACUUACAGCCCGAGCCCAGCGGUACUACCGCUGGCUCCAGCGGUACUACUGCUGGCUGCAGCGGUACUACCGCUGACCCUCCGGCGGUACUACCGCUGACUGCAGCGGUACUAUCGUGGACCCUCCAGCGGUACUACCGCUGGCUGCAGCGGUACUACCGCUGAGCCCAUGGUAGCGCAAAGAUACUACCGGGCCAACCACCGCCAAGAAAGUCUUCGCAAAAAUGUCCGACGCAGUACAACCGCAAAGAUGACGGUACUAAAAACUUGGAGCGGUACUACCGCUGGCCAGGGGCGGUGCUACCACUAGGGCCAGCGGUACUACCGCCAACUCUAGCGGUACUACCGCUAGGUCCAGCGGUACUACCGCUCGCCACUGAGACAGCCAUAACUUUCGCAUACGAGCUCCGAAUCAAGCAAACCCAAGCUUGUUGGAAAUCUUAAGACCAUGCAGAUAUGAAAAUGACAAUGAUAUAGAGAUGUGAGUCCUCUAAGAAUGAAGAACCGGAAAAAACUCCAACAUCGAAAACUGUUGGAAUUAUGCCCUAGAGGCAAUAAUAAAUAUAUAGUUAUUAUUAUAAUUCUUGUAUCAAGAUAAUAGUUUAUUAUCCAUGCUAUAAUUGUAUUGAAUGAAGACUCAUUUACAUGUGUGGAUACAUAGACAAAACACCGUCCCUAGCAUGCCUCUAGUUGGCUAGCCAGUUGAUCGAUGAUAGUCAGUGUCUUCUGAUUAUGAACAAGGUGUUGUUGCUUGAUAACUGGAUCAUGUCAUUGGGAGAAUCACGUGAUGGACUAGACCCAAACUAAUAGACGUAGCAUGUUGAUCGUGUCAUUUUGUUGCUACUGUUUUCUGCGUGUCAAGUAUUUAUUCCUAUGACCAUGAGAUCAUAUAACUCACUGACACCGGAGGAAUGCUUUGUGUGUAUCAAACGUCGCAACGUAACUGGGUGACUAUAAAGAUGCUCUACAGGUAUCUCCGAAGGUAUUAGUUGAGUUAGUAUGGAUCAAGACUGGGAUUUGUCACUCCGUGUGACGGAGAGGUAUCUCGGGGCCCACUCGGUAAUACAACAUCACACACAAGCCUUGCAAGCAAUGUAACUUAGUGUAAGUUGCGGGAUCUUGUAUUACGGAACGAGUAAAGAGACUUGCCGGUAAACGAGGUUGAAAUAGGUAUACGGAUACUGACGAUCGAAUCUCGGGCAAGUAACAUACCGAAGGACAAAGGGAAUGACAUACGGGAUUAUAUGAAUCCUUGGCACUGAGGUUCAAACGAUAAGAUCUUCGUAGAAUAUGUAGGAUCCAAUAUGGGCAUCCAGGUCCCGCUGUUGGAUAUUGACCGAGGAGUCUCUCGGGUCAUGUCUACAUAGUUCUCGAACCCGCAGGGUCUGCACACUUAAGGUUCGACGUUGUUUUAUGCGUAUUUGAGUNNNNNNNNNNNNNNNNNNNNNNNNNNNNNNNNNNNNNNNNNNNNNNNNNNNNNNNNNNNNNNNNNNNNNNNNNNNNNNNNNNNNNNNNNNNNNNNNNNNNNNNNNNNNNNNNNNNNNNNNNNNNNNNNNNNNNNNNNNNNNNNNNNNNNNNNNNNNNNNNNNNNNNNNNNNNNNNNNNNNNNNNNNNNNNNNNNNNNNNNNNNNNNNNNNNNNNNNNNNNNNNNNNNNNNNNNNNNNNNNNNNNNNNNNNNNNNNNNNNNNNNNNNNNNNNNNNNNNNNNNNNNNNNNNNNNNNNNNNNNNNNNNNNNNNNNNNNNNNNNNNNNNNNNNNNNNNNNNNNNNNNNNNNNNNNNNNNNNNNNNNNNNNNNNNNNNNNNNNNNNNNNNNNNNNNNNNNNNNNNNNNNNNNNNNNNNNNNNNNNNNNNNNNNNNNNNNNNNNNNNNNNNNNNNNNNNNNNNNNNNNNNNNNNNNNNNNNNNNNNNNNNNNNNNNNNNNNNNNNNNNNNNNNNNNNNNNNNNNNNNNNNNNNNNNNNNNNNNNNNNNNNNNNNNNNNNNNNNNNNNNNNNNNNNNNNNNNNNNNNNNNNNNNNNNNNNNNNNNNNNNNNNNNNNNNNNNNNNNNNNNNNNNNNNNNNNNNNNNNAUCGUCGAGCUGUACGUGUGCUGAACGCGGAGGUGCCGUCCGUUCGGUACUAGAUCGUGGGACUGAUCGCGGGAUUGUUCGCGGGGCGGAUCGAGGGACGUGAGGACGUUCCACUACAUCAACCGCGUUCUCUAACGCUUCUGCUGUACGAUCUACAAGGGUACGUAGAUCACUCAUCCCCUCUCGUAGAUGGACAUCACCAUGAUAGGUCUUCGUGCGCGUAGGAAUUUUUUUGUUUCCCAUGCGACGUUCCCCAACAGUGGCAUCAUGAGCUAGGUUCAUGCGUAGAUGUCUUCUCGAGUAGAACACAAAAGGUUUUGUGGGCGGUGAUGUGCGUUUUGCUGCCCUCCUUAGUCUUUUCUUGAUUCCGCGGUAUUGUUGGAUUGAAGCGGCUUGGACCGACAUUACUCGUACGCUUACGAGAGACUGGUUUCAUCGUUACGAGUAACCGCCUUUGCUCAAAGAUGACUGGCAAGUGUCGGUUUCUCCAACUUUAGUUGAAUCGGAUUUGACCGAGGAGGUCCUUGGAUGAGGUUAAAUAGCAACUCAUAUAUCUCCGUUGUGGUGUUUGCGUAAGUAAGAUGCGAUCCUACUAGAUACCCUUGGUCACCACGUAAAACAUGCAACAACAAAAUUAGAGGACGUCUAACUUGUUUUUGCAGGGUAUGAUUGUGAUGUGAUAUGGCCAACGAUGUGAUGUGAUAUAUUGGAUGUAUGAGAUGAUCAUGUUGUAAUAGAAAUAUCGACUUGCAUGUCGAUGGUACGACAACCGGCAGGAGCCAUAGGGUUGUCUUUAUACUAACGUUUGUGCUUGCAGAUGCGUUUACUAUUUUGCUAGGAUGUAGCUUGAGUAGUAAUAGCAUAAGUAGCACGACAACCCCGAUGGCAACACGUUGAUGGAUGAUCAUGGUGUGGCGCCGGUGACAAGAAGAUCGUGCCGGUGCUUUGGUGAUGGAGAUCAAGAAGCACGUGAUGAUGGCCAUAUCAUGUCACUUAUGAAUUGCAUGUGAUGUUAAUCCUUUUUGCACCUUGUUUUGCUUAGAACGACGGUAGCAUUAUGAGGUGAUCUCUCACUAAAAUUUCAAGACGAAAUUGUGUUCUCCCCGACUGUGCACCGUUGCUACAGUUCGUCGUUUCGAGACACCACGUGAUGAUCGGGUGUGAUAGACUCAACGUUCACAUACAACGGGUGCAAAACAGUUGCGCAUGCGGAACACUCGGGUUAAGCUUGACGAGCCUAGCAUGUGCAGACAUGGCCUCGAAACACAUGAGACCGAAAGGUCGAUCAUGAAUCAUAUAGUUGAUAUGAUUAGCAUAGGGAUGCUUACCACUGAAACUAUACUCAACUCACGUGAUGAUCGGACUUGGGAUAGUGUAAGUGGAUCAUGAACCACUCAAAUGACUAGAGAGAUGUACUUUUUGAGUGGGAGUUUAGCAUAUAAUUUGAUUAAGUUGAACUCUAAUUAUCUUGAACAUAGUCUAAGUCCAUUUUGAAUAUAUUUGUGUUGUAGAUCAUGGCUCACGCAAGUGUCAUCCUGAAUUUUAAUACGUUCCUAGAGAAAGCUAAGUUGAAAGAUGAUGGAAGCAACUUUGUAGACUAGGCUCGUAAUCUUAAGCUUAUCUUACAAGCUGGAAAGAAGGAUUAUGUCCUUAAUGCUGCGCUAGGAGAUGAACCACCCGCUACGGCUGAUCAGGAUGUUAAGAACGCUUGGUUAGCACGUAAGGAGGACUACUCAAUAGUUCAAUGUGCAGUCUUGUAUGGCUUAGAACCGGGACUUCAACGUCGCUUUGAGCGUCAUGGAGCAUUUGAGAUGUUCCAGGAGUUGAAGUUUAUCUUUCAGAAGAACGCCCGGAUCGAGAGGUAUGAGACCUCCGAUAAAUUCUAUGCUUGCAAGAUGGAGGAAAACUCGUCUGUCAGUGAACAUGUGCUCAAAAUGUCUGGGUACUCAAACCGUCUAGCUGAACUGGGGAUUGAACUCCCGCAAGAAGCUAUCACUGACAGAAUCCUUCAAUCACUGCCGCCAAGCUAUAAAGGCUUUGUGUUGAACUACAACAUGCAAGGGAUGAACAAGUCUCCCGGCGAGUUGUUUGCGAUGCUGAAAGUCGCAGAGUCUGAACUCCGUAAAGAGCAUCAAGUGUUGAUGGUGAGCAAGACCACUAGUUUCAAGAGAAACGGCAAAGGCAAGAAGGGCAAUUCGAAGAAGAGCGGCAAGCCUGUUGCCAAUCCGCCGAAGAAACCCAUGGCUGGACCUAAGCCUGAAACAGAGUGCUUCUAUUGCAAGGGUAUGGGUCACUGGAAGCGCAAUUGCCCCAAGUAUCUGGCAGAUAAGAAGGCGGGCAAAGAAAAAUCAGGUAUAUUUGAUAUACAUGUUAUUGAUGUGUACUUAACCGGCUCUCGUAGUAGUGCCUGGGUAUUCGAUACCGGUUCUGUUGCUCACAUUUGCAACUCGAAGCAGGAACUGCGGAAUAGACGAAGGCUGACGAAAGACGAAGUGACGAUGCGCGUAGGAAACGGUUCCAAGGUUGAUGCAAUCGCCGUCGGUGCAGUGUCACUUCAACUACCAUCGGGAUUAGUGAUGAACUUAAAUCAUUGUUAUUUAGUGCGUGCGUUGAGCAUGAACAUUAUAUCUGGAUCUUGUUUAUUGCGAGACGGUUACUCUUUUAAGUCUGAGAAUAAUGGUUGUUCUAUUUCUAUGAGUAACAUCUUUUAUGGUCAUGCACCGAAUGUGAGAGGAUUGUUCAUAUUGAAUCUUGAUAGAGAUACGCAUAUACAUAACAUUGAGACCAAAAGAGUUAGAGUAAACAAUGAUAGCGCCAUAUUUUUGUGGCACUGCCGCUUGGGUCAUAUUGGUGUAAAGCGCAUGAAGAAACUCCAUGUUGAUGGACUUUUGGAGUCACUUGACUUUGAUUCACUUGACACGUGCGAACCAUGCCUCAUGGGCAAGAUGACUAAGACUCCGUUCUCCGGAACAAUGGAGCGUGCAAGUGACUUGUUGGAAAUCAUACAUACCGAUGUGUGUGGUCCAAUGAGCGUGGAGGCACGCGUCGGAUAUCGUUAUUUUCUCACCUUCACUGACGAUUUAAGUAGAUAUGGUUAUGUCUACUUGAUGAAGCACAAGUCUGAAACAUUUGAAAAGUUCAAGCAAUUUCAGAGUGAAGUGGAAAAUCAUCGUAACAAGAAGAUCAAGUUCCUACGGUCUGAUCGUGGGGGUGAAUAUCUGAGUUUCGAGUUUGGUACUCACUUAAGACAAUGUGGAAUUGUUUCGCAGUUAACACCGCCUGGAACACCACAGCGUAAUGGUGUGUCCGAACGUCGUAAUCGUACUUUGUUAGAAAUGGUGCGAUCUAUGAUGUCUCUUACUGAUUUGCCGUUAUCGUUUUGGGGUUAUGCAUUAGAAACAGCUGCAUUCACUUUAAAUAGGGCACCAUCAAAAUCCGUUGAGACGACACCAUACGAACUGUGGUAUGGCAAAAGGCCAAAGUUGUCGUUUCUUAAAGUUUGGGGAUGUGAUGCUUAUGUCAAAAAGCUUCAGCCUGAAAAGCUGGAACCCAAAGCGGAAAGGUGCGUCUUCAUAGGUUACCCAAAAGAGACAGUUGGGUACACCUUCUAACUCAAAUCCGAGGGCAAAGUGUUUGUUGCUAAGAACGGAACUUUUCUCGAGAAGGAGUUUCUCUCGAGAGAAUUGAGUGGGAGGAAGAUAGAACUUGACGAGGUUGUCGAACCUCUCAUCCCUCUGGAUGGUGGCGCAGGGCAAGGGGAAACCUCUGUCAUUGCGACGCCGGUUGAGGAGGAAGUUAAUGAUGAUGAUCAUGAAACUCCAGUUCAAGUUUCUGUUGAACCACGCAGGUCGACGAGAUCACGCGCUGCUCCAGAGUGGUACGGUAAUCCCGUCUUAUCAAUCAUGUUGUUAGACAACAAUGAACCUGCAAAUUAUGAAGAAGCAAUGGUGGGCCCAGAUUCCAACAAAUGGCUAGAAGCCAUGAAAUCCGAGAUAGGAUCCAUGUAUGAGAACAAAGUGUGGACUUUGGAGAUACUGCCUGAGGGCCGCAAGGCUAUUCAGAACAAAUGGAUCUUUAAGAAGAAGACGGACGCUGACGGUAAUGUGACCGUUUAUAAAGCUCGACUUGUGGCAAAGGGUUUUUCACAAGUUCCAGGAAUUGACUACGAUGAGACUUUCUCUCCCGUAGCGAUGCUUAAGUCCGUAAGAAUCAUGUUAGCAAUAGCUGCAUUUUUCGAUUAUGAAAUCUGGCAGAUGGAUGUCAAAACGGCGUUCCUUAACGGUUUCCUUAAGGAAGAGUUGUAUAUGAUGCAACCCGAAGGUUUUUUCGAUUCUAAAAAUGCUGACAAGGUGUGCAAGCUCCAGCGAUCCAUUUAUGGACUGGUGCAAGCAUCUCGGAGUUGGAACAAACGCUUUGAUGAGGUGAUCAAAGCAUUUGGGUUUAUACAAGUGGUUGGAGAAUCUUGUAUUUACAAGAAAGUGAGUGGGAGCUCUGUGGCGUUUCUAAUAUUAUAUGUGGAUGACAUAUUACUGAUUGGAAACAAUGUAGAGCUUUUGGAGAGCAUAAAAGGUUACUUGAAUAAAAGUUUCUCUAUGAAGGACCUAGGAGAAGCUGCUUACAUUCUAGGCAUUAAGAUCUAUAGGGAUAGAUCAAAACGCCUGAUAGGACUUUCACAAAGCACAUACCUUGAUAAAGUUUUGAAGAGGUUCAAAAUGGAACAGUCCAAGAAAGGGUUCUUGCCAGUGUUACAAGGUACGAGAUUGAGUAAGACUCAGUGCCCAGCAACUGAUGAAGAUAGAGAGCAUAUGCGCUCCGUCCCCUAUGCUUCAGCCAUAGGCUCUAUCAUGUAUGCCAUGCUGUGCACUAGACCGGAUGUUAGCCUGGCCAUAAGUAUGGCAGGUAGGUUCCAGAGUAAUCCAGGAGUGGAUCACUGGAUGGCGGUCAAGAAUAUCCUGAAGUACCUGAAAAGGACUAAGGAGAUGUUUCUCGUGUAUGGAGGUGACGAAGAGCUCGCCGUAAAAGGUUACGUCGAUGCAAGCUUUGACACAGAUCCGGACGACUCUAAGUCGCAAACCGGAUACGUAUUUAUUCUUAAUGGGGGUGCAGUAAGCUGGUGCAGUUCCAAGCAAAGCGUCGUAGCAGAUUCUACAUGUGAAGCGGAGUACAUGGCUGCCUCGGAGGCGGCUAAGGAGGGUGUCUGGAUGAAGCAGUUCAUGACGGAUCUUGGAGUGGUGCCAAGUGCACUGGAUCCAAUAACCUUGUUCUGUGACAAUACUGGUGCCAUUGCCUUAGCAAAGGAACCAAGGUUUCACAAGAAGACCAGACACAUCAAACGACGCUUCAACCUCAUCCGCGACUACGUCGAGGAGGAGGACGUAAAUAUAUGCAAAGUGCACACGGAUCUGAAUGUAGCAGACCCGCUGACUAAACCUCUUCCAUGGCCAAAACAUGAUCGACACCAAACUGUAUGGGUGUUAGAUUUAUUACAAUGUAAUUCACAUGGUGAUGUGAGGGCUAGAUUAUUGACUCUAGUGCAAGUGGGAGACUGUUGGAAUUAUGCCCUAGAGGCAAUAAUAAAUGUAUAGUUAUUAUUAUAAUUCCUGUAUCAAGAUAAUAGUUUAUUAUCCAUGCUAUAAUUGUAUUGAAUGAAGACUCAUUUACAUGUGUGGAUACAUAGACAAAACACCGUCCCUAGCAUGCCUCUAGUUGGCUAGCCAGUUGAUCGAUGAUAGUCAGUGUCUUCUGAUUAUGAACAAGGUGUUGUUGCUUGAUAACUGGAUCACGUCAUUGGGAGAAUCACGUGAUGGACUAGACCCAAACUAAUAGACGUAGCAUGUUGAUCGUGUCAUUUUGUUGCUACUGUUUUUUGCGUGUCAAGUAUUUAUUCCUAUGACCAUGAGAUCAUAUAACUCACUGACACCGGAGGAAUGCUUUGUGUGUAUCAAACGUCGCAACGUAACUGGGUGACUAUAAAGAUGCUCUACAGGUAUCUCCGAAGGUAUUAGUUGAGUUAGUAUGGAUCAAGACUGGGAUUUGUCACUCCGUGUGACGGAGAGGUAUCUCGGGGCCCACUCGGUAAUACAACAUCACACACAAGCCUUGCAAGCAAUGUAACUUAGUGUAAGUUGCGGGAUCUUGUAUUACGGAACGAGUAAAGAGACUUGCCGGUAAAACGAGAUUGAAAUAGGUAUGCGGAUACUGACGAUCGAAUCUCGGGCAAGUAACAUACCGAAGGACAAAGGGAAUGACAUACGGGAUUAUAUGAAUCCUUGGCACUGAGGUUCAAACGAUAAGAUCUUCGUAGAAUAUGUAGGAUCCAAUAUGGGCAUCCAGGUCCCGCUAUUGGAUAUUGACCGAGGAGUCUCUCGGGUCAUGUCUACAUAGUUCUCGAACCCGCAGGGUCUGCACACUUAAGGUUCGACGUUGUUUUAUGCGUAUUUGAGUNNNNNNNNNNNNNNNNNNNNNGGAAACAAAGAUUGAUAUAUAGGAUGACCUCAUUUGAUUACCGGAAGGUUUUCGGAGUUACCGGGAAUGUACCGGGAAUGACGAAUGGGUUCCGGGAGUUCACCGGAGGGGGGCAACCCACUCCGGGGAAGCCCAUGGGCAUUUGGGGGGGUCACACCAGCCCUUAGUGGGCUGGUGGGACAGCCCACCAAUCCCCUAUGCGCCAAGAGAGAAAAAAUCAAAGGAAAGAAAAAAAGGGAAGAAGUGGGAAGGGGGAAGGACUCCCUCCCACCAAACCAAGUAGGACUCGGUUUGGGGGGGGGGGGGGAGCCCUCCCCCCUGGCUCGGCCGACCCCUUGGGGAUCCCUUGGACCCCAAGGCAAGGUCCCCCUCCCUCCUCCUAUAUAUAUGGGGCUUUUAGGGCAGAUUUGAGACGACUUUCUCACGGCUGCCCGACCACAUACCUCCAUAGUUUUUCCUCUAGAUCGUGUUUCUGCGGAGCUCGGGCGGAGCCCUGCUGAGACAAGAUCAUCACCAACCUCCGGAGCGCCGUCACGCUGCCGGAGAACUCUUCUACCUCUCCGUCUCUCUUGCUGGAUCAAGAAGGCCGAGAUCAUCGUCGAGCUGUACGUGUGCUGAACGCGGAGGUGCCGUCCGUUCGGUACUAGAUCGUGGGACUGAUCGCGGGAUUGUUCGCGGGGCGGAUCGAGGGACGUGAGGACGUUCCACUACAUCAACCGCGUUCUCUAACGCUUCUGCUGUACGAUCUACAAGGGUACGUAGAUCACUCAUCCCCUCUCGUAGAUGGACAUCACCAUGAUAGGUCUUCGUGCGCGUAGGAAAAUUUUUGUUUCCCAUGCGACGUUCCCCAACAAAAACAUCAUAGUAGAUGCAUAUGGACUCCGUUUUUGAUGAACUCGAGCUUGUCACGAAGAUGACCAUAAGCUCUAAAACUCACAAAGAGAAACACCAAACAAGAACCAAGAAGUAUGAUGCAAGGAUGCAAAUGGUUUGAGCUCUCAACGAACGAUACGAUCAAGCUACUCACUUGAGAUCCCCCCUUGAUAGUACAACAAUCUAUCCUAAACAGAAAACCUAUCAAGGGCAAACCUAUACCUUGCACCUCGUCCUCUUGAGCUAGAUGUUGAUGAUCUUGGCUUCCUCAAGAUGGACCACCUUUCUUGAUUGUGUUGGCUUGAUGAAGACUAGUUGAUUGCUCCCCCAUACUCACUAUGGGUGAGCCACUCUUUAGCAAAUCUUCACAAGUCCAUUGCCACCACAAUGGACAGCAAGCUUCAAGCAUGAUAUCUUCGUGCUGAUCCACUUGAACUUGCACAUCGCAAUCUUGAUGACGAUCACAACUUGACGUCAUACUUCAUGAGUUGUAUGAGAUCUUCCCUUUUGACGCAAGCCCAUGAAAACACACCUAACCCCCACAUAGAACUCUCACGAAGACCAUGGGUUAGUACACAAACACGUAAUGGACAAUGCUUACCAUACCAUGGGAUCACUUGAUCCCUCUCGGUACAUCUUGUAUGUUUUGUGUGUUGAUCAUAUUGAUUUACUCUUUGUCUGAGAUCUUGAUCAACCAUGUGUCUCUAUGACCAUUCUUUGGAUAAUACCUUGAAUACCAUCUUGGUCAUCAUAUAAACUCCUUGAACCCAACAGAUGGACUUCAAGAAGUGCCUAUGGACAAAUCCUAUAAAUGUAACUUAAGGCAACCAUUAGUCCAUAGGAAUUGUCAUCAAUUACCAAAACCACAUAUGGAGAUAUAUGCUCUAACACUCGACCCCGUAUCUAUGCACAGUGAAGGUCUCAGCACUAGAAUCUAUGGACCCCGACCUGGACCAAGUUGUCAGAUUCCUCAGAUGCUUUCGGUGCCUGGAGAAGCUAUAUAUCGAGGUGAUGAUCCUUUCAUGUUAAAUGUUAACCACAAUGGAGUUCAAUUUUGGAAACCUUGCAAAUCAAAUAGGUCCCUUGUGUGUCCAAGCACUAAUACCUUCUCUUCUUUUGCAGAUACGAUUAGGACACAUAGUGGAUAAUGUGAUACAAUAUAACAAUCCCGUCGAAUGCCUCGAUCUCUAUCUCUGAGAAAUUACUUUGAACUCCUAUCGAGGGACCUUACCGGAGAUUAAAUUUGCCAUGUUCUUUGUUGUGAUAGUAAGUGUGAUAAAGAUAAUGAGAUUUUCCCUNNNNNNNNNNNNNNNNNNNNNNNNNNNNNNNNNNCUACAUUUACUCCGCAAAAAAGAAUGGUUUGCUGAUCAGCUUCGGUGACUAGGACAGAAUGAAAAAGGCUCUACAGAAGCUCGAUUUCAUUUUGUAACUUCAGCUAAUAGACUAUUUGAAAGUCCUUAUGUCAAGCCCAUACAUGACAUGUCACUGGCGGAUCCCUUUGCGGAAAUAUUGAAGUUGUGAAUCUAGUUGUAACAUCAGCAUGAACCUCUCAUGUGUUCAUGUUCAGCUGAUCAGCGCGGGCAUCUCGAGCUGCAUGACAAAGUUUCUACAUAAGCUGAAUUUCAUUUCUAUUAUCGGUUUGAACCUUGUAAUCUUCGAGUUUGAGCCUUGUAAUUCUAGAAUUUGAAUUUUUGUACUACUUUUGUCAUUUAUGAUACAAUCAUUCAAAUGACAUCGUAUGAGACUCGUAUUUUGGUAGUACAAUUUUCCUAAGCGUGCAAUGUACGAUUAGUAUUUGGACCUUAAUAUGCAAUUGAUGGUUAAUAUCUCGACCUUAAGAAGCACAACCACGAUCGAGGGUAUCUUGCAGGGCUCCAAUGGCCCUCCGAGUGGCUGACGACGACGAGUGCGAGAUCACCAUGCAUGUCGUAGUGGAUACGCACAGAAGGUUCACGUACCGAGCUCUCGGUGGUGUACACCAACCAUCCGAUCUGGGUGGAGAACUCCUAUGUUAUGGACGUAUUGCUUGACAAGGACAUUACAAAAUGGUUUGGUUCGACCUUAUGUUCCUUGUGGCGCUCUACUCUCGCAUCCCUCUGCGUGCUCUGCUCUCGUGCCCCUCUGUGCAUGCUCUGCCAACGGUUGGGGCCUGCCCUCAAUCAUGUUCGGAGCUCCAUAUGCAUGCGGUUGCGCCACAUGUGUCGCCCCAUGCAGUUACGUGCUCCAUGAGUAAAUCACGCGCUGCAAAAACUGCCAUCCAGACAUGUCGGUUUUCCAGGACGUCUCGCUCUCAUUUAUACAUGCGGCCACUAAGCAUAGUCUCUUCAUGCUUUCGAUCGCACCCCACAACACAAUAAGCACACCCUCGACGACACAAUAAGCGGCACUCUAAUGGAGUUCGGCGUGCAUCAUGUGGACACCCACUUGAGUAAGACGGACCUCACGAUGGUGUACACCGUCGACCCGGCCGUGGUGGAGAACUCCAUCAACACCAUGCAGCUAUUGCUUGCUGCAGAUGACAAGUACAAAGUGGUCAGCUUCGACCUCGCGUACACCGGUGGUCGUGCCGGGCAUGAUGAGAAGGUUGUCUUGCCCAGUUGUGCGUGCGCCAUCACGCCCUCCUUUAUCACUACUGCCUGGCCACAAAGCCUUGCGAGUGUUUCACGAGGUUUGUCAACAACCACGACUACAGGCUUGCUACGGUGGACACCACCAACGAUCCAAAGGUGCUCAAGACUUCAGGCUAGGCAUGCUAGAAGCUUGUCGACAUCCACGACCACUACAAGGUCUGGGGAAGCAAGAAGGACAAGGAUUCCCAUGUUGACCUCGUCGUGGCCAUCAUUGACCCCUACUACAGAGACAUGAAGACCGAGUGCGACAAAAAUAAGCUUGUCUGGCACAAGGCGUGGGUGAGAGACCAGAUGAAUAUCACAUCUAGACCACGACCAAGGAAGCAUACGCAUGCUACGUGAUGUUCACGCAGAUUUUUGACAUGAUGAAGUGCCUCCUACCUGAAGACGAUGAGGGAUCAAGCCGCAAGCACAGUGAUGGCGGCAAGCGUCGCAAUAAGAAGAUGAUUUGAUGAUCGUUUCUUAUAGUUUAUUAUGCAUGUAAUAGUUUAUUGAGGUGGGCGCCAAUGUUAUGUGUGUAGUCACUUAUGUAUUUGGAUGCUUAAUUAGGUUAUGUAAUCAUGUUUUUAUGUGUGUAAUUGUUUAUUGAGGUGUUCCAAUGUUAUGUGUGUAGUCAUUUAUGUAUUUCAUGUUUAAUUUGGUUAUGCAAUAAUGUUAUUUGUUUGUGUUAUUUUCGCUCAUCGCACAUAAUUCAUCUGAGUUAUCUGUAUGUGCUACUGCGACAACAGACCUUCCCUCGCAAUGGCGCUAGGAAUUCUGCUGCUACGGGCUACGCCUAUAGGGACUUCCUUGGCAAAUAUGCAAAGGAUUUCCCCGCGGCCUUGGAGCCUUGCGUUGGUGUUCCCUUGAAGAGGAAAGGGUGAUGUAGCACAGCGGCGGUAAGUAUUUCCCUCAGUUUGAGAGCCAAGGUAUCGAUCCAGUGGGAGGAUCGCGUCAAGUCACAAGUACCUGCACAAACACAAAGAGCUUGCACCCAACGCUAUGAAGGGGUUGUCAAUCCCUUAUAGAUUGUUUGCAAAGUGAGAACUGAAAGCAAAGAGUAAACAAAGCAAAGUAAAAGUGAAAGUGGAGACGAUAGUUGUGAAUAGACCCGGGGGGCGUAGUGUUCACUAGUGGCUUCUCUCAUGAAAGCAAGUAGACGGUGGGUGAACGAAUUACCGUCGAGCAAUUGAUAGAACCGCGCAAAGUCGUGACGUUAUCUAUGGAAAUGAUUAUAUCUAUAGGCAUCACGUCCAAAACAAGUAGAUCGAUACUUUCUACAUCUACUACUAUUACUCCACACGUCGACCGCCAUCCAGCAAGCAUCUAGUGUAUUAAGUUCAAAAGAACAUAGUAACGCCUUAAGCAAGAUGACAUGAUGUAGAUGGACAAUCUCAAAUCUAUGAUGAAAUCCCAUCUUGUUACCCUUGAUGGCAACAACACGAUGCGUGCCUUGUUGCCCCUUCUGUCACUGGAAAGGUCACCACACGGUAUGAACCCAAAACCAAGCACUUCUCCCAUUGCAAGAAUCAUAGAUCUAGUUGUCCAAGCAAAACCCAAGACUCGGAGAGACUUACAAGGAUAUCAAAUCAUGCAUAUAAGAAAUCAACAAAGACUCAAAUAUAAUUCAUAGAUAAUCUGAUCACAAAUCCACAAUUCAUCGGAUCUCGACAAACACAACGCCAAAGUGGAUUACAUCGGAUAUAUCUCCAUGAAGAUCAUGGAGAACUUUGUAUUGAAGAUCCAAGAGAGAGAAGAAGCCAUCUAGCUACUAACUACGGACCCGUAGGUCUAAAGUGGACUACUCACGAGUCAUUGGAGAGGCGAUGAUGUUGAUGUAGAAGCCCUCCAACUCCAACGUCCCCUCUGGCAGGGCACCGGGAAGGGUCUCCAGAUGAGAUCUCACGGAAACGGAAGCUUGCGGCGGCGGAAAAGUGUUUUCGCGGAUGCCCUUAUUUUUUCUGCGAUUUUAGGGAAUUUAUAGGCCAAAGAGCUAGGGCAGGGGAGCGCCAGGGAGGCCACAAGCCUGGUUGCCGCGGGCCCCGUGGCCGCGGCAACAGGGCUUGUGGGCUCCCUGUGGGCCCCCUGCCUUGGCCCUCAAGUCCCCCGAUCUUCUUCAGUUCUGGAAAAAAAUAUUUCGGGGAUUUUAUUCCGUUUGGACUCCGUUCCAAAAUCAGAUCUGAAAAGAGUCAAAAACACAGAAAAAACAGGAACUGGCACUUGACACUGAAUUAUUAAGUUAGUCCCAAAAAAGAUAUAUAAGGUAUAUAAAACAUCCAAAGUUGACAAGAUAACAGCGUGAAACCAUCAAAAAUUAUAGAUACGUUUGAGACGUAUCAGUAUGUUGUUUAUCACACACUUAUUUAUUUGUGCACCAGUUUGUGUAAAAAAUCGUCGCAAACAGUUCAUCCAGGCAACAUGUUUGGUGCCUAUCGCACACGUCUUGAUUUGGGUGAUCGUUUGUGGUAUUUUAUGUCAUCACAAACACUUCAUCUGGCUCACCUGUAUGCCAUCAAUCACACACAUAAUCAUUUGGACAAUCGUUGGCGUUCUGCUUGAUCACUGCAAACAGUUUAUCUGAGUGAACUAUAUGUCGUACAUCGCACACACUUGUAUUUAGUUAACCGUCUGCAUUAUUUUGGUCCAUCACAAGCAGUUUCAGUGGGUCAAAUGUUUGUCGUAGAUCGUACACACAACUCUUUUAUGAAUCGUAUUUGAUGGAUCUUGUUGGGGAACGUCGCAAGGGAAACAAAAAAUUUCCUACGCGCACGAAGACCUAUCAUGGUGAUGUCCAUCUACGAGAGGGGAUUUCCGAUCUACGUACCCUUGUAGAUCGCACAGCAGAAGUGUUAGUGAACGCAGUUGAUGUAGUGGAACGUCCUCACGUCCCUCGAUCCGCCCCGCGAACCGUCCCACGAACCGUCCCGCGAUCCGUCCCACGAUCUAGUGCCGAAUGGACGGCACCUCCGCGUUCAGCACACGUACAGCUCGAUGAUGAUCUCGGCCUUCUUGAUCCAGCAAGAGAGACGGAGAGGUAGAUGAGUUCUCCGGCAGCGUGAUGGCACUCCGGAGGUUGGUGGUGAUCUGAUCUCGGCAGGGCUCCGCCCGAGCUCCGCAGAAACGCGAUCUCGAGGAAAAACCGUGGAGGUAUGUGGUCGGGCUGCCGUGGAAAAGUUGUCUCAAAUCAGCCCUAAUACGUCUGUAUAUAUAGGUGGGAGGGGAGGGGCCUUUCCUUGAGGUUCAAGGAGCCCCAAGGGGGUCGGCCGAGCCAAAGGGGGGAAGUCCUCCCCUUCCAAACCAAAUCCAACUAGGUUUGGAAGGUGGAGUCCUUCUCUCCUUUCCCACCUCCCUUUUUUUUUCUUUCUCUUUGAUUUCUUAUCCUUUGGCGCAUAGGGCCUUCUUGGUCUGUCCCACCAGCCCACCAAGGGCUGGUGCGCCACCCCCAAGGCCUAUGGGCUUCCCCGGGGUGGGUUGCCCCCCCCCCCCGGUGAACACCCGGAACCCAUUCGUCAUUCCCGGUACAUUCCCGGUAACUCCGAAAACCUUCCGGUAAUCAAAUGAGGUCAUUCUAUAUAUCAAUAUUCGUUUCUGGACCAUUCCGGAAACCCUUGUGACGUCCAUGAUCUCAUCCGGGACUCCGAACAACAUUGGUAACCAACCAUAUUACUCAAAUACGCAUAAAACAACGUCGAACCUUAAGUGUGCAGACCCUGCGGGUUCGAGAACUAUGCAGACAUGACCCGAGUGACUCCUCGGUCAAUAUCCAAUAGCGGGACCUGGAUGCCCAUAUUAGAUCCCACAUAUUCUAAGAUCUUAUCGUUUGAACCUCAGUGCCAAUGAUUCAUAUAAUCCCGUAUGUCAUUCCCUUUGUCCUUCGGUAUGCUACUUGCCCGAGAUUCAAUCGUCAGUAUCUGCAUACCUAUUUCAAUCUCGUUUACCGGCAAGUCUCUUUACUCGUUCCGUAAUACAAGAUCCCGCAACUUACACUAAGUCACAUUGCUUGCAAGGCUUGUGUGUGAUGUUGUAUUACCGAAUAGGCCCCGAGAUACCUCUCCGUCACACGGAGUGACAAAUCCCAGUCUCGAUCCAUACUAACUCAACGAACACCUUCGGAUAUACCUGUAGAGCAUCUUUAUAGUCACCCAGUUAUGUUGUGACGUUUGAUACACACAAAGCAUUCCUCCGGUGUCGGUGAGUUAUAUGAUCUCAUGGUCAUAGGAACAAAUACUUGACACGCAGAAAACAGUAGCAACAAAAUGACACGAUCAACAUGCUACGUCUAUUAGUUUGGGUCUAGUCCAUCACGUGAUUCUCCUAAUGACGUGAUCCAGUUAUCAAGCAACAACACCUUGUACAUAAUCAGAAGACCCUGACUAUCCUUGAUUAACUGGCUAGCCAACUAGAGGCUUGCUAGGGACAGUGUUUUGUCUAUGGAUCCACACAUGUAUAUAAGUCUUCAUUCAAUACAAUUAUAGCAUGGAUAAUAAACGAUUAUCUUGAUACAGGAAUUAUAAUAAUAACUAUAUUUAUUAUUGCCUCUAGGGCAUAAUUCCAAUAGAUCCACCAUCGCACACAGUUUGUGUCGUUGGUAACAGAGCUUGAACUAUACUGUUUGCGAUUGGUGUAUCGCACAGAGUUUCGUCGAAGGGUCUCUGAUUGAUGUGUCAUCUUUGGACCAUCAUGUAGUAGUGAGUGUUUGCUCUUUUUUGCAUAGGCGCUGAAGAUGGGGGUUGGGUGAUACUCCUAUUGGUUCGAUAACCUUGGUUCUCAAUGAGAGAAAUAAUUGUCUAUAUUGUGUUGCAUCAUCCCCUCCUCUUCGAGAAAAAAGCGCAAUGCAUAUCACAAGUAUCACGCACCCCCGACCUAAACAACACUAGGAUUUCAAUGAGGAAUAAGAAUGCCCACAUAUCAUUACUAUGCCAUAACCAAUAUUUAGAUGAACAACAAAUUAUCACCCUUUAACUAACGAUAUUUUUACUAACCAACAAUCAUGCACUCACGCCUUUUCAUAUUACCACAUCAAUAUCAUUAACUCACAUUUUUUAUGUGCUACAUGAAGGUUUUGAUUAUGCACUCUUUGAAUACCAAUUGUUUUUGGACUAGUAUUAUAAGCCAUGAAAAUUACCGUCACUGUUUAUUAACUCUCUGUUAGAGCAUAUUUCUCCAUAUGUGGUUUUGUAAUUGAUGACAAUCCCUAUGGACUAAUGGUUGCCUUAAGUUAUAUUUGAAGGAUUUGUCCAUAGGCACUUCUUGAAGUCCAUCUAUUGGUUUCAAGGAGUUUAUAUGAUGACCAAGGUGGUAUUCAAGGUAUUAUCCAAAGAAUGGUCAUAAAGACACAAGCUUGAUCAAGACUAAGACAAAGAGUAAAUCAAGAUGAUCAAUAUACAAAGCGUACAAGAUGUACCGAGAGGGAUCAAGUGAUCCCAUGGUAAGCGCUUUUGUGUACUAACUCAUGGUCUUCAUGAGAGUUCUAUGUGGGGUUAGGUGUGUUUCCAUGGGUUUGCGUAAAGAGGAAGAUCUCAUUCAACCUAUGAAGGAUGACAUCAAGUGGUGGUCGUCGUCAAGAUUGCGGUGUGCAAGUUCAAGCGGAGCAUCAUGAAGAUAUCAGGCUUGAAGCUUAUCGUCCAUUGUGGUGGCAAUGAACUUGUGAAGAUGUGUUGAAGAGUGGCUCACCCAUAGUUAGUAUGGGGGAGCAAACAACUAGUCUUCAUCAAACCAACACAAUCAAGAAAGGUAGUCCAUCUUGAGGAAGUCAAGAUCAUCAUCAUCUAGCUCAAGAGGACUAGGUGCAAGGUAUAGGUUUGACCUUGAUAGGCUUUUCUAUUUUAGGAUAGAUUGUCGUACUGUCAAGGGGGGCUGAUACGUCUCCGUCGUAUCUACUUUUCCGAACUUUUUUGCCCUUGUUUUGGACCCUAACUUGCAUGAUUUGAAUGGAACUAACCCGGACUAACGUUGUUUUCAGCAGAAUUGCCAUGGUGUUGUUUUUGUGCAAAAAUAAAAGUUCUCGGGAUAUCCUGAAAAUUUACGGAGAUUUUUCCUGGAAUAAAAGAAAAAUACUUGCGCAAAGAUCUACCAGAGGAGGUGGACCAGUG
rnacentral:lncRNA from 1 species